rnacentral:lncRNA from 1 species
UUUUUUUUUUUAGUGUAACACAAUGGUGCUCUAUAUUCACAUAUAAAAAGAGGAGCAAACUCCGAUGGAUAAAGACAGAAAAUAGAAUUAUCUUACUUUAACUUGAUCUUGAAUGUCUUCUUUCUGGCCUAAUGAAUCUUGAAUCUUUGAUCUCAUUGCAGCAUUAGCAAUAACUUUCUCGCGGGUUCCCUCCAGGUGUUUGAUUUCUUUAAGGAUUCGCUUCUCCUCACUCAACGAGAUGCUUUCAUGCUGAAUGCGGUAUUGCAAGCUAUGGAUCUGCAAUUCAUAAAUUCCAUUGAAGUGACUAAAGGAGAAAAAGAAAAGCAUUAACUGCGGCAGAAAACUAUGAGUAAAUCUAAAUGCAGUCAAAGUUUAUAGAAGUAUCAUACAAUAAAAUCGAGCUCUUCCUCAGAUGCACAUAAACUAAGUCGAUUAUCAACAUCUUUAUUAUUGCGAAGCUUGCCUAAAGCCUGCUGCAGUGGUUCUAUUUCCUUUUUUUUCUCAUCUAAAAUUGUCUUAAAUUGCUCAAAAUCAACAUUCAGCGCUCUCACUUGCGAAAGCAUCUCAAAUCGCUCUGCCUGCAUUAGCAUAAAGAUAAUCACAAUUUAGCCAACUCACAGUGCCAUUAUUUUUUACUUCUUUCACAUUUUUUCUCAAAUUCUGAAGGCAAGCACAACAAUAACGAAUCAUUAUACCAAUAGCAUAUCUUAAGUGUCACUACAUUUCAAGGACAUAAAUUUCAAACAUUCAAAUAAAUGCUUCCGGGUUUAAUUCCCCUACAUUCAUCAUAUUACAAUAAGCACACCGUAAUGACAUAAUGAUAGGGCUAAUAAUUAUCUUAAAAGUAUGACAAUUAAUGGCUACCAUGCUAUACAUCUAAUUGAAAUUAAUAACUUUUCACUCACCCUUUUUGCUUUUAAUUCAUCGGUAAGCUUAAACCUGGCUUUAUUCCACUUUUGUAUCUCUUUAUCAGCCUGAUCAAGUUUGGCUUUUAUAGCCGGAUCUUCGUAGAAGCGAUACCUAAUAAAAUGAAAAGAGUGGAUCUGCUUAGGUGCAGGCCACUCGAUGACCGCAUCCUUCGGAAAGUUGGGAUCGGAUGCACCAUUCUCUUCUUCCUUAUCAGGUUCCUCACUAUGUGAAUCAACAUCAAUGGGGUUAUUAUAAACUGGAUCCUUAUCCAGUUUCCUAUUUUCAUGAAGAAAUGAUUUGUCUACUUCAGUCACUUUGUCAAUAGACAAUUGUGCCAGGUCUGAAUCAACAACCUCUACACCCAUUAAACACAAAAUUGAGCUACCUGAAAACAUCCAAAACCAAAGAUUAUGAUACCAUAUAACAACAAAUAUAAAUAUAAAAUAUUAUUUCAUUCAUAAAAUAAAAAUUUUAAAACCAGACGCCUGAUAGACAUGUAUAAAACAAUAUAUAUUAAAUAAAUAAAUUUUAAAGAACAGUGUAGCCAUUACAAUUUGAAAUGGUGCAAUCUAAAGCCAUUCCUUUAGCUAGUUUUCUCAUUAAUCAGAUCAAAAGAGUGAACAAACAGUAGAAUUGCAAAAAUAUAUGUAUAUAUUCUAAAUAAAUGAUAAACUAUAAUGGAGAAAAACAAUAAUCAGAUAAAAUCUAGAAUAAAAACUAAAUUAUAAGUACAUUAGCUCAUGCUAUAACAAAAGAUCAAGCCUUUAUCCAUCGAGAAAAUUAACAUGCAAAAUCAUAUGAAACUAAUAGAAAAGAAAAAAAAAACCCAGAAAUAAAAACAUAAGAAAUGAAAGAAAAACUAGAUGAUUAACCUUUUAGAGAGAUUAUUAAGAGGUGAAAGGCCCUUUUUGUGGAGUAAAAGGGUGUAAAGAAAAUUUAGAAGAGAGUUUGGAAAUGAAGGAGAAAUGGGGUGAAAUCUCAGUUUUGUUUCUCUUCAAUUUCAGUUCUGCUUCAUCACUAGAAAGAGAAACGUACGAAAAGGAAGGAAUUUCUGAAAGGGAAAGAUUUUAGCUUUGUAUUAAUGCUUGUCUUCUAGAGAGAGAAAUUCAACAGAUUGAACUUUUUUAAGGUAAUUCAAAAAUAAUAAAUUGAUUAUGAUUUUUAAAUACUGAUUAGUAUUUUAAAACAUAAAAAAAUAUUUUUUUAUAUUUUUAAAAAAAUAUUUUAUAGAAUGGAACUUGUUGGGGAUAAAAAAUAAGGGCAUAAAUUAUUUUAUAAUUUUUAAAUUUUUUAAUAAUAUUAUUCAAUUGUACCAAUCAGACUGAAAUUAUUAUUUUGUUUAUUUAUUUCUUUUAAAUAUUAAAAAAAUUAUUUUAAUAAUUAAUAUAAAAUUUUGAAAUUUUAAAUUAAUUUUUAUGUUAAUCAUUUUAAUUCUUCCAUAAUUACAUUUAAAAUUAUUGAUUAUUAAAUUAAAUUGUUGAACUUAAUUAAUAAUUUUAAAACUUAUAUUUUACCUAUAAAUAUAUUUAUAUGAACGUAAUUAAGAUAAAUUUGUCUGUAAUUGAUAAGAAAUUAAAAAUUACACCAUAUAUUUAUAUGAAAAAAAUUCAAAAAAGGAUAAAUUCCAAAUAGUACAUCGAAACAUAUCAAUAUAUAAUACCAGCUAUUUUACCGAUUGCAGUCUCUAAAAAUAAAUUAAGACUAUAAAACCGACAUAAAAAAUAGUUUAAACACUGUAAAGAUGAAAUAAUUAAGUCAUAGUCAAUUGUAUCUUAACUUAAUUGGCAUGAGCAUUGUUCGAGUGCGCUGAAACACAUUACCCUCCUAUUUAUUGUGUUGGGAAAAAGUUAUUGAUAAUUUUAAAUAUUGUGUCAAAAAGAACAAAUAUGAUAAUUAAUAUUAGAUUGUUUAAAAUUAAUAAUAAUAAUAAUAAUAAUAAUAAUAAUAAUAAUUAGGGCAUAAAUAAAUAAAUAAAAAUAAGAAAAAGACAAAAAGGAGAAACAGAAAAGUAAAAGAAGGAAAUAAAUCCAAAUUAAAAAGCUUGAUUUUAGUAGAAUUUUCCUUUUAACACGUGUUCUUUGCAUGAAUUUCAUAUCUCUCACGAGAAUGUCGAGUCGAUGAUUACGGGAGACAAAUCUGUUGAAAAGCAAAAGUACAAUAAUACCCCCUAUAUUGUUUAAAAUUCACUAUCACACCCUUGUAUUAUGGUAAUUUUAUUUUUUUUGGAAUGAAAUCUUUGUAAAGUUCUAAUUUCUAAAUUUGGGGUUGUUUUAGGAUCAUAUCUAUUUAUAAUUUCCUAAUAAAAGAAGUGUCAAAAUUAUUUUCCAAAUUUGGGUUCGGUAUUACUGGUUUUGCUUAAUAGAGUGAAAAGAAAAUUAGGAAGAUCGAAAUAUUGAAAAGAUAAAAAAAAUAAUUAUUCAUCUUUCUAUAGAUGUAUUUGGUUGGGAAGAUGGAAAAAAGAGAAAUAAAAUAAAAUAAAAUUAUUUCUCGUCAUUACUUAAUAGAGCUGAAAAACGAAAAGAAAUAAAAUAUUUGAAAAAUGUAUAAUUUUGAACUAAAAUACACAAUCUCUCUCAUUUUCUUUCCUCUCGUCAUUUAAAUUUGCAAAUAUUGAUUAAAAUGGAAAAUGACUAUCCCUCCUAUUUUCUUUCCUCUCACUAUUUUUUAUUAUCAGGUUCACUCAAAAUUUACUUUUUCCCCCUUUUCCACUCUUUACUCUCUUCUCCUGUCCUUUCACUUUUUCACCUAUCUAAACACGCCAUUAGUGCUCAAAUUCGGCUAAAUACUAAUAGGUUUAAUGUAGAUUUUGAAAUUCAGUCUUUACACUUUUAUUAAAAGAAAACAAUUUAUCUAAAAAGAAAUUGCAAAGAAAAUUUUAAGGUAAACUAAAUAGAUAGCCACUCAACUAUGACAAUGUUUCUAUUUUGACCACCUAACUAUCAAAUAUUUUUAUGUAGUCACUAACGUUUUUAAAUUUUGAUUUUUUGGUCACUUUACGGUUAAAUCAUUAAACGAAGGCUAAUGUGUCCCUUUUAAUGACAUAAUAAAAAUUUAGCCCUCUAAUAUUUAGAGAUUUCUUCAAUUUAGUCCUAAUUUUAAAAAUAUUCAAUAAAUUUAGUGCUCAAUGUUUAUAUAUUCUGUCAGUUUAGUGCUAAACUUUUUUUAAUCCUUAAUUUCUUUAGAUGAAGUGACAAAAAAAAAAGAAAAAUGAAGAAUAAAUAGUAAAAACCUUAAUUUAAUUAAAUAAUCAAUCAAGGGUAGUGCAAAACUAAAGGUUCGACUUUGAACACUCUCAACAAGUUUGGUUCAAUGGAAUGGAUAUUUUAUUCUAUCACCAUCAAUGUUUUACAAUAAAACGCUUCUUUGGUUCACCGCAUGAGUGAUUCUACAGAAUUGAUAUUACAAAAUCAAUAUCUAACGGUGUUAUUGUAAAUGUAUUAAAGUGUAUAACGGGAUUUAAGUUCAAGUACUAAUUAAAUUUUAAAAAAUUAAGUUUAUAUACUUUAAUAAAAGGAUAAACUACAUUCAAUGUCACUAAAUUAUUAGUAAAUUUAUAUUUUGAUUGUUUAAUUUUGAAAAGUUACAAAACGAUUACUAAACUAUUCGAAAGUUUUCAUUUAAGUUACUUAACUAUUUGAAAAUUUUAUUUAGGUCAUUAGGGUUUUUUCUUUCUAAAGUCCAACUAGCAAGCUCCAAGUGACGAUUCAAAGAUCAGUAUGGUGGAUCAAUACCCAUCAAUAAGUUGAAAAGCAUAUCUUAGUUCCAAGUUGAUUUGAUAGUCAGUGCCGAAAAUUGGAGAAAAAAAUAUUUCUUCUGGUUAUUAUUUUAAAUAUUUGUAUGUAAAGUUUUAGAAUGUAAAUUUACAAUGGCAAAGCUUACAAGUUUUGUGUUGUUCGGUUAAAUGAAUCUCAUGUGUGAAUAGUUUUUUAUUAUUUUGUGGUUGUUUAACAAAAUUAUAUGUUUUAUUGUGAUAAUAAACAUGUCACAGUUUAUUCAAUUUUACAUGUAAGUAGUAAACCGACCAAAUGAAAGAUUUAUUGUUCGACAUGUUUUUAUUAUAAAUGUUUGACUACUACAAUAAGAUAUCACUUACAAGUUAAUAUGUUUGUCCAAAUUUGAAAAAUUAAUGGAGUGCCCGAUAUCUUAAUAUAUAUGGAUUUUACCUUUAUUCAAAUGAUUUUGGUUUAAACUUGAAUUCUUAUGUUAGCUUUUUUUAUAUUUAUUUAACUAUUAUUAUAUUUGUCAGCAUCAUUGCAUGUAUUGAAACAUUUAAGGGCAUUAUGUCUGAUAAGCUUACCAUAACUAAAGAAUUCAUGGCCGACAUUGAAAAGAGAUUUGUCAAUGACGAAAAGACUAAAAUUGGUACAUUAACAAAUCUAAUUUCAACGUGAUAUGUAAAGAAAAAUAACAAAGUUACGGAUAUGACACUGCAAAAGAAACAACAAAAGGAUUCAACUAAGGAUGGUUGUUUACACUGUGAUGCAAAAGGCGCACUACUUAGUUUUGUUUGUUUUGAGGUUAAUUUGACUUUAGCACCUAAACAUACUUGGUGGAUAUAUUCUAGUGCAACAACUCACAUCAAUGUGUCUAUGCAAGAUUGUCAAAACUACCGAAAGUCAAAUGAUGGUGAAAUAUACAUCUAUGAAGGCAACAGUAAAUUAGUAGAAGUUGAAGCAAUAGGUACUUUUAGAUUAUUAUUAAGAAUUGGAUUUUAUUUGGAUUUGAAUGAAACUUUGUUGUACCAUCUUUUAAGCGAAACAUGAUUUUCUUUUCAACACCGGGCAAAUUUGCUUACUUUAGUUCAUUUGAAAAUGGAAAAUUUAGUCUAUUUCAUAAUUCAAAUUUGGUUUGUUUCAGUUCUUUCUUAGUUUAUGAUAAUCUAUAUUUACUUAAUACUACUAUUUCAUUUAAUGAAUCCUUGCAUACUAUCUUAAUAGGUAAGAGACACAAAUUAACUCCUAAGAAUUUAACUUCAUUGUGGUACAAGAGAUUAGGUUAUAUCUCCAAAAGGAGAAUUGAGAGACUUGUGUCCGACGAUAUGUUUUUACCCUUUCGAUUUUUUGGAUAGUCUGAAAGAUCUAAGGGUUAAAAUAAUUUUUUUAAUCCCACUACUAAAAUUAUAUAUUUUUUAAGAUGUAUAAUGCUUGUUCUUUGAGGAUGUUGAGUUUUUUUCUUUAAAAAAAAAUACUCUCUUUAAAGCCACUUGCAAAAGAACUCUAAAAAGCAGUGACUUGAAAGGGAGCAAUAUUUUUCUUAUUUUAAUAUCUCACAUGGUUAGUCCAUUGGUUAUAAUAGGCUAAAAAUGAUUUUUCUUUAAAUAUAUAUUUUUUAAUUUUUAGAGUUAGGACUAAAUUAAUAGAUUUUGUAAACAUUGAGGGUUAAAUUUAUUAAAUUUUUAGAAUUAAAACUAAAAUGAUAAAUUUUGUAAACAUUUAGAGAUAAAUUUAUUGAUUUUUUUAUAUUUAGCCGAUCAUUGGCAAUAGCAAUUAAAUGAAUAUGUUGAGGAAUAUCAACAUCUCUUUCAAAGACAAAAAAAACUACUUUGCACUGACCCCCAGCUUAUUUUUUAUUUUAAUAUCUCAUCUGGGUUAGUCAUAUGGAUAACAAAAAAACCUGAAUCUGACAGGUUUUGAGUCAAUCCAACCCGAUAGAGUUGGGUUUUUUAAUUGAAGUUCAGGGUCAGUGCAGGGCAAGUUAAUUUUUAAAAAUAGUUGAGUUGGACCGGGGUCAAGUUUAGAAUGAAACUGCCCACCCUGCCUCAAGACAUUUACGAAAUUACUCUAUAUACAUAUAUAAUAUUAAUUAAGUUAAAAAUCCCUAAAAUUUAUCACUACUAAUCUCAUUCUACCGCCUCUAUACUAGUGCCCUUUUACCCCUAGAAGGUUAUUCCCCCCACUUUGUAUCUUAAUUUAAUAAUUUAUUAACAUAAUUUUUAUUCCUUCCUUUUUCUUUUGUGCUAUAAUUACAACAUGUGUGUAAAUAUACAUUAGCACACAACUCUAAAAAUAAAUUAUUAAGCAAAACUAAUAAGAAAUAGUGUCAAAAUCUUUCAUUUAAAAAAAUUAAUUAAUUACAAUUUUACAAAAAACUUAAAAAUAAAAUAAAUAAAAUCGGAUCGGACUGGAUUAAAGUUAGGUAUAUUAUUGAUUUUUAGGUUCAGGUUUAAAGUGGGUUAAAUUUUUUAAACUUGGGGUUGAAGUUGGAGCAUGGUGGUAGAGCAUCGAGUUGGAUUAGAUCAUGCAAAAAACCACCUUGCCUUGCCCCAUUGCCAUCACUAGUUAGUUGAUGUGUUAUAAAGGGCUAAAAAUGAAUUAUUUUUAAAGAAUAUAUAUAUUUAAAAUUUUUUAGAGUUAGGACUAAAUUGACAGGUUUUGUAAAUAUUGAAGGUCAUAUUUAUUGAAUUUUUUAAAUCUAGAACUAAAAUAACAACUUUUGUAAACAUUGAAGGCUAAAUUUAUUGAUUUUUUUAUAUUUAGGAUCAAAUUGAUAGAAUAUGUAAACAUUAGAGAGCUAAUUUUGUUACUAAACCGAUAAAAAAAAGGCUAUAUUAGCUCAGAGUGACUAAAUAUUUAAUUACGAAAACUUUAGUGAUUAAAUCAAAAAAAUUAAUAGUUGGGUGACCAAAAUAGAAUGAAAGACAUAAUUGAAUGACCACGUUUAUAAUUUACUCAUAAAAAAUAAUUUUCAACAUAUUCCAAGCCAUUAUUUAAUAGAAAAUUCUAAAAGAAAGUUAAUUUACACAUUUCAAAAUAUAUGAGAGUUAAUUUAUCUAUUUUUCAAUUUAAAAAAACCGAAAUACAAUCUUCUCCUAAGUAUAUAGAAAUUCGUGAAACUUUUUACCUCCGUAUAAUAUUAAACACAUAUUCUAUAAAAAUUGAAAAAUUAAAUUUAGCCACUAACAUUUACAUGUUUUGACAAAAUGACCCUAAUUGUAUUUCUGAGCCUUUUUUGGCCAUCAACCUUUAUUCUUUUUUUUCAAAUUGUUUUUUUAACAGAUUUAAUGAACGUACCGUUAAAAAAGUUAACGAGAUGAUGUGAAAUUCCUUAUGUGGAAUAUUUUUAAUGAGAUGUAAUAUAUUACUUAGGUAACCCAAUAAAAUAAUUACAUGUGAAAAAUAAUAAAAUAAAUAAAUAAUUCAAGAAGUUAAAAAAAUAACUCUUAAUUUAAAGAAAAUAAACGUAAUUAUCUAAAAAAGGUUUCAAAAUGAAUGCACACAUUCAAUAUUUUUGGUAUAGAUUACAUCUCAUUAAAAAUAUUUCACAUAUGAAAUUCCACAUCAUCCCGUUAAAUUUUUUAAUGGUACUUUCAUCAAAUCUGUUAAAAAAAAGUAAUUUGAAAAAAAAUAAAGAUCGAUUGCCAAAAAAGGCUAAAAAAUACAAUUAAAAUUGUAAUAGGUCAUUUUUACCCGGGCCCAACAAAAAAACCAAAAAAAAAUUAACAGUCCCAGUCCACUUACAAUAAGCCCAAACAACCCAAACCCAAAAUAAAAAAAAACUCUAAGCGGCCGAUAAGCCCAAAAAUUUAAACAAUGUCAGAAAAUCCUAGCCUCCCUAAUCCUCUUUAGCCGCCAACCUCCUCACGCGCGCCACCAGUCCACCGCCGCACACCAUCAUCACGCUCGUCUGACACUUGCAAAAAUUGACUACAACAACAGGAAAGGCACGCCAAGCAGAAGAAACAACUUGAAAAAAAAACAAAAAAAAUAGAAAUUAAAAGUUGUAACUUGGCUAUAAAAGCCAAAACUUCAUCUUUGUAUUUUUUUUACGAACGAGAUUAAUCAAAAACAGAAAUAAAAUUUUCUAAAGGUGAUCUUUUUUUUUCUAUUUAUUUUUAGUUUUAAGUUUCUAUUUAUUUUUUAUUUUUUUAUAUACAAAAAUAAAGAAGGGAAAGGAAACUCACCUAAGUCGGCUGAUCUACUCGCCGUCGAAGGCCAUGGCGGAAAAGGAGAAGAAACGAAACAUUUCUUCGUUGCUCCACAGGGUUUGGUCGAGUUUUCGGGGGUUUUGGCCUCGAAUCCUUGCUCCACGCGUGACGGGCUUCGAAAGGGGUUUUUUUGGUGCUACCCGACCAUCGUGGACGGCGGCAGCGGCGCCAGCGAUCGGCAGCCGCCACGACGGCCGACACCAAAGCCAGGCCAGAUAUAGGGAGUUUUUGAGAGAAAAAAGGCUUCAAUUUUUUUUAAAAAUCUAAGCAGAAUGAAAAGUUUUUUAAAAAAAUUGAAUUAUAUAGAGGUGAUUAAACAACGUCAUUUUGGCUAGUGCUCAGAAGCCUCAAAACGGCGCCGUUUCGGGGCAAACCCAAAAUUCAACCGACCCUUAGGGAGGAUCCGCGUGUUUUUGAUAAUUGGGUUAUUUACCCUUUCGGUCCUUUAGCCUUUUUGGAUUGUUUUAAUUUAGUCCUAUUGGCACUUUUUAUAUUUUAUAAAUUUCGCCCCUGGAAUUUUUUACUGUUUUCAAUUCAGUCUCGCAUCCACUGAAGGGACGCGUGUCCCAAGAAUUGGGAUAAUUUCAUAUUUGGUCCCUAUUCUUCCUUUGCGCAUUUAUUUUAACCCUUAUUUUUGUUUUAUUGGUUUUUGUAUUUUUUAAUUUAUACCCCGAAUUUUAAUUCGAUUUUAAUCUCGUCCUCAGUCCAUUUAAUUAAUUAAUUUAUUUUAAAAAAUGCUCUUUUAUCAUCAUUUAUUUUAAGUUUUUAUAUAUAUUAUUUAUUUUAAGCUAUUUUACAUAUUAUUUAUUUAAAUUUCUUUUAUGUAUUAUUUAUUUUAAACUAUUAUAUAUAUCUUUCAAAUUUUUAUAUUUAUUCUUUAAAACUGUUUUAUAUGUUAUUUUUUAUAUUAUUUAUUUUAAAUUGUUUUAUUGUUAUUUAUUUUUCAUUUUUUAUAUUUUAUAUUUUGUUUAUUUGAAACUUUUUAUUAUUUAUUUUGAAUUGUUCUUAUAAAUCAUUUAUUUUAAACUAUUAUUUACUUUAAAUUGUUUUAUAUAUUAUUUUGUUUCAUUUUCUUUGAUUGUUAAUAUUGAUAUUAAAAAUGAUGUGUUGUGUAAUUAUUGUCAUUAUGUGCAUUAUAAUUCGUUUAUUCGUAUUUUCAUGCUAUUGUGAUUCAUUAGUGUAACAUUUUGUUCAUAAGUUAUUUCUCCAUCUUAUAUAUUAUCCUUCCAUCACAUUUCAUUAAAAUCACUUCAAAAAUUCCUUAAAAAAUAAUAAGGCAAUGUUUCGUUUUUUAGAAAUUCGAGAAGUCAUACCACAACUUACGGGGUUUCGAUUUUCUCGUUAAAUCUAAACAACCGAACAUCCUUCUAAAUUUAAAAUACCUAAGUUUCAAAUAAAAAUCAAAGGCAAGCUUAUUCUUGAGGGUUCAAAUGUCGCAUCCUAACUUACGGGAUGCGGCAUAUUGUUAUCGCGGGACGAGUGGGCAUUUGAUACUCAUUUCAAUUUAAUUCAAGCGUUUUUAAAAUUAAUAUCAAUAAAAAAGGAUCAUAUUUUAAAAUCUUUUUCAAAAUUUCAACUUAUUUUAAAAUCUUUUUCAAAAUUUCAACUUUCGGCAUUAAGACAUUAAGUAAUCAACUAGGUACCAAUUUUGGGCAUAUUGAGGGUGCUAAUCCUUCCUCGUGUGUAACCGACUCCCGAACCUAUUUUUUGGAUUUUGUAGACCAAAAAUGAUCGUUUUAGUAUAUUUAAAAUUUUAUUAAAAUGAUCAAAUUAUGAGGUGAUCCAAUCACACCUAAAUAAAAAUGAUUGGUGGCGACUCCAUUUUCGUUUUUAAAUAAAAAGUCGACCCUUUUACAAAAAAAAUAGUUUCGACAAAUAUUAUUUUGACAAAACAUGUAAACGUUUGUGGUCAAAUUUAUCAUUAAGCUCUUUUUUUUAUCUACACCUUUCAAUUCUCAGUAACUAUAGUGGGUCUAGAAGAGGCAGGCAUGUACCCUAACAUCUAAAACGGAAAUUUAUGAUUUAGUCCCUUUAAAACUUGUAAUUUUGUAUAUUAAUACAUCUUAUUCUAGCUUGCACAACCUUGAUAGGUGGGUUUGAAGCUGGGAUAUCUGGAAUUAAUAGAUCAUAACAGCAUGUAUGCUAUGCCAAAAACCAGGCCUUCUCCUUUUGACCACUUAAACAGACAUUGCCUUUUAGCUGUUAAUACUAUUAAUUCAGACUACUUCCUUAAACCUAACUGAGUUUAGUACCCCUAAUCUAAGCUUAGUUUCUAGUGUGUAUGAUCCAUUUUAUGGUAAUCACAGAGCAUACUUCUAAACUCACGGGAGAUUUUCUUUUAUCGAUAUACCAUAAUCAAGAAGGAAGAGAACAAAGAGUUUUAGUAAGACAUUUUACAAAAGCACUCUAGUAUUUUUUUAUUCUAAGAUUCGAUAUAUCUUACAAGUGAGAAUUCUUUCCCUUUAUAUAGAGAAAGAUUAACCUUCAUCCUUCUAAAGAUAAAGAAAGAAUCUCAAACCUUUAAAGUUAUAAACAUAUGAAACUUUAUGGUACAAUGACUCAUACAAACUUUAAUAAAAGUAAAUGUAUCCAAAGCUUAUAUAAAGCUUUUUGCUACAAUGACUCAUACAAACUUUAAAGGAUAAUAAUUCACAAAAAGACAAAAAACCUUUAAUCAGUGUCAUAAUCUGUGCUGAUGUUGAGGUAAUAUUUAAUUCUUUUAUUUUUCUCUUCUUUUCUAGAGCAGCCAAUAUCUAGAUGCCAAGUGGUAUCUUCAAAAGAAUAAAAUAGGAACAUCCGCAUUUGAUUGCUCGCCGUCCGGACAGAUUAUCCACGUAAGAUAAAAUUGAAUUCUUGUCCUAAAAUCUCAGGUUUGUCUCGAGAUCUUAUUUAUUUUACAAAAAUAACCUAAAUAAAUAAAUAAUAAUUAAAUAAAAUAAAAUUUUCGUUUUCCACCAACCUAAACACAGUCACCAUCAGAAAACAAACUCAAAACAUUCAACAGAAAAUUAAAGAAGAAAAACAGAAAAUAAAAAAAAAUUCAGAAUCAUAAGAGGGACAUAUUUUUUGUUGUUGUUGUUGUUGUUAAAGGUAAGUAUUUUAAUCACUCGUCUUUUAGUAAUAUUUUUUCUUUCUUUUUUUGGGGGGUUUGAUUUAGGUCUGGAAUGAAAAUUCCUGUAAAUAGAAUUCUUUCAUUUAAACUGUGAUUACAAUUCUGUUUUGGGGGAGGAGGUUGGGUCUUACCCGUUUCCCCCUCAUUUCAUGGAUUUAAUAAAUUGCAUCAUAUUGGUUUUUGAGAUGAAGUUUAGUAAAAUUCAGAACCGGUAACUUUCAAUACCAUUUCUUUUAUGUUUCUAUGUUUAAUAAUUAUUAUUGGUUGGGUUGAUAGAAUUCCUUCGCAUUGGUUUCUGAGAUCAAGUUUACUGAAAAGGAAUAAUGGGUUUUUUUUAUUUUAAGGAUUGAUGUAGAGAAAGUUUCAAUUCUGCAGAAUUCAAUCACUUUGGUUAAAGGAGCAUUUUUUUUUUCAUUUUAAUCUGGCAUUAAGUUUGUGUAUUUUCAUGAUUAGUGAUUUUUUACUCAAAAAUGGAGAAUUGGGUCAUUGGUUUUUGUUUAUACAAUCUGAAGUUCCUAAGUGCAAAUAUGGAAAAAGAAAAUAGUUAUAAUCUUUGUUUAUAGUGUUUUGGAGAAAGAAUUUUCUUACUUUUUCUUUUUUUUCAUUCUGUAACAGAAGUUAAUCACACUGGUUUUGGUGAACAGUUUGGAAAGUGAAGAGCUUUGGAGAGCUGUGUUUUUGGUAUAUAUGUUUGAUUUUUAGCCAAUUUUAGUAGUACUCUUUGUUUAAAAUGGAGAAUUGUGUUAUUGGCUUUGCUUCUGAAUUGCCAUAGCAAGAAAAAUGUUCCAUUUUGUAUAGUUUUUGGGAAGGACAAUAUUGUGGGUGGUUGAGUGAAUGAGACUUUGAAAGGAAAUGAGUGAGGAAUUUGGGGUUGGAUUUGAGAUACAAUGACUGGAGGGUCAUUGGGUGUACGUAUGUGGAGUUAUGGGACAUUGCCGGACAUCAAUGGUGUUAUUCCUGGGGAUGAAAAGUUAUUGCAGUCCAAAUCUUUGGUCAAUGUACGAAAGAAUUCAACCAAGAUGUUUUCAGGUUUUAGAGAAAAGGAGAGGUCUCUCCCCUUGGUUUGGUGCCGGUGUCUUGGUUGUCGGAAGUUUUCCAUGCUGCUUCUGAUUGCCUUUGCCCUUUUGGUCUUUGUCUUGGGUUCUUUAGCAGUGGACAAAGGUUUGUCCCUUUUUAUGUUAUUCUUGGUUCUAGGUUCUAAUUGGAUUCUUGGAUCUUGAUUGGUAAAGUGUUAAGUUUUGUGACUUUUAUUUCUCAGCAUGGUAAUUUGAUUGAAGCAAUAAUUAUUCAUAUUUUCUGGUUUGUGUUUUGUAUGAUUGAUGAACCAGAAACCAUUAGUCUGAAUGUUGAUCAACAGAUUGGAACUCUAAGCAUGGUUCUUCCUUAUGGGAAUGGUGCCCCAAGCAAUCCUGGAGCUUCAUGGAUCUUUGGCAAGAAAGAUAAGCAGAAAGAUGAAAAUUAUUUAGUGGCAAACAUUCUGAACGAAGACGAUGAAAAUAGAUUUCGAAUUGUUGGUUCCAAAGGUGCAAGUGUUUUACCAUCAAACCAUCCAUGCGCGAAGUUCACAUUUCCUCCUCCGCCUCCACCUAAUCUUAGACGGAUUGGACCUCGCCGUAAGUUUCAGUUCAUUCUUCUUGUUCUCAUCAUCAGAGUGGCAUUAAAUAUUGGAAUUUGGCACUUGGAUGUAUUUUAUUGUUUGUUUCUCACGAAUGUAUUAGAUGCAGUAGUUCGAGACAGUAGGAAACAUGUUUGUUUAAGAAUAGCAUAUGUUGGAAUCCCUAUAAUUAAAGAUAGAAAUCUGAUGGUAUUGGAAUCCCUAUAAUUAAGGAUAGAAAUCUGUUGGAAUCCCUUGUAAAUAGAAACUAAUCUCAGUUACUGAUUUUUAAGAAAUUAGGAUAUCAAUUACUGAUUCUUAGGAAUUAGGAUUUAUUUCCUUUAAAAUGAUUAUUUCUCUCUAUAUAAAUCUGAAAACUAAAGCAGUAGAAAUAAUAACAGAAUUUUUUCCUCUGAGUUUUUACAUGGCAUCAGGGCUUUAGGAUUCAUUCGAUCCUAAUUUUUUUUUUCUCUAAUUUCCCUUCCUAAAAAUUCGUUCGGUUUAGUCCUUCAAUGGGUGAUAUCAAUGGAAAUUUCUUUGAAAUUGAGACAUCACAAAUAACUCAGAAUAUCAAUCAGGGAAUCACUCAAGGUGAAAUUAAUUCCUCCACUACUGCUGAUGAUGUUUUUGAUGUUCGCUUAACCAAAACACAGCUUGAGACUCUCCAUAAGAUACUUGGUACUCCCACUACUCAUGGAUCUCUAGCCAUUCAAGGUACUGCCCUCAACAUUGCUUUUGAAUCUAAUAAUCAAUCUCCUUGGAUACUCGAUUCGGGCGCCUCCGAUCACAUGACAGGUGACUCCAUAUUGUUUCACACCUACACUCCUUGUCAUAACAAAUCUCGAAUCCGAAUAGCUGACGGUUCUUACUCACCUGUGACUGGAAUAGGAGAAGUACAAAUGACAGAGAGUUUUUCUCUCGAUAAAGUCCUACAUGUCCCAAACUUGUCCUGUAAUUUACUUUCAAUUAGUAAACUUACUAAGGAUGAAAAUGUUUUUGUUGAAUUUUCUGCAAUUGGUUGUAUGAUACAGGAACAAAAAUCGGGGAGGAUGAUUGGCACUGCUAAAGUUGAUGAUGGACUAUAUAUUUGGAAUAAAAACAAUACACAAGGGGGAUUGGCUCUAUCCACUUCAAAAGAGGACACUAUUAUGUUAUGGCACUGUAGGUUAGGACAUCCAAACUUUGUGUAUUUGAAAAAACAUCUUCCGCUGUUAUUUCGAAAUAAAAGUCCUAAUUCCUUGAAGUGUGAAAUUUGCCAAUUAUCUAAACAUACCCGUGUGCCAUACCCAUUAAAACCACAUAUUCAGUCCCAACCUUUUUCGUUAAUCUAUAGUGACCUAUGGGGAGCCAGCCGAGUGAAAAAUAUUACAGGGGCUAGAUGGUUUAUAACAUUCAUUGAUGAUCAAACUAGGGUCUGUUGGAUCUAUCUACUCAAAGAAAAAUCUGAAACACCCAAAGUAUUCCAAAAUUUUCACUCAAUGGUUCGAACCCAAUUCAACUCUACCAUACAUACCUUCCGUAUUGACAAUGGGAGAGAAUACUUCAACUCUGUCUUAAGUCCAUACCUUUCUGACCAAGGCAUUAUACACGAAAGCCCUUGUCCUGACACUCCUCAACAAAACGGGAUUUCUGAGAGAAAAAUCGUCAUCUCCUUGAUGUGGCUCGAGCCAUAAUGUUCACUAUGAAUGUUCCAAAAUACUUGUGGGGAGAAGCUGUCCUCACUGCCUGCUAUCUCAUAAACCGAAUGCCAUCAAAGAUCCUCUAUUUCCAAACGUCUCUAAAUACUCUUUUAAAGACCUUCCCUCUAUUUCAUGUUCCUAAUCUUCCAGCCAAAAUAUUCGGCUGUAAAGCUUUUGUCCAUAACCAUCAACCAAAUCAAUCCAAACUUGAUCCUCGAGCCCACACUUGUAUCUUCAUUGGAUAUUCCCCUACACAAAAAGGCUAUAAGUGUUACUCACCAACAUUGCGCCGAAUGUUUGUCUCUUGGGAUGUUACCUUCUUUGAAAAUGAACCAUACUUUGCAGCAUCUCAUCUUUAGGGGGAGAUUUUUAAUGAAGAUGAGACCCUUAAUACUCUCCUCAUUAUACCGCCUGAUCCUACUACUACUAUCACAAACAAACCUAUCCCAGAUUUAGUUGUUGUUUCCCCUAUGCAGCAAGAAUUUAACACCGCCCUUCCCAAUGACAAUACCUCCACCGAAGUACAACAGCCACUUGAUCAAGGAAAACAGCAAAUACAGGUUUACUCCCGACGAAAUCGUUCUCUUGAAACUGAUACAGCAGUGCCAAUUACAUCUCCAACCGACGACUGUUCUGAAACAGAAGUCCCACCUCCGUCACCAUCCAUCUAUCUUCCAAUUGCAGUUCGAAAGGGUACAAGGAGCUGCACUCAACAUCCUAUUUCUCGGUUUGUAUCCUAUGGAAAUUUAUCUAAGUCUUAUAAAGCUUUUGUGACUAAUGUUGAUUCUAUAAAAAUUCCAAAAAAUAUAGAAGAGGCUCUUGAAUCAGCUGAGUGGAGACAAGCCGUGAUGGAAGAAAUGAAGGCCCUCAAAAACAAUGAAACAUGGGAAGUCUCGGAUCUGCCUAAAGGAAAAAAAACCGUAGGGUGCAAAUGGAUUUUCACUACGAAAUUUAAACCCGAUGGCCGUAUUGAUCGAUACAAAGCUCGACUUGUGGCUAAGGGAUUCACCCAAACUUAUGGUCUCGACUACAACGAGACGUUUGCACCGGUUGCCAAGCUAAACACCGUUCGGGUCCUGCUAUCUCUUGCUGCCAACCUUGAUUGGCACUUGACUCAAUUGGAUGUAAAAAAUGCUUUUCUCAACGGGGAAUUAAAUGAGGAGGUGUACAUGGAUUUCCCACCCGGGUUUGAAGAAAACAAGGACCAAGUGUGUAAGUUGAAGAAGUCCUUGUAUGGGCUGAAACAAUCUCCACGAGCAUGGUUCAGCCGAUUUGCAAAAGCUAUGACUAGCAGAAAUUACAUUCAAGGACAGGCAGACCACACCAUGUUCUACAAGCACUCGGAAGAGGGUAAAUGCUGCAUCCUUAUCGUUUAUGUUGACGAUAUAAUAUUAACAGGAAAUGACUCGAGCGAAAUUUUGAGAUUGAAAGAAUUUCUUGGUACAGAGUUUGAACUUAAAGACUUGGGGAGUCUUAAAUAUUUUCUUGGUAUGGAGGUAGCAAGGUCGAAAAAAGGUAUCUUCAUUUCCCAAAGGAAAUAUGUUCUUGAUCUACUGUCGGAAGUUGGUUUGAUGGGCAGCAAACCAGCCGAAACUCCUAUGGAGUUUAACCUCAAAUUGGGAACUAAUGAGGAUGGAGAAGAAAUCGACAGGGGGAGAUAUCAACGUCUAGUAGGAAGGCUCAUCUACCUAUCUCACACCCGUCCAGACAUAGCCUUCAGUGUGAGUGUUAUUAGUUAGUAUAUGCAUGCCCCGAGGGAGAAGCACCUGGAAGCUGCAUAUAGAAUACUAAGAUAUCUAAAAGGAACUCCUGGUAAAGGCCUGUACUUCAAGAAGACUGUCAACCGAAGCGUGGAAGUCUACACUGAUGCAACUGGGCUGGAUCUGUUAAUGAUAGACGCUCUACAAGCGGCUAUUGUAGUUAUGUUUGGGGUAAUCUCGUGACGUGGAGGAGCAAAAAACAGUCUGUGGUAGCACGCAGCAGUGCAGAGGCAGAGUAUCGAGCACUAUCUCAUGGUAUAUGCGAAGGAGUUUGGAUACAAGACUUAUGGGAGAACUAAAAGUGCCUUAUACCAGACCUAUGAAGAUGUACUGUGACAACCAGGCUGCUGUCAGCAUAGCACAUAAUCCUGUGCAUCAUGAUCAGACCAAACAUGUGGAAAUAGAUCGUCACUUUAUAAAAGAAAAAGUACACUCAGGAGAAGUAUGCAUCACCUACCUACCUACUAGACAACAAGUUGCAGACAUGUUAACUAAAAGUUUGAACAGAAACAUGUUUGAAGAACUUAGUGGCAAGCUGGGUUUGAUUAACAUCUACACUCCAGCUUGAGGGGGAGUGUUGGAAUCCCUAUAAUUAAGGAUAGAAAUCUGAUGGUAUUGGAAUCCCUAUAAUUAAGGAUAGAAAUCUGUUGGAAUCCCUUGUAAAUAGAAACUAAUCUCAGUUACUGAUUUUUAGGAAAUUAGGAUAUCAAUUAUUGAUUCUUAGGAAUUAGGAUUUAUUUCCUUUAAAAUGAUUAUUUCUCUCUAUAUAAAUCUGAAAACUAAAGCAGUAGAAAUAAUAACAGAAUUUUUUCCUCUGAGUUUUUACAGCAUAAUAUAUUACCAGAAAACCAUUGGAUUUUUAUUUCUGUGCCUUUUCUUUUUAAGAUCAUAAUUACUAUUGCACCAAAAUUAACUGAUCCAAGCAUAAUCAUAAGAAUGAAAUAACAUUUUCUUAUCUUGUAAUCAGUGUGUCAAUUUGUUCGUCGCUUUUAUUAUUGCUCGUCCCUUUUUCAGCAUGUCCAGUAUGUUACCUCCCUGUGGAUCAGGCUAUCGCUAGCAUGCCAAGCUCCCCCUCAGCGUCUCCAGUGCUUCAAAAUUUGACAUAUGUUCACGACGAAAAUCCAAUAAAAACUGAACCACAUGGGGGCUCUGACUUUGGUGGAUAUCCUUCUAUAAAGCAGAGAAGCGAUUCCUUUGAUGUAAAAGAGUCAAUGACAGUGCAUUGCGGGUAGGUUUCACUCUCCUUUAGCAUAUUCUAUGCGGACAUUUCAGGUUGAUACUUGUGCAGUUCUCAUGGCUUAUAUGGUGCAUUUAAGUGAUUCAAUUAAUAAUUUUUCUUCAUAAUAUGCCCUAUUCCUCUAGUUUCUUUUUAAUAUUAGAUUUAUAUACUUUCUCUGUCAGAUUUGUUAAGCGAAGUAAACCAGGCCUGCAGACUGGUUUCGACUUUGAUGAGUCUGACGUUGCAGAGUUGCAGCAGUUCCAUGACAUCAUUGUUGCAUCGGCCAUAUUUGGUACUUUUAGGUGUUCAAGCUUCCACAAAAGCUUCUUGCUUUUAUGCAUGAUUGAUCCUUAUCAUUGCUUUAUUUAUUUUUCUCUAGGGAACUAUGAUGUAAUACAACAGCCCAGGAACAUUAGUGAAGAAGCAAAGAAAAAUAUUCCUUUUUACAUGUUUAUUGAUGAAGAAACGGAGGCAUAUAUUAAGAAAAAAAGUAUUUUGGACAGCAGUAAAAGGGUGGGAUUGUGGAGAAUUGUUGUUGUCCGCAAUGUUCCUUACAGUGAUGCAAGACGUAAUGGGAAGGUUAGCACACUUCAGUUUGGUUAGUUUGCACUUUGAUUAUAUAUAUGUGUGUGUGAAUUACGUAUGUAUGUAUAUACGCACUUCUGAUCACUACUUGGAAUUUUGGCAAUCUGAUUCAUGUUUGAGCAUUCAUGAGAUCAUUGAAACUUAGAUUAGAUAUUUAUUUCUUUUUCCUUUUUUCUUAUAUCAACAAUAUUAAAUUCUGAAUACAUAUGCAAGAAAGUAGGAAUCACUAUUGUUGAGUUCAUUAAAUCAUUGUGCUUUUUGUGUAUAACUUUACAAUCUAUUGCCUGGAAUGUAAAGGCAGAUUUUGCAAUUUGAUUCAUUUGUAUUCUUUUUUUCUCUAGGGUCUAGGCUGCUAGAAGCUUAACAUUCAUCGUGUCUUAGUGUAUUUCAUUUUGCAGUUUGCUGUUAUAUGUGUUUCAGUUUUGUUUGGUUGUAAUAGAUAAACUGGAAGACGCCCAUAUCUUUAGGUGCAGAGAUGCCAUCAUAAUUUUUGAAACUAGUACAAGUAAACGUAAUUCGAAAGUUAGUCCCUUACAGUUUUAGCAACAAUGGUGAACUUGUCCUAUGGUAGUUGAAUUCACUUUCAAUUUCAGAGACUGGAUUUCUUCUUAUAAAGCUUUUUGGACACUGCCAGAGCAAGGAUGAGAAGAAAAGAGGUGGGGAGGGGAUCGGGUUGUUGAUUCUCAUUUUUGUCUCUGUUUUUCUUCUUCAAAAUGGACAUAAAUUUUUUUACUUAAAUUCAGAAAUAAGUGUCAUGACUAGGUUGUUCUUUGGUGACAUUUCAGGAAUAACUGGUGAUUAAUCCUUAUCAGAAAUUUCAUAGGUUAUCUACACUUAAAGGAUUCUGAGUCUUUUUUACGUCACAUGUAUUUAUGGCAGGUCCCGAAGCUUUUAUUACAUAGAAUCUUCCCCAAUGUUCGCUACUCUAUAUGGAUUGAUGGAAAGCUCCAGCUAGUUGUGGACCCUUACCAGAUUCUUGAGAAGUAACCUUCAUUUUGUGAUUAUAUUUAUAUGCCACUGAUUUUUAGAAUUGGUUCUUAAAUUAGAUUAUAUGAUUUCCUUUUUUUCAUAUGUACUGCAUCUCUAAGUUAUUAUGAAACACCAGGGCUCAUUGUCAUUCAAGAUUAUUAACCAAAGUUUUGCUACAUAGCUACUUAAGUAUAACCAUCACUGUGGUUUAAUACUCUGUGUUAGUACAACGAGAGCAUCUACAAUGCAAUCUCAAAAUUAUGAUAUCAUAUGUUGGUGAUGCUAUGGGAAUGAACAGUUUGCUUCAUCUUGUAUUUGAUAUAAAGUCUUCAUUAACCAAAAAGUUAUGCGACUUUUGCUAGAUUUAUAUCUUUGAACACUUGUAAAUGUUUGACAUUAUGAUUUCUUGAGUUAUUCUUUUGAUUUAAGUAUGGCAGAGAGAAAAGGCAGUACAACCCGAGGACUUAAUUAAGGAAACUUGGUCCUUUAUAAAACUUUUGUAACUUAGUGAAGAUGGUUAGUGAAGAUGGCCUCCGGUUAGGCAUAGUGAUUUGCGGCAAGCAUGCUUUAAAGUUGUCUUUAGAUCUGAGGGUAUAAUUUAACUUUUAUUUUUUCAUUACCUUAUUUGGUCAUUUUUCUUCUUAGAUUCUUGUGGCGCCAAAAUGCUAAUUUUGCAAUCUCAAGACACUACAGACGGUUUGAUGUCUUUGUAGAGGCUGAAGCAAAUAAAGCUGCCGGAAAAUAUGAUAAUUCCUCGAUCGACGAGCAGGUGGAUUUUUAUAAACAAGAGGGUUUGACACCAUAUUCUGAGGCCAAGUUUCCUAUAACCAGUGGUACGUACGGUAUUUUAGGCAAUUACUAAUAUGCACACACCUUUUCCUUCUAAGAUAUUUCAACCAUUUCUCUAUUAAAAAUUCUAGCCUUUUGGUGUGUGACUGAUUUCUUCAGAUGUUCCUGAAGGUUGUGUACUCAUAAAGGAACAUAUUCCGAUCACAAAUCUGUUUACCUGCCUGUGGUUCAAUGAAGUUGAUCGUUUUACAUCCAGGGACCAGUUAAGCUUUGCGAUGGUAAGAGAUAAAAUAAUGGCAAAAGUUGAUUGGAAUAUCAAUAUGUUCUUGGAUUGUGAAAGACGCAAUUUUGUCGUACAGGUAUAAAUAUAUCUCUCUUUAUUCAAUAUUGGCAUAUUAACUUGAUAGGAUUAUGAAUCUAGAUCGUUAAAACUGAUUUUUUAUAUUUUAUUUUAACCCUCUAUAAUAGCUUUUCAGUUAUAACAGAAACAUCUAUAGUUAUGAAGGGUGUUCUUUACUAAAUUAGUUCUCCAUAACAACAUAUCGUCUAAAUUUUUAAGUAAAACUAUAGCUAUUUCAUAUAAGCAAGCUAUUAAUUAUCAUUUAUUAAAUAAACAUAAUUUUAAUUGAAACAUUAUUUCAAUAAAAUGAUUAAAUUUCAUGUGAAGAAAUUUAUUAAUCUUAUUUUAUAAAAUGAAAGUAAUCUUCAAUGAGUGGGAUUAAAGAUCUCAAUUCAAUAAACUAUUAAGUUCUCUAAUUAAAUACUCUACUAUGAAUUUGGAACAUCAGAAAUUUAUAAAUUGAUUACUUGAAUUCUAUAACUUAUGAUAAAUUAAUUAAUUUAAUUUGAUAAAUCAUUAAUUAAUUGAACUUGUUAGAUUUAUGAACUUUAUAAUUAAUCACGUGAAAGAAUGUAAAAUAAAAGAUGCAUUCAAGCUACAAUUCAUGCACCUAUUAUACGUUUUUUAUUUUGUUUUGAUUCUACUUUCUUUCGUUUUUUAAUAUAAUUUUUACUUUCUUUAUUUGAAGGGAAUUGACUAUAUAAAUUCUAUAAUAAACUUGCAACGAUUUUCUCUCUAUUACAGCAUGCUGUUAUAGGUGUAUAACAGCCACCUCUCUAUAACAGACAAAUGACUCUGUUGUUGAGAGGGCUGACUGUAUUUUGUUUUUCCAAUUUUUUUCCAAGAGCGUUUGCAAAGAAGAUUACAUGCAAAGAAGAAGACAUGUUUCAAUUAUCUUGCUAUGUCAAAAAUCAUUUUAUUAGUGCUUAAUUAAAAAAUUGAGGCUUUUGAUUGGAUACAACGAACAUUCUCGAUAUGUAUGUGCUUGGAUGGGGGCAUUUACAGUUCCGAUAGGUGCAAGUAAUCUUCUUCAAGUGAUUUUUUCUUUUUUCUUAACAGACAUACCAUAGAGAUUUAUUGGAGCAAAUGCCUCCACCAGUUGCUAAUAUGAUUCGACGCCCUCCAGCUUUGCCUAGUAUGCGUAGAAGAACACCAGGGAAGAGGAUUACCAGACGGAGAUCCAGUUCAAGGCGUCACCGUAAGGCUGCUACUGGUAAUAGAGAUCAGUUUCUUUUAAGUACUUUCUGAGCCAAAGGGGGGUGGGGAGUGGGGAAGGCAAUGUAGCUUUCUUGUUUUCGUUUUUCUUGAACAAAAUCAAAUUGUUUCUGAUUGUCAUCACGGAGUAGUAAUAGUUAGAUGAUUCUAGGAUCAUUUAAAGAGUAAAUUGGCACUUCUUUUUUGUCUGAAAUUUUGAUAUCUAUUCUUUAAUUGUUAUACAUCCUGAUUGAGCUUAAUCAUACAAGCUGCUGUCAUUUUCCUUGUAUCUUUUGCAUUCAACCUUGUUUGCCACUUCUUUGGGGGUCAAGCCUUGCAAUAAUUUUCCAUCUUGAACCCAAGGUUAUACAUUUGGUUGCAAGUGGAGAAUAGAAAAUGGGAUGCAAAUGAUGAGAUUUGUUGGACACCACUUGAUUGUAAUAUUAUGAUCUUGUUUUGAAGGAAGUGAAUUAAGAGUCUCCAGAAGGCCGAUUUUGAUAAUCUCUUGCUCAUGCUAAUAUGCUGAUAGACCAUUGUAGAGUUUCCUGUAAAAGCCAGGCAUAAAUCUUGACCAUUUUAGUCAAUUCUUUCAUUCGCAUGAUCUAAAGGAGGUAUAUGACUACUAUUUGAUAAAUUUACAAGGACUUCAGCCCAAAGUGGAAAUCUUUAUCCUUUUAAGGUUUCAGCAUGAUUUAGGCGAUUGUUUUCGGAAGCAGGCUGGCAGAUUGGAUUGAGAAUCAAUGGGAGUAUCGGUCGGGAGAGAAGAGUUAAAUUGAUUGACCAGCAAAAUCGGUACGAAUGGUUAAAUUGGGCCAAAAAACUAGUUGAAUUAAUUUUCUUUACUUUUUUUUUAUUUUUUUAAUAUUAUAAAUUUUUAAUAAUUUAUUUGAUUGGAUCGAUGACUUGACCAGUUAGACUACCGAUUUAAUUAUGAAAAUUUGAUUUAGAUGGCGAAUAAUUCAUGGGAAUAUGCAUAUCUGGUAAAAAUUGAAGGCUUAAUAUAUCAUUUUGAACAUGAGUUUGACACUUUUUUUUAAUGUGAUACGUGUUAUUUUUUAGCCCAAUCUGGUACUUAAUAUUUGCCAAAAAUUAUAUAUUUUUGUACCCAAAGAUAAUGGUGUCAACUUUUUAGUGUUUUAUUUGGAUUUUAGGGUUGAUUUGAUGAAAGUUAAUUGCUAAUAUUAUUAGGUUCGAAUUUUUCAUGAUUUUGUUAAUAGAAUAUAUUCAAUGGUAAUUUUGAAUUUAUUUGAUUUUGCAUUUAAUUUGUCAAAUACGGUUCAAUGUAAGUGACUUAAUUCUGAUUUUAGGGUUAGUUUGAUAAAAGCUAAUUACAAAGCCAAUUAUGAAUUUUCAUCAAAUCGAGUCUAAAACUCGGAUUAAACACUAAAAAGUAAACACUUCUACCUUCAGGUGUUAAAAUCUAUAAUUUUCGUCAAAUACAACUACCAUAUAAAAUAAAAUAAAAACAAUACAAGUACCACAUUUAAAAAAAAUGCAAACUCAGAUACCAUAGUAUUCAUUAAACCAAAAUUGGAAUGCAAUUGAAUAUGAGAUUUAGUUAAUUGGUUGGUAAUUCAACUUCAAAAUGUAAUAGAUUUAGACUUUGAUUCUUGGUGACUUAAAGCACUAAAUUAAUAAACCCAAACAUUUUAUUUACAAGAAAGCAAACAUAAUACGUCUUUGAAUUUUAACCAUUUUUAUUUUUCUGAGAAAUUUUUGUAAUGAGAUUUCCUUUUCCUUAAUUGGAUGGUAAGCAUACAAAGUCUUUGAGGAGCUCAAGGUUCUAUUAUCUUAUACAUCUAAAGAAAAAGGGAUAAUCUUUGAUUAUGUUUAUUUUUUCAUAAAAUUAUGGACUUGUGUUACUCUAUUUUCCCCCAAAAUAUUUGUAUGUGAUAUUUUUAGUCAUCAAGUUUUUUUAGUUGAUAUCUUUAUGUCUGUUUUAUGGUUCAUGUUCGAGGUUUAUGGCUACUUCUCUCAACAAUGUCGUCUCUAAGGUUCAAACCUAAAUCUUCCCUUUGAAAGUGCAUUAUAUAACUUACCAUUACACCUAACUACUUAUUGAUUAUACUAUGAUUUUUUUAAAUGUAUAAACAUUUAAAAUUUAAAUAUAAACCUAUUAAAUAUAUACAAUAUUAUGGGUAAAUUUCAAUUUGAUUCUUAUAUUUCUCUCAAAUUUGAGAUUUAAUCUAUAUACUUUAAUUUUGACAUAAUUUAAUACUUUAAAUUUUAUAAUGUCAUUAGUUAGUCUAAAUACUUUAUUCUAAUUAAAAUGAUGAUGUGAAUUUUAAGAAUUGUUAGCAUCGUUAAAAUUAUUUAUUAAAUUCAGGUCUGUUGCAAUAUUAUUUUUUUGUUAUUGGAUACCAAUUUUUUUUCAAUAUGUCACACCAACAUAGAAGAAUUCUAACAAUGUUAACAUAUGGACCUAAAUUUUUAAAUUCGAAAAGUAGAGACUAAAUUCCUAAAAAUAAAAGUGUGGAGAUUAAAAUCCAAAUAUACAAACAGUACUAAAAUUUUGAGCGAAUUGUAACCUUUAAAUUUUUACACUAUAGUUUAGUUAAGAAAUAAAUAAUUAUGCUAGUACAAAAUCUUUAACAUUCGUUAGACCGGGUGACACUAUUAAUUGGUAAUGAUGAAAUAGAAAAGAUAAAAGUAUUAUGGAGACCCUUGUAUUAAGAGUCAGAUUGUAUUUUGCCUUUCUACUAAAAAUGGUUAAAUUAAUCUCUGUACAUUAAAUUAAAGAACAAAUGUAUCCUUUCUAUUAAAAUUUUUAUCCAUUUGUACUAGUAAAAACUGACAUGACUGAUAGAAUAACUCGACAAUAACACAUGGCGUACCAUGUAUACCUCAUGUUGACGUACAAAUACUAAAUUUUAACAACAGAAAUAGAUAAAACUUUUAACAAUUUUUAAAUAAAAAGAAUAAAAUAUAAUCUAAAGUAGUGCAAAUAAGCCAAAAAGUAUCUAACAUGGUGACCCAUUACUCUAUAAAUUAGGGACCAAUCAACCAAUCACAUCUCCCCUAUUCAAGAUAUUAAAAGAAAGCAGCACUUUUAGGUAGAAAAUUUUAUUAGCAUUUAUCAAUAGGCCAAGACAAUGUGUAAAAGCUUUGGCCCCACUUAUCCAAUUCCAUAUAUAAUAAACAUUAGGACAACAUAUCUCACCAUUAUUGUAAUUAUUGUGGAAAAGGAAAAAAAGGUUUUCACCCAUCACUUCAUACCCCACCUAUGUUUCAAGUCUCUUUGCACAAUUUGGAAGUAACCCAAAACAUAGAAACAUGACAUUUUAUGCCAUUGAUUGAGUAUGGAAAGUAAGCAAUCUCUCAAUUCUAUUAAUACUUUUUAUUUAUUUAUUUAUAUCCAAAUAAAAUCUCUUGUAAAAUAGUCAAAAUUAUAUUUAUUUGGACAUUUGGAUGCUUGGCUUGAUUUCCAUCCACCAUAAAAAGGUAUUAUAAUAAAUAUAGCCCUUAACAUUUACAUGUUCUAUCAAUUUAGUUUGUAUUCCCUUUUUUUUAUUUAAAUUUGACUUAACCUGUAAAAAAGAAUGGAUUUCUUUUUUAUAACAAAAAUAUUUUAAUUUUUUAGAUAUGACAGCCUGCAUGACAAUUCAGUAUACUUUAUGUUUAUUUAUUUUUUGAAUAGUUUUAUAAAAUUUAAAAUAUUUCUUGAUGUGUCAUAUGAGAUAAAUAGUGUCAUAUCAGUAUAAUUUACACGUGCACUGAACAAGUUCUUCGCAGGAAAUCUAUCGGAAUGGACCAAGGCUAAUUUGGAUAACUCAGGUUGGAGGUUGAGGAAUGGGGUUCUAUGGCCAACCCUCUUCAGGUUGUUAGCAUGGCGUAUAUAGAAUAUAAAUCUUUUUGUCUUUCAGGGUAUUUCUUGGAAUUUUUUAGAAACUAUUAAGAUUUCAUUAUGUUGGGCAAUACAAUAUAACUUAGCACAAAGUUGGGGUCGAAGUAGCGAGAAUAACUUAGAUGAUGAAGGUAUUUUAGGAAAUUAUACGAACGAUAGGAGUAAUGAAUGAUAAUUCUAGGGAAUUAGUUUAAUUAGGUAUUUUUUACACCAAAAAUAAUAAUUAAAAGAUUAAUAUUUUCGUCACUGUUCAUUAAAAAAACUAUUUCACUAUUUUUAGAAGGUUAAUAGUUAAAUUUAAUUUUAAAAAAAUAAGGAUCAAAUUAAUAAAAAUAUAAACAUUAAGGGUAAAAUUUGUAAUAAGCACCUUUUUGCUUCUUCCAUUCCAUCCAGUCCCUUUUAAUUCCAAAAUCUCAGCUCUGGGGUCAGUGUUUUGGAUCCAAACUUCCAUCUUAUUUACAAAAAAAAUGGCUCGAGAAUCGAGAUCAUGCACCAAUCAUUGAAUCAAAUACUCGAAUACCAGUAAGUUCUUUUUUUUUUCUUUUUCUUUUUUACAUAUAGAUCAUGUCUUACAAAGUUUUCUAAUCAUUGAAUCAGUUCUUGGUUAAAGAAAAGGAAAGGUUUCCUUUAGUUUCUUUGAUCAAUGAGCUUACCAGGGUUCUUCAGUAUCUGUAUGCUCCAAUCCAUAGUCGCUAUUACUUGUGGAGCUUUAAUGAUGUUUUACACUAAGGAAGUCACAGUUUUGGGUCACGGUCAUGAAAUAGCAAGCAAACUGCAAGGUUCAACGCCUCAUGAUCAACUCUUGAUCCAAACCUCAGAAUCCUUUUCUGGGUUGCUUUUGUUCACUAUUGGUUUUGUGUUGUUCAUGGUGGCAUUCGUUAAAGAUGGAGAGUUCCAAAGCUUCUUUGCUAAAGGGUGUGUGUUGGUUCAUGUUUCUAUGGCUAUUUGGAGAGUUUGUUUUGAAGGAAAACUUCUGGGUUUUGGUCAUGAAUGGCUUAGACAAGCUCUUGGGGAUAUUGCUUUGGCACUUUCUUGGGUUUUCCUUCUGGUGUGUUCAUGGAGGGAAAAAUAUGAUUAGUUUGAUUGAAAAACAGAAUAAAUUGUAUGUUCAUAGUGGUGGGGAUUUCUGGAAUUUCAAUCCAAACUGAUAAAAUCUGAAUCUAAAUUGCAAUAGCAUGUGUUUCUGGUUAGAUUUCAUGUAUAGCUAGACUUCUUUAGUGGGUGAAAUUGAUUUUGGGCAAGGUUAAUUUAAACCAACUUUUUUUUAUUUGGAUUUGUGUCAAUUUCAUGUCCAUAAUAUUUUGAGUUCUUUAUUUUGGUUCAAGUUUCUUUAGGAAAGGGGUUGAAUUAUUACAAAUUUGAUCCUCUUGGGUUUGAAUAAUUUUGGUUAUUUAUUUGGGCUUAUCUAAAUUUAAAGUUAUUUCGUGUCUGUCUGAAUCAAUUUAGAUUUAAAUGAUUGUAUGGGUUUAAGUUGUUACUUUUUUACAAUCAAAUAAAGUCGGGUCAAAUUUAUAUUUAACUUAAUUAAAUAAAAGAUUUCAAUUCGGAUCAGAAAUGAUUAAUCUAUAUACCAAAAAUAGAUUAUAGUAUCAUAUUGUGAUGAUUAUUUAAAUGAGUUAAAAAGGGGAUCUUAGAUUGUCUUACUUGAUUCUUGCAUAAGGUAAGGAAAAUGCUUGAGUUGAAAGAAAAAUGCAAAGGAAUGUGAUAUGAGGUUGCCAUGUUUGCUUUUAUUGCAAUGGUGAGAAAAUGCUUUUCAUGGCUCAAUGUAUUUUAAUGUAAAGCAAUAAUUUCCAUGUAAUUUUAUGAUUGUUAGAAAAAAAUUUCGCAAAAUAAAUAAAUAAAAGAUAUUUUAGUAUGAUAAAUUUGAACAAUUAAUUAAUUUAUUUAGUUCCUAAAAUUAUUAUUUUAAAAAUUUUUUAAAAUUUUAACUUUCUUUAUAUAUUCUUUAGAUUUUUUUAAAAAAAUUAUUAUAGUUUUUUUAAAAUAUAAAAUUUGAAAUUUUUAUAAAUAUUUUGAAUUUUAAAAAAUUAUUUUGAUAUUUUUUUUUAUAAUUUUUGUUGAUAGAGACCAAUUUGUUCGUUUUCAAAAUUGACAAGGUCCAAAGGAUAUUUACACCAAUCUAUUAUUCAAAUUAUUCAAAUUAUAAAAUUCAACUUGAUUCGAACUUGAAACUCAAAACUCGAAUUACUUAUUCGAGUUGACUCGAAUAACUCAAAAUUUAAAUUUUUUUAUUUUUUAAAUCGAAUCGAGUUUUACUUACCUUUAUUUUAGAUGAUUCCGUACAAAAAAAAAUCCAACAUUUAUAGAAAAGAUAUUUGGGAUAAUAACAUAGGGAUAACAUUGAAUUAAAAAAGAAAUAAAGUUUAAGAUUUAAAAUAUUGAUUUUACAUUAUAAAAUUGUUUAAUAUAUUAGUAAAGAUUAAACUCCGAAUAUAAUUAUUUUAUUUGAAUUUAGUAAAUCUUGAUUAAAUUUUUUUUUCCUUCGCAAUUGUAAUCUUAAUAAUUUUAUUUUGAAUAGUUUUAUAUAAAAGUUAAAUUUUAAAUAUUUUAAUUUUUAAUAAAAUAGCGACGUCAACUUAAUAUUUUUACAUAAAAUGUUAUGUAACUAUUUAUUUAUCAUAUUCAACACUUUUUGUUGAAAAUUUUUUAUUAAGUAAAAAAUUAAUAUAUUUAUCAAACCUAAUUAAGAAAUUCAAUGUUGAAUUUUUUUUUAAUUUCAAUAAAAUGGGAAGUUUCAUUGAUUUAUCGAUCACACUCUAAAGUGUAAUAAUCCGAAAACUAUUCGUGUAUAUAUUUCAUAAAAACAUGAAAUCAAAGUAGCCGGAAGACAUGAAAAUAAAUGGAUUAUUUCAAAAAUUUUACCUAAGCGAGAUAUGCUAAGACGAAAUAUUUGUUGAUAUGGACUUCAAGCCAUUAGGAGUACCUUCUCGAAUAAAUGUAGGAUAGCUAUUUGAAUGCUCGCUUGGGUUAGUAGGGAGUCUACUAUAUAGACAUUAUCGAAUAACAUUAUGUUAUGAGAAAUAUAAAUAAGAGAUUUCGAGAAAAUUAGUAUUUUUCGAAUUAUAUGAAGCCAGUAAGCAAACAACAAAUCAAUGGAUAUUUGCAUUUUCAAUUAUAUUAAAUUGAAUACUUAUUAUGUUAAUAUUGUUAAAUUAUUAUUUAUUUCCAAAUAAAAAUUGCAUUGUUCAAAAUUUUUCUUGCCUAAAUAUCAUUGGAAACAAUGUGGGAUGAGCAUUUCCAAUUUUACUUUUCUUGGGAAUAAUAUUUUCAACCAAUAAAAAGGUCUGACCCGACCCGACAUCAACGUGGCCUGCUUUAAAACCGUAAAACCGAAUCACUUUUCUUCCUUUGUUGCCUCCCUUAAAACCUCUGGAAAACCCCUCACCUGGUUGCCGGCUUCGUUUACUAAAAAUUCAAGGGUAAGCUCUUCUUUUUAUUAAUUAUCAUUUGUUUUUCUAUCUAUUUCUUGAUUCACUAGAGGCAAAUGAUUAAACUACAGGAAACAAAAGGAAAAAGAUAAAAACUUGUAGAGAUAAAAGAUUAAAUUUUUAUCAUUGGAAAGUGUUGAUUUGUUUGAUUCAUGUCAUUUUCUGUCUGGGUUUUUGUUUUUCUGAUGAAUUAUGGCUGCUUUUCCCUUUUUUUUUUGAUGAAAAUUGGCUAUGUUUUUUUUACUAAACUUUAGUGGGCUUGAUCUUGAUUUUACUGUUAAGUUGCCCGAAAAUUGGGUUAAUUCGAAAAAUGGUUUGGUUAAGGGUAGAUGAAAUAAUUCAGUUAAUGCCUAUUCGUUUACUGUUUUAUCCGAAUUAUACAUAUGAACACCUAAAUUGGCACUUUAAACUUUUCAAGAACCUUUUCUUGUUUUCUUGAGUGAUGGCCUGUUUUUAGCUGUUCACAUAAAUUUGUGAUGUUCUUAUCGAAUUCAGUUCAAAUCAUACUAGAUAAAUUGGAUUUGUGAUUGUUAUGCGCUUCUUUCAGUAUCAAUUAAGGAUGGUAUAAAAUGUAUAAAUGCUGAUAUUGGUAGUUGAAUGAUCAAAAAAAAAAAAGUAAUAGACAUUAUCUGCAGUUUUUUGGUUGUGAUAAGAUUCAUGUUAUCAUGGCCUAAGCUGUUCUUCGUUGUCUUUUUUGAUGAAAUUACUUCAUUGUGCUUAGUGGCACUUCAUUAUGCUUAGUGACACUUCCUUGUUCUUCUGCUUUCUUGUGAUAUGUUUUUCUCUUUCUUGAUUUCCGUAACAGUAUCUUACGUUUGCUUACUGUCCAAGACAAUGGAUGAGUUGCCAACACAAAGCACAUCUGCCUUGGCCUCACCUCGCUUACAGCUAAACCGGGGAUCAACAACGGCAACAUCUGGUCCAGAAUCAAAGCCAAAGAAGAAAAUUUGCUGUGCUUGCCCCGAGACAAAGAAGCUGAGAGAUGAAUGCAUUGUGGAGCAUGGUGAAGAAGCUUGUGCAAAAUGGAUAGAGGCUCAUCGUAUAUGCCUUCGUGCAGAGGGCUUCAAUGUUUGAAAUUGGUAUUCGAAGUUCAUAGAAUGAAAAUAAUUUGAGGUACAAACUAUUAUUAGAGGAUUAAACAGAUAUGAUUUGACAAAAAAGAAUCCAGAAAUAAAAAGAAAGCUUUAUCCUAAAUUGUUCAUUUUUGUUUUUGUAUUUUUCUUUUUUAUGAGGUUAUUUACCUCUAAUAAAUGAAUUGAAACAUCUGGAAUACUUCUAUGAAUCAUGAUAGGAUAGAGCGAAACUCUGUAUGCCUUGGUUCCUUGAGUAAACAUUUCCCCUUCUGUACUUCUAUAUUAGCCGACUCUCGUAUUCAAUUUCUAUUACUACCUGUGUUAUUGUGUAACCUAUGUUGGUAAAAAUUUUGACCAAAGAAGAUUGCUCAAACUUAAGAUUUGCUUUGUAGGGUAGAAAGAAAAUCAACAAGAUGAAAAAUUGGAGGAGAAAACAUAUAUAUUAUAUAUAUAUAAGUUUCCAUUGUUAUGCUUGGUAGGAAAGGAUGAAAAAAAAUCUUUCCAUUCACUACUUAGUAGAGUUGAAAAUUGAGUGGAAAAAAAUUUUAAAAGUAACAUAAUUUUGUAAAGUUCACCUUUGAUUUCAACCUUUCUCAUUUUCUCUUUGCUUAUCAUUUCAAUUUGGAGUGAUUCAUUUGUAUGCAUUAAGAACGAAAAUGAUCAUCUUUCUUAUUUUCCUUCCACUUGUUAUUUAUACUAAGUACACUUGAUAUUUAUUUUCUUUCCACUUUCAAUUCCUCUUUCCUUCCUCCCACUUUUCCACUCAAUCAAGCACAUCCUUAAGCUUUGCUUUCUAAGAUGAAAAGAAAGUUGGAAAGAUGAAAAAUUGAAGUGCAAAACUGGAAAGAUAGCAAAUAUGUAUAUUCUUUCCAUUGGUGUGCUGGGUAGAAAAUAUGAAAAAUUGAAAGAAAAAGUAAUUUUCUUUCCAUUCAUUGCUUGGUAGAGUUAAAAAAAUGAGAGGAAAGAAAAUGAAAAUUAUAAGAAAUGUAUAAUUUUGAGCACUUAACUUACUUCUCUCUCGUUUUCUCCUCUUAUUAUUCCAAUUUGGAAUGAUUUGUUUUCAUACAUUAAAAUGAAAAAUGAUCAUCUUUCCUAUAUUCUUUGUUCUCACUUUUCUUUCCUACCAAGCACACUUAAAAGAUUAUUUUCUUUCCUCUUUUCCAUUGUCUUCUUCCACUCUUCCUCCCGCUUGUUCAUUCAAUCAAGCACCCUUAAUGCUAGAAUGGCCUUAGUGCAAGAAUGGCAUCCUGGUGACAACUUAAUUGAUAAUGAAGGCCAACAUGGGGAAUAAAUUCUUGUGGUUUUCGUUUUCCUUUAUAUCUUUAUGUUUGAAUUGUUUUCCUUUGUAGAAAAGCAUAAAAAAAGUAAUGAACAUAAUUGUUAGGAUUGAGCUAUUCUCUUUGUCAAACUACCUGGUGUUCUAGUUCCUUUUUGUUCUCUGUAAGAUAAAUCUCUGCAUAUUGCUAGUCGCCUGGAACAAUGAACAGCUUUAGCUUAUUAAUAUUCAGGGUGUAGCAUUUUCCUGCGUUGCACUCCGCAACUGCAGUGAUUAUAAGUCCGGUAAUGACUUGAUCAGUUUGAUAUAUGGAGCUACCAUUUGAAACUUGAAAGGCUUCUUUGUUGUUGAUAUCCAAAUGCAGUUUAGAGUCGAGACUGAAGAUUUAUACUAAUAAUAAUUCAUUAAUCAGACAAAGGCCAUUGACAUGGCCAUUCCAUCAUUGUAUAAAAUGAGAGACAUAGACAAACAUCGGACAGAUAGACAAGAAAACACACUCAAACUACAACAAAAGACACAAAUUAUUCAACCCAACUUUUAUUCUUUUUAGGUCCCAAACUUCACCAUUCUAUAUGUCUGCUUAGUGACUGCCACAUGUGCAGUUUGUGCAGCUGCAGCUAGUUCCGCACUUGCACUUGCCAUCGUUCUCUGCCAGAGGCUUGGCCACUACAGUGCUGAUGUAGCUGCACAGAAAUGAAAUGACAGGUUAUAUUUAGCAUAUGUGACUGCAACUUUAAACUUAAUUCUCAAUUUUCAACCGUGCAAGCAAUUCCUUUUUGUGCUUCUCUAGGUAAGUAAAUGAUAAAUAAGAGACGAAAGUACUGAUGCAUGCAUGUAGCAGAUCAGGCAUCAGACAAGUUUUUUAUUGCUUGUUUGAAAAAUUCUCAGGGAUGGUUCAGAUGUUAUUUGAUAGCUGCAUGCGAGAAGUUGUGUAUGUUGGUUUGUUUCUUUGCAGAUAUCAGUCUUUGAAGAUCAGAAAAUAUACCUCUCCUGAGUCUCAAUGACCAAGCUGUUUCCUUUCUUCCUGUAAGCAUAGGAAAAAAAAAGCCUUUAGUUUCAAUGAAUAUUGAUUGCAAAUUCUUGCUCUUAGAUACAACAAGCUUAUUAAACAAAGCAGUUAGCUAUGUUUAUCCUUAUCGGAUAUACCGGGUAACAUAGGAUCUCCUUCAGGAAACAUGGGAUCAUAAAUACUUUUGAAAAGCUUUUGUCCAGCAUAAUGGUGACAUACAUGUAGUAAUGUGCGGCUAUAAAUCAUGCAGAACUAAAAAAACAACAUAAUCUCAAAUCACACACAACACAAGAAACUGCCGGAAAGUUCCAUCUUGGAUGGAUGAUUAUGGAUUACUUACACGCACUGGCUUUUGUCAGAGCAAUCGCAGUUGCCGCACUUGUCAGCCAUGGUGAAUUUGAGAGAGUUGAGAACUAAUAAGUUUGUUUAGUUUCUAAAGUAGUUAGCUAACUUGCAAUGUAUAUCCAGAGCUUUGCACUUGAUGUAUUUAUAGAUGAGGAAGUACAUUGAAAUGGUGCAAAGGGAAGGCAUCUGUGGGGGCCUCUGGUGGAGUUCAAAGGAAGGGAAUCUUGAUAAAGGAGGUGGGAGAAUGCUAGGCUUGCUAUCCUCCUCUCAUGUCCAUAUCAUUUGGAAUUUUUUUCUUUUCAGGGUUGUGUUAGAGAAUUUGGAUUUCAAAAGUAGUAUAAAUUGUGAUAAAAAUUUUCAAAGUUGUGAAUUUGUUACAUACAUAUAUUUGGUACAGAACCAAGCUUUUUAUUACAUGUUUUUAUAUAUUAUUAUAUUGAAUCUACUAAUUUAUAUAUCAUGUAUGCAUUUCAUUUAUAUGGUAUGUGAAAUUCAAAUGCUAACGUUCAAAGUUUAUUUUCGAAUAUAUAAGUGAAUUUUUUUAUCCAGAUUAUUUGGUAGGUAUUUUAUGCUUUGACACACUAGGAAAAGGAUGGUAAUGGGUUAAAUUUCAACAAAUUUUUAAUAAUUUUAUUUAAAACUAUAUACUGUAACACCCUAAACCCAGCCUAAAAGGUAAGAUCAAAUCCGGAAGAGUUACAUCAACUUCAAAAUUUGAUUUCAAUAAGUAUACAGAAACGUUCAAAGAUUACUCGACUAUUAACGGAUCUUUUCAGAGUUUUAUUUUGAAAAUCAAAAUUUAUUUUGCCGACUUGAGUGAUUUUAUAGUUUCACAUUAAAAAUUAUCAAUUACUGACGAAUUUAGCAAAAAUCAAAAUGAGCUCAGAAACAGAUUGCAACUCACAAGAUCAAACAUUUAUACAUUAUUGCAAAACAAUUUGAGCUCCACAUGUUGUCCGUUCCUCAAUCAGAGAUUUAACUGAACACACAAAGAUAAAACCAAAAGGUGAGCUAUAAAGCCUAAUGAAUAACCAACAUUAAUUAUAGUUAACAAAACAUUGUAUAUAAGUCGGAGUAAACACAUUGAACUUAAUAGCAAGUGUAAUAUAAUUGAACAAUACAACCCAACCAUAAUAGGAUAGAGCAGAACAUAACAGAGCAGAAAAUGGAAGAAGAUGAUAGCAUUAUUUUACUUGUACAUGCUUUUAUUUAUUAUUUUACUAUUUUACCUUUUAAUUAACACUUAAAAGAUAACCAACCCAUGUCCAUCAUUGUCCACCACCAAUAUAAAUGACAUAAUUACCUUAUAGAUCGACCAACUUACAUUUUCAAGGCCAUUCAAUCCAUUUAAUUAGUAGAAUUUAACUUUUGCACCUUUUUUAAUUUAGUCCUUUUUACCUAAUUAACCAUUUAAACUUUAAAAUUUCUUAACGAAAAUUUAAUGCAACCCUAAUAUAACCUUAUAAACAUUAAAUAAACAUUAAAUUACUAACUCACUCAUUAAAAUUGUGGUCCUAAAAUCAUUGUUUCAGACACCAUUGAAAAUAGGCUGUUACACGGUGGGCAUGCCCAUCGAAAAAGGUGGGGGUCAUGGUCCAUUGUCACCAUUGUUGGAGUUUCUCUUCUUAAAGUGGAUUCAAAUGUUGAUGCUACCAUUGAAAUAUUCAUGUUGCAAAUAAACCAAAAGAAAGUGUUUUGGACUAAUUAUAAAGAGGUCCCAAACUUUAGUCAAAAGUAAAAAAAAUGGCUCACUAGUAAUUUGUUAGUGAAUUAAUGAAUAUUUUAAUGGCAGUGACCAAUUCGAGCAAUAUUACUAAUUAGAGUGAGUAAAUUGAUAAAUAAAUUUUAAGACUAAAAUAGAAACGAAUCUAUUUUAGAGUGACUUGUGUAGUUUACCCAAUUAAAAAUAUAAUGUUAGAAAAGCAAAGAUAAAAUUUAAAAAUUUUGAAGGAGCCAAAGAUAAAAAACUUAUUUUUAAAAAAACUUAAUUUAAUAGGCCAAGGUAUUAUACCACUUACUAGGGGUGCUAAGGCUUCUUUUGCCUGCCCCAACUAUACCCCUGAUUUUCAAAUACAUUUUGAGUGGCAGUCAAUUACAUCAAACUCAUAUGACUAUAUAUAUAUAUUUCUUUUUUGAUAUAAUGUUUUCAUUUUUAUUCUUAAAUCGAAAAAAUAUAUAUUUUUAAUUGUAUUUAAAAUCUUAUCAUAAAUAAUUAUACUAAUUAAAUUAAAACUUAUUUGAUGGUUAUAUAAAUGGGUUUGACAUCACAUCAUAUAUUCUUUCUUCAUAUUAUAUCAUUAUUUUAUUUCUAAUAAAUAUGAGAUUUAAGUAGUUUUUAUAGCAAAUUUUGAUGAAAAUUUACCCUAUAUUUUGUUUUCUCAAGAAAUGUUCCAUUUGACAACCAAAAUGGUAGCAUCUAGGUUGGGGAGAUUGAUGGAGAAUUUCACCUUUGCCUCUUUUAAAAAGUAUAAAUUCCUUAUCUUCAUGCAAGUCAUCAACUCAAAAAAAGUGAAGAGAACAAAUUGAGAAAAAUAACAAAAACUAUAUUCUUUUAAGAUUGCUAUCCUAUAGGAAGGUCAUUGUAAAAAGUUGAAUAUAUAUGUAUGUAUAUAAUUAAAUAAUAAUUUGGUACAUUCAAAGUGAAUUUAAAUUUCCAUGUGAUAUUUAAAAACCGUAACAUGUUCUUAAUUAAUAUUUAUUUAUGACAUAUAUAAAAACAUGAGUUUGAAGGAUGGGUGAAUAAAACUCGAUUCGAUUCGAAAAAAUUAAAAAAAAAAUUGAAUUUUGAAUUAAUUGAUCAAAUUAUUCAAAUUUUGAGUUUGAGUCAAGUUAAAUUUUACAAUUUGAAUAACAGAUUGGUGUAAAUACCCUUUUGGUCCUUAUCAAUUUUGAAAAUGAGUAAAUUGGUCCCUCUCAACAAAACUUACAAAAAAAUUAAAAUAAAUUUUAAAAAUUCAAAAUUUUAUAUAUUUUUUAAAACAUUAUAAAUUUUAAAAAAAUUAUAAAGAAUAUAUAAAGAAAGUUCAAAUUUUAAAUUUUUUCUAAAAUAAUAAAUUUGAGAUCUAAAUAAGUUAAUUAAUAGGUCGAGUUUAUCAUAUUAAAGUAUCUUUUCUUUUUCUUUGCUUUGAAAAAGUUUUCAUAUAUAUAUGGUUUCAAAUUUAUGUGCUCUAACAUGGAAUUAAUUAUAUUGUAACAAUAUUUUAAUUUGGCAUGUUUAAUUUUUUUAAUUUAACUCGAACAAUUUCACUCGAUUUGAUUCAACUCAACUCGAAUUUCAUUUCACUCAACUUGAUUCAAAAAAAAUUUCAAAUCAAGUUAGGAUGAUAAAAUAAGACUCGUCAAUUCGAUUAACUCGAAAUUUUUUCACUCGAUUCCAUCAAAUGCUCACUCCUAAUGUGAAGAAACUUUUGAACUGACAAAGAUAUUUUUUAUUAUUAAUUAUACUACUAAAUUGACAUUAAAAAUAAUUUAUUAGUAUCUUUUUCUGGUAAAUAAUAAUGAAUAUUAAUGUGAUAAUAAUGAAAGUAAUAUUAAUUAAUAGAAGAGUAUAUUAAUGUGAAAUUAAAUAAUUUGAGUAUAUCUUUUAAAAGUUCAUAAAAAAAUUAUAUAUAUUAUUAAUUAAUAAAAUUUUAAAUUUAUAAAAUAAAUGAAUGUAAUUAGAUAAAUUAAAAAAAUAAAAAAAAGUUUUUAAUUAAAUAGAUAUAAUUUUUAUAUAUAAAUAUGAUUUUAUUUUAAAUAUGAAAAUAAUUAAUCAUGUUAAAAUCAAUUUUUUAUGAUUAACAAAAAUUAAAUCUAUAAAUAUGAUUUUAUUUUCAAUAUGGUAAUAAUUAUUUUAUUAAUAAUGCUUUCAUUAUUAGUGUAAUAGUUAUUAUCACUUAAUUAUACUUUGAAUCCAUAUUAAAUUACACUUAUUAUUUUAGAUUAUGAUUUUACUUGUGUUACAAAUUAUAUGCCAAUUAAAAUUAAUAUUUAGCACUAUAAAUAUAUUCAUUAGUAAAAUAUUUUCAUUCAAAUAACAUCUAAAGAAGUACUCGAAAAAUCAUAUUUUAGGAUUUUAUUUGCAUCACAAAAAAAUGUAUGAUUAUUAUUAUUUUAUAAGAUUAGUUGUUAUUAUUUGAUAUUCGAAAGUUUUGCUGUUAUUUGAUUUUAAUAACACUUAUGCUAACGGUGUAUAGAAUAAUUACUUUUUUUCUUACCAAACUUAAUUUUUUUUGAAAUAUCUCAAUAUAGAUUUUGAUUAUAUUUGUUUAUUUUGACACAAUACUUAGAACUACCUAUAACCCAUUCCCAACCCAUGAAUAGGAGGAUAAUGCGUUUCAGCGCACUCGAAUCCACGUUCUCUUACAUUGACAACAAUACCCAUAUCAAUAAAAUUAACACUCAAUCCACACCAAAUUUUAAUUUUUCAAUUUAUUAUUAAUUUAAAGUUUCGUAUCACCUAAAUAAAAGGAGUGGUCCUUCAAAAUUUGGAAAGAGUUAUGAAAUAAAGCAAAUGGAAAUAAAAUCAAAGUUUGAAAAAAAAUGGCUUGGAAGGUACAACUUGUGCUCUAUCUAUUUCCCUUUUUGUGUGGAAUUCAAUCAUUUUUCUCUUACUAAUUUUCAUAUUCCAUUUGAUAUUAAAGAAGUUAUAAACACAAUAUAUACACUCUACAUUUCUUAAUUCUAAAAAACUUCCACUUAUGUAAUCAAUUAUCUCAAAAAGGUAGAAUUACAAAAUUCACCUCUAAUGUUUGUGAGUUUUUCAUUUUGGCUCUUAACUUUUUUUUUCUUUCACUUUCCCACCCAUAAUGUUGCAAACAAUUUCAAGUAAGACCAAACUUAAUGAAAAUCGUCAAGCUAUAUCAACAAAUAUUUUUGUCCAACGUGGCAACACCUUAGUUGAUGACACAAAAUUUUUAGUUUAAAAUUAUAAAAAAGAAGAGAAAAUUUCUAAAAUGUAGGAAAUAAUAAAAUUUCUUCCAAAAUGUAACACCCCUAACCCGUAUCCGUCGCCAGAUUAGGGUUACGAGGUAUUACCGAUCAAGAAACAACUUUCAAACAAGUACAUAUGCACACAUGUUAUAUUCAAAUUAAUAAAACAAAUGACUGAUUACAUAUUAAAUAUACAUUAUUAAUCGCAAAACAAAUAUAAUAUCUCAUGCAUAUAAUCAUAUUUACACCUUAAUAAUCAUGCCUCAAGCCAUACAAAUUAUACUUCAAAAUAAAUGCAUGAAUCGUGUGCUUAUCAUUAAAAUGGUAUUUAAAUACAUAAUAAAUUUUAAACAUUUUAUUUCUUAAUAAUAACCAUGCACUUAAUAGACCAAACAAAUCAUAUCACAAAGCUUAUGCCCGGCAUUAACAAAUGUACCAAUUGAUUUAAUAUACUUCAUUGAGUAAUCAAUUAUAUGCACACGAUGUCAAUCAUACAAUCCCCAAUUCGGCUAGCCAGUUAACCUAUAAAAGUUGAACUCAAAUCAUGCAAUACUCAUUUAACUAACAUUAGCCGAAUCUGCAUGUGCAUAAAUACUAAUUUUAAACUUAUUUUCAAUUCAACUAUACAUCAAUCUAUAAGACCAAAACAUGCUUAUCUUCUUAUUACAAGAUUAUACGCAUAUGCAUACACCAACUGAGCCAUUUCCGAACAUCCAUACUAAACAUAUCACUUUUCAAUUACUUUAUAAAUCUAUUAUCCGAACCUAUUGACUAAAUAUUUUAGUCUUUGUACUCCUAUAAUAAACAUCAAUCAUAUUUCACUUUCAUAUGCAUAUAAAUAAUUGAAUAAGAUCUACAUAUGAAACAUCAACUUAAUACUCCCAUAUUUCAUACUAUUUCUAACAAAAACGCGAUAUAUAUAUAUUUAACAAAACAUAUUUUUCCUUAGUAAAAUUACCCAAAUCCUAAAACUAAUAUACCCACUCGUCGAACAACUUCAACUUAGCACACACAUCUAAAAUAAACAUUUAUCUAAAUACCAAAAAUGAUAUCUAACUAUCCAUUAAUUCACAUCUAAUUUAGUUAUAUAACCCUACAAAUAUUAAACUUCUGGAACACCUAUUUCAUUAUCAUCAUUUUAAUCAUAUAAGUUUCUUUUACUAUGUACCAUUUAAGCAUCAUCUCAAACAAAUUCAUCACGAAUAUAAGUAUAAGUGCUGAAUCAUGAAUAGCUCAAACAUCAUAGUCCAUAUCUAUAUCAUCAUUUGACCGAUUAAUACAUAAAUAUAUUAAUACAUAAAUAUAAAUUUUUUAUGUUAUAAAUUAUAUAAUACAUAAAAAUAACAUAAUUUAAUAUAUUAUAAAAUUAAAAAAAGGGGUAUGAUUGAGCUUCAACUUUGUAUGUUCAAGGUCUUCUGUAGGGCCCUGUAAUAUUGACUUACUGAUUGUUGGUUAGUGACCGGCGUAGGCGGCUGCGCCAAACUUACAAGUAAGAAGGGUGAGUCAUGUUUUCGUAAUUGAUUGUUCCACUGGCAAUGGGAUCUUUAACAACAGUUCCACUGUUUUCUUAUUCACUUGUUCUUUCCUUCCUCCCUACUCUUAUCGUUGCACAGCUUAAUCCUGUUUACUUUGAGCACGAUUGUAAUCAAGGCAGCGGCAAUUACACCCCAAACAGCACUUACGAGGCCAACCUCAAUAGCAUCAUCUCCCGAUUCCCCACCCUUAGUUAUUUCAAUUACGGCUUUUUCAAUCUAUCUGCUGGAGAAAGCCCCAACAAGGUUUACUCAAUCGCACUUUGCAGGGGUGACAUGAACCAAGCCGAUUGCAACACUUGCCUCAACUCUACCGCAACCGAACUCAAGCAGUUUUGUCCCCGGAACAAGAUCGCCAUCGCUUGGUCCGAGCUCUGUUUGGUGCGGUACGCCAACCGAGACCUGUACGGGCUGCUGGAGAACGACCCUCAUACUUGUGCAUUCAACCCGAUGAAUGCAUCGAACCCUACUCAGUUCAAUCGAGCAUUAAGUGAACUAUUGAAUAAUCUAAGCAGCGAAGCUGCAGCCAGUGGCCCACACCGCAAGUACGCAGCUGGCAAUGCACCGACUGGUAUCUUGCAAACGGUAUAUGCCACGGUACAGUGUACUCCAGAUAUGACCCAGGAAAAUUGCACUGCUUGUCUAAAUUACGGCAGGAGGGAGCUUCGACUCUGUUGCCUUGGAAGGAUGGGAUGCAGGGUUCUUAGACCAACCUGUGUCUUGAGGUUUGAGUCUAACCCUUUUUAUAAUGAGACCGCAGUUCCUUUACCGUCACCUCCAACAACUUCUUCUCCGACGCCAUCUCCAGGUAAAGAAUCGAUUUGUACUCUUUUCUUUUUCCUGAGCAAAGCAAUUAACAAUAAAAUAAAAUAAAAAAUAAAUAAAAUACCAACAAAAUGAGCAGUGGUUUAAUAUGUGCUUACUUAUUUCUGUUUGGAGGUUGCCUGUUAGGUUUAUCUGCAUAUAUAUUAUAUGUAUGUUCGUAAGAAUGAUAACAUUCUAAAUUUGUGUUUUGCAGGAAAUGGGAAUAACACAACUCGAACUGUAAUCAUUGUUAUUGCUUCUGUUGUUGGCCUUCUAAUACUAAUUACCAUCUCCAUCUGCAUUUUUAAGAGGCCCAAAAGAAACAAAGACAUACCUAUAAAAGUUGAAAGUAAGUAAAUUCACUCACAACCAUGACAUGGAUUCUCUAAAAUAUAAUGAAACAAAGACCAAACAAACAACUAGUAAGUGUAGAUCAGCUGCCGAAGAAAUUGUACAAUAAUUAUAUUGCCUUUUUGCAGCUAAGGAUGCGGAUAAUGAGAUGUCCGGGGCCGAUUCCUUGCAAUUCGGCUUCGAUUCUGUUUUGGUUGCAACCGAUAACUUCUCUGAUGCAAAUAAGCUUGGUCAAGGAGGAUUUGGAGCUGUUUACAAGGCAAAGAAUAGUACUGCUAUGUCAAUGAAUAUACAUGAACUGUAUUUCUAAAUCUAUCAAAAGCCACUUAUGGUUCAUAUGUAUAUUGUUAUGUUUUCAGGGUCAGCUUCCAAAUGGAGAAGAGAUUGCUGUGAAAAGACUGUCUAAAGGAUCAGGUCAAGGAGACUUAGAAUUUAAGACCGAGGUGCAAUUAGUUGCCAAGCUUCAACACCGCAAUUUAGUUAGGCUCCUUGGUUUUUGCUUGCAAGAACAGGAAAGGCUUCUCAUCUAUGAGUUUGUGCCAAAUGCAAGCCUUGAUCAUUUCAUUUUUGGUAAUGUUUCAGUUUAAAUUUCAUUUUCAGAUUGCAUUUCUAUUACAACUUUGUAUAUUUUUCCUUUUAACUGUGUAUAGCCAUCAGCAAGGACAUGCACCAAAUUUAAUCCUUGAAUUUGUUCCACUAAUCUGAAAGUUUUGUGAUGACGUAGAUCGGAUCAGGCGUGCAGAACUAGAUUGGGAAAUACGGUUCAAAAUCAUACAUGGCAUUGUUCGUGGACUCCUUUACCUUCACGAAGACUCUAGGCUUCGAAUUAUUCACCGUGAUCUCAAAGCAAGUAAUAUCUUAUUAGAUGCAGAGAUGGUUCCUAAAAUUGCAGAUUUCGGGAUGGCAAGAUUGUUUGGACAGGAUGAAACACAAGGCAGCACUAGCAGAAUUGUGGGAACUCAGUAAGUAUCAAGACAUCCUAGGAGCCUUUUAGAUAUUAAACAUAUGUAUAUGAACUGUACUAAUGAAGCUUCCCUUAAUUGCAGUGGAUAUAUGGCUCCCGAAUAUGUUUUCCAUGGACAAUUCUCAGUAAAAUCAGAUGUGUUCAGCUUCGGUGUAUUACUUUUAGAAAUUAUAAGUGGCCAGAGAAACAAUAGCUUCCGUUAUGAUGAGCAGUACGAAUACAUACUAGGUUUUGUAAGUAUAUAUAUGAUUUCUAGUGACUGAAAGCCAAUGUUAAAAGAGUUAUAUGUUUACAUUGUUGAAAUUGGACAUUGGCUGAUUCCUUGGUAGGCAUGGAGAAGCUGGAGAGAAGGGACGGUAUUGAAUCUCGUUGAUCCCACAUUGGGUGGUGGUUCAAGGAAUGAGAUAAUGAGAUGCAUUCACAUUGCAUUGCUAUGUGUUCAGGAAAAAGUAGCAGCCAGACCAACCAUGGCUUCGGUUGUUCUGAUGCUGAAUAGCUUCUCGACCACCCUCGCCGUGCCGGCACAACCAGCAUUUGUCAUGCAGAGCAAUAUGUCAACUUCAUCGGCAUCAGCUUCAAACCAAUCCAACACAGAGUUGCCACCAUUGUCCCGCAACGAGGUCUCAAUUAGUGAGCUAUCUCCUAGGUAGUGUUUGCAAAUGGUUUAUUUUAAGUUUAUUCUCAUUUUAUUUUUUGUAUAAAAGAUUGUAGCCUGAAUUAGUUGAGUGAUGACACCCUACUCAAUUAUUAGAGUCAAAAACUAAGUUAAGAAUGAAGUAAAACCAAUUUUAUUUAAUAAUUUUAAAAAAAAUAAAUUUCUAAUUCUAUUAUAAUUUUCUCGAACUCUUAAAUCUCGAAAAAAAAUAUACAUUUAAGCUCAUUCAAAGUCACGGUGACAAUUUGAUUAAAAUAUAAUUAAUUUUUUAUAUAUAAAUUAUUGAUAAACAUAAUAAGGGUGUUUAUGUUUUUUUAAUCCCAUAUAAUAUAUUUUUAUAAAAAAAGUUAAAUACUUUUUAAAAAGAAUUAUUUAAAAACUAUUCUUUAAAGAAAAAACCAUUUGUUUUAUAUAAUUUUUUAAAUUAUCAACAUUUAAUAUAUCAUAUUUAAAAAUUAUCUAACUUAAAAGUUAACUAGAGACUAGAGAUUAACUCAAGUAAUCAAAAUUUUUUUUAUUUUUUGACAAGCAAGAAAUUAUUUAAAACUUAUUAACAAAUAAUAUAAAUUGACAAUAAUCAUAUUUUUAGGUUUUAUUUUUAUUUUGAUAUAGUCAAAUAAUAUAUUAUUUAUUAAAAAAAGUUUAUGUAAAAGUUACGUUUUUAGAAUCCGCUUUUUUUACAACAAUCUUAUGUCAAAUUUUUAUGUGAAACCUAUGCUUGCAAAUUUUUCAUGUCCCAAGUAAUAAUCAUGUAAUGAUGAAGCUAUCACUGUCAAGUUUCAUAUAAUAUAUAAGAGAUAUGAAAUAUUUUUUUUUUGUUGGGAGUUAAACCUAAUAAAUUUAUAGUCUUUAGCUUGACAUUUGCAAAUAUCUAAGUUUAUAUUUAUUAUAAACCUAACCCUAAUCAAUAAAUUAUAUAAAAUUCGAUACCCGUAAGUGUUGAGUUUAAUUAUGUUUAAGUUUUCAUCACUUAAACCUAAUAAAUGUAUACAUCCACAUAUGUCAAAUUUCUAUAUAUUUAAGUUUUUACUAUUUUUUUUUGUAAAUUUAACUUUAAUAAAUACAUUUUUAUGGAGCUCGGCACCCGCGAAUAUCAAGUUUAAGUUAAAAUAAAAUUUUAACCGUUUAACUCAACCUAACCCUUAUAAAUUACUGUCAAUGUAAUGGAAUGUUUUCAAGAAGAUCGAAUGAGAAAAUUUUAAGAGAGUUGAAUUUUGAAUAAUUUUUUUAUCUUUUAUUUUAUAGAAGCAAAGUGUGCUUAAAGUUAGGUGUCAAACUUUUUCAUUAAAAAUCAUCCAUGAAUUUGACAUAUACAAGAGACAAGUUCCUAUCUAUCAGGAAAGCUUCUAUUUCCUUUUCUUUUUAUUUUUGUAUUUAAAAAUAAUAAUAAAAUAAAAAUAAAAAACAGAGAAACCCUAAAUUAAGAUAAAAAGUAAUCACCUUUAAAACCUUCCUCAGUUUUUGAUGGAUUUUUUUAAUUUAGGAUCAGUGUUCGCGUAAAAAAAAUACAAAGAUGAAAUUCGGGCUUUUAUAGCUGGAUUACAAAACUCCUAAUUUUUAUUUUUAUUUUGUUGUCUUGCUAUUGUCUUUUCUGCUAUUGCUUGUGGUUCUUCAUUUUGCAAGUGUCAGACGCGUGCUGGGGUGGUGGCGUGCGAGGAGGUCCUGCUGGCUUGCGGCGGCUAGGAGCAAGCCUAAGGGCAGACCUAGGUGCAGCGCACCUAGGGUUUCUUUUGGCUGAAAAUUUUUUAAGUUUUGUGGGCUAGAGUUUAGUUUGGGUUUAGGGUUUGUGCUUGAUAUGUAAUAAGUUAAUUUAAUUUGAAUUGCACUUUGAUGGGCUGUAAUUUUUUUAUUUUGGGUUUUAGUUUUGGGCCCGGACAAAAAUGGAUUAUUACACAAACAUUAUCCAAACAUGUCACCCAUUAGUAAUUACAACCAAAUAUAUUCAAAUUCAAUUACUAGUCUUUCCAAACACUACUACUCCCUGAAAACAAUAUCAAUAAUUUUCUUUCAUUGAAAACAAUAAAGAUUAAAAAAAGUUGUACUAAUUAUACACUUUGGAUGAAUGGUAGUGGGUUAAGAUAUUUAAGUUAUAAAUGUGUUUAUGGGCUAGUCAGGUCGAGUUUGGGCGUUUAGUAUUAAUAUACUUUAUGUUUGUCCAAGGUUCUUAGCUCAGCUUAACCCGAAAUAUCAACAAAAAUUUUGUCCAAGUCGAGUUUGGGCGUUUAGUAUUAAUAUACUUACUUGCCUUAUUACCGAAUCACAAGCCAAACAUCACAAGCAUGAAUAUCAUAAAACAUAACCCAUUAUUUUCAUGGCUUUUAUAUAUAUAUAUAUAUCCCAAAAUCAAACCCAUCAAGUAUUUAACCAAGAAUAUAUAAAACCAAGCUUAACCAAAAUGAAUAAGCCAUUUUUCGCAUGGCUCAUAUUUACAUAUCCUAAUAUCAAACAUAUUAACUAGACUAUACAUGCCAUAGGCUCAAGUUCAAAUUCAAAUUUAUAAAAUACCAAAGACGGUCGAUAGUGUGAUAGACUUCUUUGAUGAUCCCCGAGCUCGUAACCAACUUCCAAAAUCUAAAAAAAAAAAAACAAAGAGCAAACAUACACACAGUAAGCUUUCACAGCUUAGUAAAUUAUAAGCAAUGGAAACAUUUAAUCAUAUACAAAAUUAAUCUAGUCAAACCGAAACAAACCAUUAGUAACUCAUAUACCUUUCCAACUUAUAAUUUCAUAAGUCAAACCAUAAAAGUUUUGCAUAAAAUUCUCCUUUGACCGAAUACCCAUUCAAAUAUUAGUAUGCUUAACCAAUAUUACUUUUUAUAAUACAUUUACAUUUACAUCAUUAGGCCUAACAUAUAUUAUCACAAAAUUCACAUUAAAAUAUAACAUUAUACUAUCAAUUCAACAUUCAACUUACCUUAUUUCUUUUUAUAUAACUAAUUAGUAUGAGUACGUAUCUGAGCAUUUCUAGCUUGAUUUUUCACUUGAUCUUAAUUUAUUAUUGCCCGUUGAACCAUUCGGAAUUAAAAAUGAUCUUAACUAUAAAUAUCUGCAUUAGUAAAAUAUUUUCAUUCAAAUAACAUCUAAAGAAUUACUCGAAAAAUCAUAUUUUAGAAUUUUAUUUGCAUCACAAAAAAUGUAUGAUUAUUAUUGUUUUAUAAGAUUAGUUGUUAUUAUUUGAUAUUCGAAAGUUUUACUGUUAUUUGAUUUUAAUAACACUUAUGCUAACGAUGUAUAGAAUAAUUACUUUUUUUUUUUACCAAAGUUAAUUUUUUUUUGAAAUAUCUCAAUAUAGGUUCUGAUUAUAUUUGUUCAUUUUGACACAAGACUUAGAACUACCUAUAACCCAUCCCCAACCCAUAAAUAGGAGGAUAAUGCGUUUCAGCGCACUCGAAUCCACGUUCUCCUAUAUUGACAACAAUAUCUAUAUCAAUCAAAUUAACACUUAAUCAACACCAAAUCACAAAAGAGAUAAGAGUUGAGAAAUGAUUAACAAAUACUGAAGAAGUCUUUAUGACAUUGAUAACAAGCAAGAAAAAGUCAUAAAUCUAAAGUCCAAAUUAACACUUUACAAUUUUGAAUAACUAAAAUAUUUUAAACUAUUAAAUACUAUGAAGAAAACCCCCAAAUAACGCAAGAGGCCCUUGUACCUCUUUUAGUUAUAGAAGAAAAGUGAAAAAAAAAAAGGCAAAAUAAAGUCUAACCUAGAAAAAAAAAACAUAAGAAUGUAAAAUGAUCAAGGGAAUAAAAAGAUGAUUAUAAGAAUAUUGGGUGUCUAGUUUUUCGUGUCAUAAAGAGACAUUAAAUAGCUUGACACUACAACUCUAAUAUUGAUAAAAAUUCCUUCCAAAAUGUGGAUGAUUGGAGCUUGUUUGGACACAAAAUUGCCUCUAUAUAUUUCCAUUCAUUAUUAGGCUUUAAUGUCGUGACAUCUAGACUUUGUUGCCACGACCCCUAUGACAUUCAAGCUUUGGUGUUGCGACCCCCAUGACAAUUGGCUCAAAGGAGUCUUACUCUGGUUGUUUUUCCUUACUUGUAGCUUUUCACCUUGUAGAACUCUUGAAUUGAAUCAGCGAAGGAUCAGACACAAUCUUAAGAUGAUAGUUAUAUGUUCAUUUUGAUUCUAGAUCAUGUGACAUGUGUUUAAAGGCUUCUAGUUUGUAAAUGACUAUAUUUUGAGAAUCGAUAGUUUUGUGUUAAUGGUAGUAAUGAUUGAUUUUGAAUGUAACUUUGGUAUGAAACUUAAUGAUGCAUAUUUUAGUUAAGUUUGAUGCUAUAUGAGUGAUGAUUUUUCUUUUGACUGGUUUGGCACACUUAAAGCUAUCAAUUAGGUGAUUAAUGUUUUGGGAAUGGUAAGGUGAAUUUUAAGCAUGCCUUAUAACUUAGUAUAUGCUUUGGUUAAUUCAUAUUAUUCUCUUGAAUGAUUAGUUUUCAGUUGGGAUUAUGAAUAUGUUUGAGUUGGUGAUCGCAAUUGAUGAAAUCGUAAACCAACUAAAAAAUUGACUAACGCAAGUGCACUUAUCAAUUAAUAGUAUAGUUAUGAUGAAUAAAGAUAUCGUUCUCACGAAAAUUAAAAGUACUAGUAAUUAUCGUCUUUCUAUUAUUUAACAGAUAAAUUCGAGUGAUUGAUUGAAAACUAAAAUUAACUAAAUUAAUUAACUAUGAACACGACAAAGAAUAGUUCAGGAAAAAAAGAUUAACAACCAAGAAGCUAACAAUUCUCAGGAAAGAAUCUACCUAUACUUUAUUUGUCACUAUCAAUCUAAAUCACGUAAUUUAUUUACUUAGUUUCUUGAUUUGUAAAAAUUCCUAAAAUAUGCUAAUAUCUCUUUCGAGAGUAAGAGCAACUAACUUUAGAUUGAUUAAUUGAAAUUUUUUUCUAAUUAAAACUCAUUUUGUUUGGACCCAAAAAAUUGGCAAAAAAAAGAAGAAGAAAGGUGCAUGCUCAUUGAUAUUGACUUAGCUAUAUGCCAAAAUUAUAAUAAUACAUGGAUUGAAGUAGGGUACAAGUAACCCCUUGUUUUGUUGACUUGACUUAAGUGAUAAAAAUUAAUUUUAUUUUUAAUUUGGAAUUCAUUUAAAUUUUUUAUAUUUUUUUUUUGAAAUUAUAAAAAAUAUAUAGAAUUAUUAGAGAAAUAUAUGUCCAAAAUGAAUUUAAAGAUAUAAUUGCUCAGAUUCAUUUGUAUCUAAAUAACUAUUUGUCCAGAUUUAUUGUGCACUUAAAAUAAAAAAUAUCCUAAAAUUCAAGAAAAAAUCUACAAAAUUUACAAAAAAAAAUUAAAAUUUUAGCAAAUACAAGAGUAUAUAUUAAAAAAUUAUAUUUAUAUUUUUUGAAAUUAUAAAAAAAAUAAAAACACAGAAAAAACAUUACGAGUGAAUCUAAAUAUAUGGUUGUCCAAGUUUAAUUGUUCAGAUUCGUUAUGCAUACAAAAUAAAAAAAUAAAUUUCCUAAUUUUUAAUAUUUUUAAAUGUUUAUAAAAAUUAUUUUUGGGAUACGCCUCAACAUUCUACACCAUCAGACCAAAAAUUAAUAAUGUUAGUUAAGUAUGAGCAAAAAAUACCAAUUUACCUUACAAUUUUUAGUCGAUUGAGUUUUAACUCGAUUGACAUGAGCAUUGUUGUCAAUGUAGAAGGACAUGAGUUCGAAUGCGCUGAAAUGCAUUAUACUCCUAUUUAUGUGGUAAGAAAGGAUUAUUAAUAAUUCUAGGCAUUGUGAUUUUUAAACUUAAAUACUUAAUAAAUAUAAAUUACUAUGUUCAAAUACCUCUACAUAUAUUAGCCAUUUUUCUAUAUUUAGUUGCAUAACCAAGUUUCUAUGGCUUCAUGGGUGGCAACAAGUCUAAAUAGAUUAAACAUUUAAUAAUCUUAUUAGAGACCACUAAUGUAAGGUCCCAACUCCCAACCUAAAAGUUAAGGUCUCUUGCUUUUUCCCUAUAUCAAUUUCUCUUCAUUUUAUAUUGUCAUUUGCUCAACCUCUCCAAACCUUCCAUUGCUUUUCAUAGCCAUUCUCUGCAGCCUCUUGUUCUUGGAAAUUCCUGUCCAGUGAGAGAUGUAGAGUGAUGUCUACUAGUAUCGGUAUCACUGCUCAUGUACUAAUGCAUAAUUAGUAGAUAUUACAUGCUUGAUGUUGAUGUUUAAAGUUCAUAAUCGGGUAUUAAAUUAUAAUCAUUCAUAUAAUCAAAAUCGAUAUAAUAAAUCUAAAAAAGUUCUGAUUAUGAAUUAUGAGAUAUUUUUAUAUUUUUUUAGUAUUUUUUAUCUUUAUUUUAUCGUACAUAUUUUAGGUUUAUGAUUUUCCCUCUUAACAAUAUUGUCUCAAAAAUUUAAAUGAUGUGACUUAUCAUUGUAGGCAUUUGAUUGGUCCAAAUCAAAAUCUAACUCUUUCAACUGUAUGAACGAGUCAAGGUCUCAUCAUCUAAUUCAAUUAUCUUAAUUAGAUGAUCAUUUACAAUUCAAUACUAGAUUAUCAUACAAUCAAAAUAUGAAUGAAAAUAAAUUAUAUAAUUAAUAUAUUAAUUAAAAUUUUAUAUAAUGAGUAUUUACGGAUUGACUUAGCUAUAAUAAUAAUCAUAACCACUCGUUAUUGGAUUGAGGUUGAACACAAGUCUUGACUCUAAAACUUUAUUUAAUGUGAUAAAAUAUAAAUAAGUAUUAUUCAUACGAAUUUUUCCGCAAGCUCUUGUUCUUGGAAAUUUCCUAUGUCCAGUGAGAGAUGUACAGUAAUAACCAUAUAUUUAUGAUCAAUUUCGAAGUUUUUGCAAUAAGUUCUUAAUCACAGUCUUUCUGUCUGAAGAAAUUCAUGUCUAUGGCUGUGGACUGUUCCAUAUUCUGUAGGACGAAACUUUGUUUUAUUAAUGCUUUCUUCUUCCUGUUUAUCAUCUCCUCUUUCACAUGUCUUCAUGUAGUCUUCGGCACUGCAAAUGAAUUUGAUUAUGGCCUUCACUGUAACUCAAUUGUUCAUGAAUCCAAACCAGCUGACGAGGAGUUCAAUAUCAUGCCUUUCUCUGGACGUCAAUAUGGUUACUUCAGUGGUGGUGAUAAAGUCCCAAAUAAUCCUCCUUCACGUUCCUACUCUGCACCCAAAUCGAAAAGGCUCCGUUUCAAGACUCACCACGUAUUUACAACCGAAGCUGAUGAUGUCUUUAUGGUGGAAGGAAACCUGAUUUUUCGAACCUCGUCUUACUAUGAACGGAGUAUCUCCUUUGGAAGCUCAGACGUUCGUGGGACACUGGACUUCGAUUUUCGAGGCUUCUGGUCUCGAACAACCGGGAAGCUUUGCAUGGUGGGAUCGAGUCAUGCUUACUCCAAAGAAGGUAAACUGCUUCAUCUUGCUGCUGUUCUUAAGAUUAAUAAUCUUCAGACUUCAAGUAAUAUUAGUACUUUAGUCACCGGUACCAUGGAUAGCUUGAGUUCUGCUAAUGAUCCAACUCACUUUGAGCAAAUAUCACUGCUGAUGUUUCCUGAAGUUAAUUACGCUUACACCAUGAUUUCAAAUCAGUUCAGUGAAGGGUGUCCUCGGGGAACCGAUGUCCAACCGAUGUCGUCCCUCCGCUUAUCGCAAACUCGAACUAUUUGUGAUAUGUUAGGUGGAAGCAAUGCUUUCAAAUUGGAGUAUACUGGCAGUUGUAAUUUUUCAAAGAGUUGCAAUCCAUUUGGUGAUGGUAUUGGAUAUUUACCUUCAGUAGUAUCAUUGCGUAUAUUUCAGUGCUCAAACGAUAGGCAAAGCUUGAGGCUUCUGAUAGAAUUUCGGAACGAUAGCUAUCAGGGAUACUAUAGCUCUCCCAAUCUCAACACUUCAUUAAUUGGAGAAGGAUCUUGGGAUGCAAAGAGUAAUCGGCUUUGUAUCAUUGCUUGCCGAAUCUAUGAUGCAUGGAGCUCCUUGGAGAAGUCUCAUGUUGGAGACUGCACGACACGGUUGAGCUUAAGAUUCCAGGCAAUCUUGUCUAUCAGAAACACAAGCACCAUUGUAGGAGAAAUUUGGAGUGAGAAGCCUAGGAAUGAAGGUGGUUUCUUUGAUAGGGUCGAGUUCCGAAAUACUGGACGUUAUGGAGGACGAAUUCAACUUCAAGGUUUGAAGUAUGUAUACACGGAAAUGGCCGAAGUGAAGAAAUCAUGUCCAAAGAAGAAUCCUAAGACUAAAAGCAGUAGGGGACACUACCCAGAUGGCUAUUCUGGUAAUCUGGGUUUUAGAAUGUCGAUCAUCAAAGGUUCCAAAGGAAGAAUCGGAUGGGGUUCUUCGGUUCCUCUUGCGGUAGGUGAUCAGCAAGAUCAGAGAUUUCCGUCUCUAAUACCAUCCUCAAGCUCAAAGCCUAAAAGUUCUGGCGUUGAAUCCGAUUCCAGCAGUGGCUUGCUUAAUAUCAGCUAUAAAAUGAGUAUCAUGCUGCGUAGUUCGGAAUUGGAUGGUGGCCUUCAUACUGUUAACGAAUCUUCAAAUGAAUAUUUGAAAACCGAAAUCCGAAUUUCUGCUGAAGGGGUUUAUGAUACAGCAACAGGUAGCCUAUGCAUGGUUGGCUGUAGACAUUUAAGGUCAGGUGACAAAACAUUUUCAAGCCAUUCGAUGGAUUGCAAGAUCCUGGUGAAAAUCAAUUUUCCUCCAUUGAACUCGGACAGGAGAAGUAAGAUCAAAGGAAGCAUCGAAAGCACACGUGAAGAAAUCGAUCCUCUAUCCUUCAAGCCCCUGCAGUUUUCGGGAAGAGCUUAUUAUCGCAGUUGGGUUACGGAAUCAAUUUCGAGAAUGGAUUUGGAGAUGGACAUGUUGGUAAUAUCCAAUUCUCUUGCAAUUAUCUUUGUAGCAUUUCAAAUCCUUCAUGUCAGGAAGCACCGUGGCAUUGGUCCUUUGGUUUCACUUCUAAUGCUUGUUAUUCUAGCCCUGGGGCACUUGAUCCCUUUGGUUCUAAACCUCGAAGCAAUGUUCAUUCAAGAUAGCAAGAGAUCAGUCUUGAUUAGAGGUGGAAGGUGGCUCGAAAUGAACGAGGUUAUCAUUAGAGUCGUCACCAUGGUGGCUUUUCUGCUGCAAGUCCGUCUUCUGAUGCUCUCAUGGACUGCUAGAUGCUCCACUGAAAAGAAAAAGACCUUGUGGAUUGCAGAGAAAAGGGGGCUGUAUGUGUGUGUUCCGGUGUACGUAAUUGGAGCUAUUAUCGCCUUUUCGGUUAAGUCAAGGCAGAAUGGACACCGAACAGUAAGGGCAAGGCAUUCUUGGUACUACAUAAAUAAAAUCAUUUUGGGGAAUUCAAGAGCUUAUGCUGGUUUGAUACUGGAUGCCUUUCUUUUCCCUCAAAUCAUCUUCAACAUGUUCCACAACUCGAGAGAACUGGCUCUUUCUCGACUCUUUUACAUCGGAAUCACCCUUGUUCGCCUCAUACCCCAUGGAUAUGAUCUGUACAGAGCAAACAAAUAUGCUGAUAUAGAUGACUCGUACAUGUACGGAGUUCAUGGUGCAGAUUACUACUCAACUGCUUGGGACUUCAUUAUUAUUGUGUUGGGUAUAUUCUUUGCUGUGAUCAUACACUACCAACAGCGCCUCGGUGGUCAAUAUUUCCUUCCGAAGAGAUUCCAAGAAUCUGUGAUAGAUGAGGAAUUUCAGAUAGAUGAGGAAUUUCCGGUAGAUUAGGAAGAACAAUUGCCAUUGUGAUAUAACACCUAGUGCAUGCUUUAAGUACUAACUACUUUUGUUACCAUGGACUUGUUUUUAGUACUGAUUCGAAAUAAUAAAUAGAAAUGUUCUACAAAAUGUUCUAUUGUUGCUUGGGUGAGGGUUAGGUAAGAAUAUAUGUCCAAUAUGAAUAAAUUUGAAGAGUACAUCUCCUUAUCCAUGUUUAAAUAUGUAUCCAACAUGUUUAAAUAUGAAUAAAUUUGAAGAGUACAUCUCCUUAUCCAUGUUUAAACAUGUAUCCAACAUGGAUACAAAGAGAAUAUUUAAACUGAUAAUAAUUCAUUUAUCAUACGAAGUCCAUAGGUAUGACCGUUCCAUCAUAGUGUACAAUGAGACUCAGACAUAAGACAAACAGGCAUGAAAACGCACUCAAUGUCUCAAACUACAACAAAAAAACACCAAUUUAUUCAACUCAAAUUCAUUAUUUUUAGGUCCUAAUAUUGCUAUGGACUAAAACAUCAUGGUUCUAUGUCUGCUUAAUGAGUGCCACAUGUGCAGUUUGUGCAGCUGCAGCUAUCUCCACCCUUGCACUUGCCAUCGUUCCCUGCCACAGCCUCGACCACUACAGUGCUGAUGUAGCUGCAAAGAAAUAUCACAACAGAUUAUAUUUAAGCAUAUGUGUGUUGAGAGCUGGACUGCAAUGCAACAUGAAGCCAGCAGCUAUCGAAUUCAGCUCAUUUUGCUUGGUGCGCAAGAAUGAAACUCAACCGAAUGAAGCAACCGAUUUUAAUCAUUUUGUUGUAAUGAUAUUUAGCUUAGUUCAAUUGUAACCAACUCUUAAAGUUAGUAGGAUUAAGUUUAUGAUUUGAUUUUUGAUGUAAAAGCUGAUAUGUCAGCUUAUCUUUUUAGUUGUUUAAGUUUGUAUUAGUUAAGCAUUAGUGGAGGCAGUUAGAUUAUUAGGUAACUGUCAUUUGAGCCAAAAUUGUAACUCCUUUUUAUUUCAAAUUUGAAUGAAAAAAUGGCAAUGUUCAGUUACAAAAAAAAAUUUGUCUGUGCAUUCAAGUUUCUUGCUGUUCUGCUUGUUUUCCUUUUGCUCGAUCACCUUUGCUUCUGUCUUGUUACUUUGUUUGCUGUAAAUGCUGCCAAUGUUCCAACAAAUGGUAUCAUGAGCCUGAAUCUUUGAGGGGCCUUUGUAUGCAAUCUGUUGUGUUCAAAUUAAAACCAACAGCAAAGUUCAAGAUUUAAAAAGAUCGAAGCUUUUUAAACUCAGUCUAGCAGGAUGAAUUUUACUCCACCACCUCCACCAGUGUUCACUGGAGAAAACUAUCACAUUUGGAUAGUCAAAAUGAAGACUUACCUUCAGGCACACGAUCUUUGGAGUGUGAUCGAGAAUGAUGCUGAACCACCUCCAUUGAGAGCUAAUCCCACUAUAGCACAGAUGAGACAGCAUGCAGAGGAGAGAGCCAAGAAGCACAAGGCUAUGGCUUGCUUGCAAAAUGGAGUCUCUGAUGUGAUAUUCACUCGCAUCAUGGCCUGUGGCUCACCUAAGCAGGCCUGGGAGAAGCUGAAGGAGAAGUUCAUGGGGACUGACAAGACAAGGCAACAGCAAGUGAUUAAUCUCAGGAGAGACUUUGAGAAUUUGAGAAUGAAGGAGUCUGAGACCAUCAAGUAGUACUCAGACAGGAUAAUGGCCAUUGUCAACAGCAUUAGGCUCCUAGGAGUGGACUUCACAGAGAGCAGAAUUGUUGAAAAAGUUAUCACAACUCUCCCUGAGAAAUUCGAGUCAAAAAUCUCUUCACUUGAGGACUCGAGGGACUUAUCAGCCAUUUCAUUAUCUGAGCUGAUAAACUCCUUGUAUGCACUUGAGCAAAGGAGGGCAAAUAGGCAGGAGGAGAAUCCUGAGGCUGCUUUCCAAGCUAAAGCCAAUGAAGGCUCGAGUGUGAGUGCAAAAGGCAAGAAGCCUUGGCACAAUAGAAGGGUCAAGUCAAGAAGAGAUGAAGCAAAAAGAGUGUUCCCACCAUGUGUUCACUGCAAGAAGACAACACAUUCAGAAAAGUAUUGUUGGUUUAGGCCAGAUAUCCAGUGCAGAAAGUACAAGCAGUUUGGCCAUGUUGAGAAGGUGUGCAAGGGCAAACCAAGGGAGGCUGCUCUGCAACAAGCUAGACCUGCUGAGGACAUGCAAGCUCAGGAGGAGCAUGUAUUCACAGCAACCUGUUUUGUUGGCACAACCAGGGCAUGCAAUGAUUGGCUACUAGACAGUGGCUGCUCACAUCAUAUGGCAGUAGAUGAGAAGCUGUUUAAGGGCCUAGACAGAAGCUUUCACUCGAGGAUCAGAAUUGGAGAUGGCAAGCUGAUUGAGGCUAAGGGCAAGGGCAAUGUGUUGGUUAGCACUGGUUCAGGUAACAAGCUAAUCUUAUAUGUACUUUUUGUACCUGACUUAGACCAGAAUCUGCUUAGUGUAGGCCAAUUGGUUGAAAAAGGGUAUACCUUGGUCUUUAAAAAUGGUUGCUGCAUUGUUCAAGACAUGAAUGGUCUAGAGUUAGUCACAGUCUCUAUGACUGAUAGGUGCUUCAUGCUGGAUGUUAGCCAAGUAGAAAGGAAGGCAUACACCAGCCUUGCUGACAACACUGACUUAUGGCAUAGGAGACUUGGCCAUACCAACUUCAGAUCUAUUGAUCUGCUACAUAGGCUAAAUUUGGUUGAUGACAUUUUAAAGAUUGAGGUUAGUGGGAAUGUUUGUGAGGUUUGUCAGCUUGGUAAGCAUGCUAGACUGCCUUUUCCUGCUGACAGUGCUUGGAGAGCUCAGAAUAAGCUCGAAUUGGUGUACUCUGAUGUUUGUGGUCCCAUAAGAAUACCUUCAAUCAAUGAGAACAUGUACUUUGUCCUGUUUAUAGAUGAUUUAACAAGGUUGUGCUGGGUCUACUUCUUGAAGCAGAAGUCAGAAAUGUUUGAAGCCUUCUGCAAAUUUAAGGCAUAUGCUGAAAAUCAGUCAGGCUGCAAAAUUAGAGCCUUAAUGACUGAUAAUGGCUCUGAAUAUGUGUCUGAGAGAUUUCAGAAGCUUUGUGACAAUGCUGGGAUUCAUCAUCAACUUACAACAGUCUAUACUUUUCAACAGAAUGGAGUCUGUGAGAGGAAGAAUAGGACUGUGCUGAACAUGGCCAGGUGUCUCUUGUUUCAAGGCAAGCUUCCAAGCCAGUUUUAGGCUGAGGCAGUUAACACCUCAGUGUACUUGCUCAACAGGCUGCCAACUCGAGCAGUCAAGGAUAAGACUCUUUUUGAGGCCUGACAUGGAGUCAAACCAGUUGUAACACACCUAAAAGUGUUUGGCUGUGUGUGUUAUGCUCUUAUUCUAGUAGAGAAGAGGACUAAGCUCGAGAGCAGGGUUGCACCAGGAAUCUUUGUUGGCUAUAGCAGCAACAAGAAGGGUUAUAAAGUGUAUGAUCCUACAGCAAAGAAGGUCUUAGUUAGCAGGGAUGUGAAAUUUGAUGAGGAUAAGGUGUGGAAUUGGAAUGGUGUUGAAGCUGAUAUGUCUGAAAUGGACCAGUUAGACUUGGUUGCUGAACCUGCAGAAGAAGGACCAAGUGAUGAUGUUGUUGAUGAUACACCAGUAAGGGGCACCAAAACUUUGGCUGAUGUUUAUUAGAGGUGCAAUGUUGCUAUGAUUGAGCCCUCAGACUUUGAAGAGGCUGUUAAGGACAAAAGCUGGAUGAAGGCUAUGGAAGCUGAGUUGGAAAUGAUCAAUAAAAAUCAGACAUGGGAAUUGGUGAGUAGACCAGAACACAAGAAGGUCAUAGGAGUCAAAUGGGUGUAUAGGGCCAAGUACAAUGCUGAUGGCUCACUGAACAAGUACAAGGCCAGGCUUGUAGUGAAGGGCUACAAUCAGCAAUAUGGAGUGGAUUUUUUGGAGACAUUUACACCAGUAGCAAGACUGGAUACAAUCAAGCUGCUAUUUGCUUUAGCAGCUCAAAAGAAGUGGAGGGUUCAUCAAUUUGAUGUAAAGUCAGCAUUCUUGAAUGGUUUUCUCAAGGAAGAGAUCUUCAUCGAGCAACCAGAAGGUUUUGAAGUUGCUGGACAUGAAGACAAAGUAUACAAGCUGAGAAAGGCUCUUUAUGGCCUGAAAUAGGCACCAAGGGCCUGGUAUGACAGAGUUGAUGCUUACCUGACCAAGCUUGGAUUUAUGAAGAGUCUUAGUGAGCCUACUCUGUAUGUUAAAAGGUCAGAAUUUGAAACCUUGCUGAUUGUCUCCUUGUAUGUGGAUGAUUUGUUAGUGACAGGGAGCAAAGUUGAGCUCAUUGAUGAGUUCAAGGUUCAAAUGCAGCAAGUGUUUGAGAUGACUGAUUUGGGGGUCAUGACAUACUUCCUUGGUAUGGAAGUUCACCAGUCUGAUCGAGGCAUCUUCAUCAGCCAACACACAUUUGAUUUGAAGAUUCUUGGCAAAUUUUGCAUGCAAAACUGUAAAGCGGCAAGUACACCUGUGGCUCAUAGAGAAAACUUGACUAGCAGUGGUGAUCAGCAAAGGGUGGAUGAGAGGCACUAUCGAAGCCUAGUAGGCUGCUUGUUGUAUCCAACAGCAACCAGGCCAGACAUCAUGUUUGGUGUUAGUCUGCUAUCGAGGUUCAUGCACUACUGUAAUGAGACACAUUUGAAGGCUGCAAAAAGGGUUCUUAGAUACAUCAAAGGCUCAGCUAACCUUGGGGUGAUGUUUGAAAGUGGAAGGAAUUAAAAUUGGAAUGUUACUCUGACAGUGACUGGGCAGGAUUCCUCGAUGACAUGAAGAGUACCUCUGGAUACUUCUUCACACUUGGAUCGGGCAUGUUUUGCUGGAGUUCAAAGAAGCAACAAACUGUUGCUCAGUCCACAGCUGAAGCAGAGUACAUUGCUGCAACAGCAGCAGUCAAUCAGGCCAUUUGGCUUAGGAAGUUGCUUCAGGAUCUUAAUGAAACACAAGCUGAUGCAACUGAAAUUUGGGUGGACAACCAGUCAGCAGUUGCCAUAGCCAAGAAUCCUGUGUUCCAUGGUAAAACUAAAUAUUUUAAAAUUAAACUGCAUUUUGUUCGAGAAGCUAAACAAGUAAAGGAAGUCAACAUUGUGCAUUGCAGCUCAGGGGCACAAUUGGCUGAUAUAUUGACCAAGCCCUUAGGGGCUGCUCGAUUUGAAUUAUUGAGAAGUGCAAUUGGAAUGUGUUGCAUACAGUCCAAUGAGGAGUGUUGAGAGCUGGACUGCAAUGGAACAUGAAGCCAGCAGCUAUCAAGCUCAGCUCAUUUUGCUUGGUGCGCAAGAAUGAAACUCGACCGAAUGAAGCAACCGAUUUUAAUCAUUUUGUUGUAAUGAUAUUUAGCUUAGUUCAAUUGUAACCAACUCUUAAAGUUAGUAGGAUUAAGUUUAUGAUUUGAUUUUUGAUGUAAAAGCUGAUAUGUCAGCUUAUCUUUUUAGUUGUUUAAGUUUGUAUUAGUUAAGCAUUAGUGGAGGCAGUUAGAUUAUUAGGUAACUGUCAUUUGAGCCAAAAUUGUAACUCCUUUUUAUUUCAAAUUUGAAUGAAAAAAUGGAAAUGUUCAGUUGCAAAAAAAAAAAAUUGUCUAUGCAUUCAAGUUUCAUGCUGUUCUGCUUGUUUUCCUUUUGCUCGAUCACCUUUGCUUCUGUCUUGUUACAUUGUUUGCUGUAAAUGCUGCCAAUGUUCCAACAAUGUGUUCGACUGUGCAAGACAUAGCUCCUUUUUUUUCUUCUCUAGGUAAGAAUAUGAUUACUUAUCCAAAUGGGUUCAAUUUUGGUUAAAUUAUUCAAUAUUGGUCCUAAUAUACCUCUUUUCAGUCUCAAUGACCAAGCUAUUUCCUUUCUUCCUAUAAGCAUAACAAAAAAAGCCUUCAGUUUCAAUGAUAAUUGAUUGCAAACUCAUGCAUUUAGUCACAUCAACCUUAAUAAAUUUAUAUCUUAUCUAUGAAAAAAUUUAUAAUUAAAUUUCGACCGCUAUUAAAUAUUUUUUUUGAAUUUUCCCCUAGUAGUAUGCAGCUAAAAAACAUGCAGAACUAACUUAGGAACAAUAACAAAAUCAAAGAACCACACACAACAGUAGAAACUGGUCGAAAGCUGAUGAUGGAAGGAUGAUUUCUUGCACGCACUGGCUCUUGUCAGAGUAGUCGCAGUUGCCACACUUGUCAGACAUGGUGAAUUUGAAAGAGUUGAGAGGUAAAAGGUUUGUUUGAGUUUCUAAAGUAGUUAAGCUAACUUGCGAUGUAUAUCUAAAGCUAUGCACUUGAUGUAUUUAUAGAAGAGGAAGUACAUUGAAAUGGUGCAAAGGGAAGGCAUCUGUAGGGGCCCAAGUAGGCAUAAGAGAAGCACACGCCUCUGCUACAAGAGUUCAAAGGAAAGGAAUCUUUGUUGGAACAAUGGCAGCAUGUAUCAACCCAAUUAGCAAGCAGAACCAAAUGGGAUCGAAUCAGAAAUGAAAACAAAGCAAAAUCAAUAAACAAGACUUGAAUAUUCAGCAAAAUGUAACUGAACAACUUAACUUUUUCAUUCAAAUUUGAAAAACAUAUACUGGAGUUACAAUUUGACUUAGUUGAUAGUUACCUAAUGAUAUAAUUGCUCCCACUUAAACUAAACUAAUACAAGUUUAAGUCAAAUACAAAGAUAAGCUGACAUACCAGCUUUUACAUAAAAAAUCCAAUCACAAACUUAAUCCUACUAACUUUGGAAGCUAGUUAAAACUGAACUAAGUAAAAUUACAUAGCAACAAAAUGACCAAAUUAGAUUACUUCAUUCGGUCUAGUUUUAUCCUUGCGCACCAAGCAAUGCUGCUGAGCUCGAUGGCCAACCAUGUUGCUGGUUUCAUGUUGUAAUACAGUCCAGCUUUUAACACUCCUCCUUGGACUGUAUGCAACACAUACCAAUUGUACUUCUCAAUGCCUCAAAGCAAGCAGCUCCUAAGGGCUUAGUUAGCAUAUUAGCCAAUUGUGCCCUUGAGCUACAACGAACAAGGCUGACUUCCCUUGUUUGCUCAGCCUCUCGAACAAAAUGCAACUUAAUCUUAAAGUGCUUAGUUUUACCAUGGAACACAGGGUUCUUAGCUAUGACAACUGCUGAUUAAUUGUCCACCCAAAUCUCAGUUGCUUCAGCUUGAGUUUCAUUAAGGUCUUGAAGCAGUUUCCUAAGCCAAAUGGCCUGAUUAGCAGCUGUUGCAGCUACAAUGUACUCUGCUUCAGCUGUAGAUUGAGCAACAGUCUAUUUCUUCUUUGAACUCCAGCAAAACAUACUCGAUCCAAGUGUGAAUAAGUAUCCAGAGGUACUCUUCAUGUCAUAAAGGGAUCCUGCCCAGUCACUGUCUGAAUAACCUUCAAGUUUCAACUCCUUUCCACUUUUAAACUUUACACCAAAGUUUGCUGUCCCUUUGAUGUAUCUAAGGAGCCUCUUUGCAGCCUUCAAAUGAACCUCAUUACAGCAGUGCAUGAACCUUGAUAGCAAACUGACACCAAACACAAUGUUUGGCCUAGUUGUUGUUAAAUACAACAGGCAACCUACUAGGCUUCGAUACUACCUUUCAUCAACCCUUUCUUGAUCGCCAUUGCUAGUCAGUUUUUCUCCUUGAGCCACAGGUAUGCUUACUGUUUUACAGUUCUGCAUGCAAAAUUUAACAAGGAUCUUCAAAGUAAAUGUGUGUUGGCUGAUGAAGAUGCCUCGAUCAGACUGGUGCACUUCCAUUCCAAGGAAGUAUGUCAUGGUCCCUAAGUCAGUCAUCUCAAACACUUGCUGCAUUUGAACCUUGAACUCAUCAAUGAGCUCAGUUUUGCUCCCUGUCACUAAUAAAUCAUCCACAUACAAGGAAACAAUCAACAAGGUCUCUUGUUCUAACUUCUUAACAUAAAGGGUAGGUUCAUUAGGACUUUUCACAAAUCCAAGUUUGGACAGAUAGGUGUCAACUCUGUCAUACCAGGCUCUUGGCCUGCUUCAGGCCAUAAAAAGCCUUUCUCAGCCUGUACACCUUGUCUUUAUGUCCAGCAAUCUUAAAUCCAUCUGGUUGCUCAAUAAAGAUCUCCUCCUUGAGAAAACCAUUCAGAAAUGCUGAUUUCACAUCCAAUUGGUGAACCCUCCAAUGCUUCUGAGCUGCUAAAGCAAAUAGGAGCUUGAUUGUGUCCAGUCUUGCUACUGGUGCAAAUGUCUCCAAGAAUUCAACACCAUAUUGUUGAUUGUAGCCCUUCACCACAAGCCUAGCCUUAACACCUAUGACUUUCUUGUGGUGUUAAGCCUAGUCUUAACACCAUAUUGCUAUUGAUUGUGCUUGUUCAAUGAGCCAUCACCAUUAUAUUUGGCUCUGUACACCCACUUAACACCUAUGACCUUCUUGUGGUCUGGUCUGUCACUAAUUCCCAUGUUUGAUUCUUGUUUAUCAUCUCCAACUUAAUUUCCAUAGCUUUCAUCCAGUUCCUAUCUUUGGCAGCCUCUUCAAAAUCUGUAGGCUCGAUCACAGCAAUACUACACCUCUAAUAAACAUCAGUCAAGGUUCUGGUGCCCCUCACUGGUGUAUCAUCAAUAGCAUCAUCAAUUGGUCCCUUUUCUGUAUGCUCAAUAACCAAGUCCAUCUGAUCCAUUUCAAACAUGACUGCCUCAGUACCAUUCCACUUCCACACCUUUUCUUCAUCAAAUUUCACAUCUCUGCUGACUAAGACCUUCUUUGUUGAAGGAUCAUACACUCUAUAACCCUUCUUGUUACUGCUGCAGCCAAAAAAGACUCAUGAAAUAGCUCUGCUCUCGAGCUUGGUUCUCUUUUCCACUAGAACAUGUGCAUAGCACACACAGCCAAAAACUUUCAGGUGAGUUACCACUGGUUUGACUCCAUGCCAAGCCUCAAAAGGUGUUUUACCCUUGACUGCUUGAGUUGGCAGCCUAUUGAGCAGGUAUAUUGAGGUGUUGACUGCCUCAGCCUAAAACUGACUUGGAAGCUUGCUUUGAAACAACAGGCAUCUGGUCAUGUUUAGCACUGUUCUAUUUUUCCUUUCACAAACUCCAUUCUGUUAAGGAGUAUAGACUGUUGUAAGCUGAUGGUGAAUCCCAGCAUUUUCACAAAGCUUCUGAAAUCUAUCAGACACAUAUUCAGAGCCAUUAUCAGUCCUCAAGGCUCUAAUUUUACAACCUGACUGAUUUUCAGCAUAUGCCUUAAAUUUGCAGAAGACCUCAAAUACCUCUGACUUUUGCUUCAAGAAGUAGACCCAACACAACCUUGUUAGAUCAUCUAUAAACAGGUAAAAUACCCAUUGUCACUGAUUGAAGGUGUUCUCAUAGGACCACAAACAUCAGAAUGCACUAAUUCGAGCUUAUCUUGAGCUCUCCAAGCACUGUCAGCAGGAAAAUGCAGUCUAGCCUGCUUACCAAGCUGACAAACCUCACAAACAGUCCCACUAGCUUCAAUUUUAGACAUGUCUUCAACCAAAUUGAGUCUAUGCAACAUAUCAAUGAAUAUGAAAUUAGCAUGGCCUAAUCUCUUAUGCCACAAGUCAGUGCUAUCAGCAAGGCUGGUGUAUGCCUUUCUUUCCACUUGGCUAACAUCCAGAAUGAAGCAUUUAUCAGCCAUAGAGACUGUAACUAGCUCCUGACCAUGCAUGUCUUGAACAAUACAAUAGCCAUCCUUAAAGACCAAUGUAUAGCCCUUUUCAACUAAUUGGCCUACACUAAGCAAGUUCUGGUCUAAGUCAGGUACAAAGAGCACAUCAGUGAUUAGCUUGUUACCUGAGCCAGUGUUGACCAACACAUUGCCUUUGCCUUUAACCUCAAUUAGCUUCCCAUCUCCAAUUCUGAUCUUCGAGUAGAAGCUUCUGUCUAGCCCCUUAAACAGCUUCUCAUUAGCUGCCAUAUGGUGUGAGCAGCCACUGUCUAGUAGUCAAUCAUUGCUGGCCUUUGUUGUGCCAACAAAACAGGUUGCUAUAAACACAUACUCCUCUUGAGUUUGCAAAUCCUCAGCAGGUCGAGCCUGUUGCUGAGUGACCUCCUUUGGCCUGCCCUUGCACACCUUCUCCACAUGACCAAACUGCUUGCACUUCCUGCAUUGGAUGUCUGGCCUAAACCAACAGUAUUUUUCUGAAUGAGUUGUCUUUUUGCAGUGAACACAUGGUGGAAACACCUUUUUUGCUUCAUCUCUUCCUGGUUUGACCCUCCUAUUGUGCCAAGGCUUUUUGCCUUUUGCACUUGAACUCGAGCCUUCACUGGCUUUUACCUGGAAAGUAGCUUCAGGAUUUUCCUCCUGCCUAUUUGCCCUCCUUUACUCAAGUGCAUACAGGGAGUUUAUCAGCUCAGAAAAUAAAAUGGCUGAUAAGUCCCUCGAGUCCUCAAUUGAAGAGAUCUUUGACUCAAAUUUCUCAAGGAGAGUUGUGAUGACCUUUUCAACAACUCUGCUCUCUAUGAAGUCCACUCCAAGGAGCCUUAUGCUGUUGUCAAUGGCCAUUAUUCUGUCUGAGUACUGCUUGAUGGUCUCAGACUCCUUCAUCCUCAAAUUCUCAAAGUCUCUUUUGAGAUUGAUCACCUGUUGCUGCUUUAUCUUGUCAGUCCCCAUGAACUCCUCCUUUAGCUUCUUCCAUGCCUGCUUUGGUGAGUCACAGGCCAUGAUGUGAGUGAAUAUCACAUUAGACACUCCAUUUUAUAGACAGGCCAUAACCUUGUGCUUCUUGGCUCGCUCCUCAGCAUGCUGCCUCAUUUGAGCAAUAGUGAGAUUGGCUCUCAAUGGAGGUGGUUCAGCUUCAUUCUCGAUUACACUCCAAAGAUCGUGUGCCUAGAGGUAUGUCUUUAUUUUAACUAUCUAGAUGUGAUAGUUUUCUCCAGUGAACACUGGUGGUGGUGGUGGAGUGAAACUCAUUCUUCUUGUUUGAGUUUAACUGCUUUAAUCUUCUCUAAUUUUAAGCUUUGCUUUUGGUUUUGGUUUGAACACAACAAAAUGCAAAGCCCCCUCAAAGACUCGGGCUCAUGAUACUAUUUGUUGGAACAAUAGCAGCAUGUAUCAACCCAAUUAGCAAUCAAAACCAAAUGAGAUCGAAGCAGAAAAGAAAACAAAGCAAAAGCAAUAAACAAGACUUGAAUAUUCAGCAAAAUGUAACUGAACAACUUAACUUUUUCAUUCAAAUUUGAAAAACAUAUACUGGAGUUACAAUUUGACAUAGUUGACAGUUACCUAAUGAUAUAACUGCUCCCAAUUAAACUAAACUAAUACAAGCUUAAGUCAAAUACAAAGAUAAGCUGACAUACCAGCUUUUACAUAAAAAAAUCCAAUCACAAACUUAAUCCUACUAACUUUAGAAGCUAGUUAAAACUGAACUAAGUAAAAUUACAUAGCAACAAAAUGGCCAAAUCAGAUUACUUCAUUCGGUCCAGUUUCAUCCUUGCGCACCAAGCAAUGCUGCUGAGCUCGAUGGCCAACCAUACUGCUGGUUUCAUGUUGCAAUGCAGUCCAGCUUUCAACAAUCUUGACAAUGGAGGCAAAGGAAUGGUUGGCUUACUGUCCUCCUUUUAUGUCUAUAUCAUUUGGAAUUUUCUUUUAGGUUGUCUUUUAGAAUGUAAUCCCAAAAUCUAUGCAAUACAGACUCUACCCAAAAAGAAAAAUCAAAUUCAACUUUGAAUUGGUACUGCCUUAUCAGGAUCAUAGUUUUCAAAGACAUUAGGAUUUUGAUCUAAAUAUAAAUCUUACAAAUAAAUAAGUGAUGUGUAUUUGAGAGCACCAAAAAUAUCCUAUUCCUAUAAAAUAACAAAAAGAAUAAUAUAAGGUAAGUAGGGUCAAAUCCUUAGGGACUGGACUUGCACAAGUUCCUUUUUCUCGAGAAACUAAGUAGUGUCGUGCCCAUGAAAAACGACAUACCUGAAAAAAAAUAGAAUUAAAAGUUUGGUUGAAUUGACAUUACGUAAAUUGAAAUUAAAAUUGUAAAGGUAAAUAGAGUUGAGAAAAGAGAGUUUUUGAUGGAGAGAUUUCAACCUUCGAUUAUCUCGAUCCUCCUUCGGUUCAAUCCUAGGCUUUUAGGUGAUCCUUCUCGAACAGAAUAAGCCAGUUAUAAUGGAAGAGGAUGCCCACGACCACCAGCUCCACUUAAGUUUUAGACUUACGAUUUAGAGGAACCUGACCCUACCCAACCAUUGCUUCUGUGGACUGUCUUACACUAGAUCAUCACUUCUCAAUGGCGAAUGCCACACCAUCUUGUCUCUUGGGCUCGACAACCACUGACACAGUAGGCUAACGAACUGACUAUGCAACCUUAUCAACACAUACAAAGCGGCCGCCUUUGCACAAGAUUAAAAAAUAACUUUUGAAGGGACAUGGACGAAGUGUCAGUCCUGUAGUACGGAGAAACGAUGAAUACUCGUUGAGAAGACUAAGUUCAGAUUCUAAGCCUCAUGAAUCCUUUUGGGGAAUCUCAACAACCUUUGGCUAGAUUAAUUUAGUGGCUCAUGCUUUUUGGGAAAAAAAGAAAUAAAAUUAAUAAAAAUGAAAUUUUAUUGAAUAAAUGAAAGGAACAAAGCUAGAGCUUUUUGGGAGAGGGAGCUUUUACAGAAAAGAUAGUGAAAUUGGUGUCAAUCCAUCCCCUAUUUAUAGUACUCAGAAGACCUAGUUUAUUCCUAUCUAAAUUUUAAAAGAUAAAUAAAGAUAAAAGCUAAAAUUAAAUCUUAACAAUAAUCCUAAUAUAAUUAAAAUUUAAAUAGAGUAGUGUGUUUAUAAAAUCUCUUUUUUAAACUGUUGCCCCCAAGUCUUCCACACUUUGCAUUUUCGGCACCACUUCUUUCCUAGUUCGCAUGUUGGCCCAUUUUAUCUUCAAAUUCAUGCUUUUGGCCCCUAAAUUUUCUUUUUCCUUCAAUUUAGUCCCUACAAAAUAAAACACCAUAAAUAGCUCAAAAUAGUAGGAUCAUACUCAAAAUAAAUAUGUAAUUAAUACAUAAAAAUAUGUCAUUCCAGAGUAUUACCAAUAAGAAUUAAUUGCACUAAAAAUUUUAAAACGUUCUAAUUAUGUCUCCACACUAUCACACUAUCGUACUGUAACAGAGUCAGUUGACAUAGGAGUCCAUGCGUUAUAAAACAGAUUUAUCAAAACUUAACAAAUAAUAUCAGAUUUUCCAUGAAGUCACAUGCACGGUUAUAAGUCAGAGUCAAUACCAAUCAAUUCAACAUAUUCGUAUAUCACAUGUUCUUAAGCAACAAAGCAACGUAAAGGAACACCAACAAACUUAACUGAAUACAAAUUGUACCUAGAUAAUUCCCAUGCAUUAGGCAAGGGCACAUUAUGUUCUGACAGACCCUACUUACUUAGGUUCAACAUAGCAGACAUAUGUAUAGAUCACAAGUUAUUCAUCAUUAGAUUAUCAGAUAUCAAAUUAUAUAGCUUAAUUAUGAUCGUACGGACCCUACAGUAGGCCUGUGUUCGUUUCGAAUGAUGCUUGUGGCCUGAGGGAAAAAUUUCAAAUAUUGGUCCACACGUUUGUGUGGUUUCACAUGGCUUGGAAAGCUAGCUCGCGUGCCUCCAUAUGGUUUGGCACACGCCCGUGUGCUUGCCCGUGUGGUCCUAAUUCGCAAAUAGUGGGUUACACGGCCUAGACACAUGUUAGUGUCAUUGGCCUAUGUGAAUCCUACUCAAGACAUAAACACACAUGGUCUGGACACACGCCCUGACACAAACUUUAAAUCAAACUUAUAGGUAACGAAUUGAACCAGAAAGUAGAAGUCUAAUCUCGUACGUGAUCAAUUUGGCGUAACAUAACAAAAAAGAAAGGUAGUUUGAAGAGAAUAAUCAAAACGAAAAAAAUAAAGAAAGAACAGAGGAAUGGUAACAAUAGAAACGAAAAGUAAAAAGAAAAGCUAAACAUAGGUCAUUAAACCAGCAAGCUCAUUCUUGUCAUCAAUUGACUAAAUUUAACUUUUAACCUACAUGUCCAAAGAUAGUGGUUUAAUCAAAGUAGCAAAAUUUCAAGAGAUAAGAUUCGAACUUAGAACCUCACAUACAUAACUAGAACACUUAACCACUAAACCAAACCAAUUUACUUACCAAAAAUUUCCAAAGUCUAAACUCAAACCGAGGGAUGACCACUCUUGGUUUCAAAACUCAAUUUCUUCUAACCCGAUUUUUGGGAUGUUACAUAUAUCACAUAUGUUGACACCACUUACUGGGGGUGCUAAGGCUUCUUUUGCCUGCCCCAACUAUACCCCUGAUUUUGUUUUCUCAAAUUUCACUUUCUCAAGAAAUGUUCCAUUUGACAACCAAAAUGGUAGCAUCUAGGUUGGGAAGAUUGAUGGAGAAUUUCACCUUUGCCUCAUUUAAAAAGUAUAAAUUCCUUCUCUUCAUGCAAGUCAUGAAUUCAAAAAAAGUGAAAAGAACAAAUUAAGAAAAAUAAAAAAAAACUAUAUUCUUUUAAGAUUGCUAUCCUAUAGAAAGGUCAUUGUAAAAAGUUGAAUAUAUAUGUAUGUAUAUAGCUAGUAGCAUCAAAUUUUCCCAACCACUCUUAACAAUUAAAUAUAAUUAUUUGGUAUAUUGAAAGUGAAAUUUAAAUUUCCAUGUGAUAUUUAAAAACCGUAACUAAUAUUUAUUUAUGAUAUAUAUAAAAACAUGAAUUUGAAGGAGGGGUGAAUAAAACUCGAUUCGAUUCGAAAAAAUUAAAAAAAUUUAAAUUUUGAAUUAAUCGAUCAAGUUAUUCAAAUUUCGAGUUUGAGUCAAAUUAAAUUUUACAAUUUGAAUAACAGAUUUGUAUAAAUACCCUUUUGGUCCUUAUCAAUUUUGAAAAUGAGUAAAUUGGUCCCUCUCAACAACACUUACAAAAAAAUUAAAAUAAUUUUCAAAAAUUCAAAAAUUUAUAUUUUUUAAAAAAUUAUAAAUUUUAAAAAAAUUCUAAAGAAUAUAUAAAGAAAGUUAAAAUUUUAAAUUUUCUAAAAUAAUAAAUUUGAGAUCUAAAUAAGUUAAUUAAUAGGUUGAGUUUAUCAUAUUAAAAUACCUUUUUUUUUCUUUGCUUUGAAAAAGUUUUCAUAUAUAUAUUGUUUCAAAUUUAUGUGCUCUAACAUGAAAUUAGUUAUAUUGAAACAAUAUUUUAAUUUGACAUGUUUAAUUUUUUUAAUUUAACUUGAACAAUUUCACUCGACUUGAUUCGACUUGACUCGAAUUUCAUUUCACUCAACUUGAUUCAAAAAAAAUUUUCAAAUCAAGUUAGGAUGAUAAAAUAAGACUUUUCAGUUCGAUUAACUCGAAAUUUUUUCACUCGUUUCCAUCAAAUGCUCACUCCUAAUGUGAAGAAACUUUUGAACAGACGAUGAUACUUUUUAUUAUUAAUUAUACUACUAAAUUGACAUUAAAAAUAAUUUAUUAGUAUCUUUUUCUGGUAGAUAAUAAUGAAUAUUAAUGUGAUAAUAAUGAAAGUAAUAUUAAUUAAUAGAAGAGUAUAUUAAUGUGAAAUUAAAUAAUUUCAGUAUAUCUUUUAAAAGUUCAUAAAAAAAAUAUAUUAUUAAUAAUUAAAAUUUUAAAAUUUAUAAAAUAAAUGAAUGUAAUUAGAUAAAUUAAAAAAAUAAACAAAAGUUUUUAAUUAAAUAGAUAUAAUUUUUAUAUAUAAUUAUGAUUUUAUUUUAAAUAUGAAAAUAAUUAAUCAUGUUAAAAUUAAUUUUUUUAUAAUUAAUAAAAAUUAAAUCUAUAAAUAUGAUUUUAUUUUCAAUAUGGUAAUAAUUAUUUUACUAAUAAUGCUUUCAUUAUUAGUGUAAUAGUGAUUAUCACUUAAUUAUACUUUGAAUCCAUAUUAAAUUACGCUUAUUAUUUUAGAUUAUCACUUUACUAGUGUUACAAUUAUAUGCCAAUUAAAAUUAAUAUUUAACACUAUAAAUAUAUGCAUUAGUAAAAUAUUUUCAUUCAAAUAACAUCUAAAGAAUUACUCGAAAAACCAUAUUUUAGGAUUUUAUUUGCAUCACAAAAAAAUGUAUGAUUAUUAUUAUUUUAUAAGAUUAGUUGUUAUUAUUUGAUAUUCGAAAGUUUUACUGUUAUUUGAUUUUAAUAACACUUAUGCUAACGAUGUAUAGAAUAAUUACUUUUUUUCUUACGAAACUUAAUUUUUUUUUUGAAAUAUCUCAAUAUAGGUUCUAAUUAUAUUUGUUCAUCUUGACACAAUACUUAGAACUACUUACAACCCAUCCCCAACCCAUGAAUAGGAGGAUAAUGCGUUUCAGCGCACUCGAAUCCACGUUCUUCUAUAUUGACAACAAUACCCAUAUUAAUCAAAUUAACACUCAAUCGACACCAAAUUUUAAUUUUUUAAUUUAUUAUUAAUUUAAAAUUUCGUAUCACCUAAACAAAAAGGAGUGGGUUUGGAAAGAGUUACAAAAUAAAGCAAAUGGAAAUAAAAUCAAAGUUUGAAAAAAAUGGCUUGGAAGGUACAACUUGUGCUCUAUCUAUUUCCCUUUUUGUGUGGAAUUCCACUUAUUUAAUCAAUUAUCUCAAAAAGGUAGAAUUACAAAAUUCACCUCUAAUGUUCGUGAGUUUUUCACUUUGGCUCUUAACUUUUUUUUUUCUUCACUUUCCCACCCAUAGUGUUGCAAACAAUUUCAAGUAAGGCCAAACUUAAUGAAAAUCGUCAAGAAAUAUCAACAAAUAUUUUUGUCCAACGUGGCAACACCUUAGUUGAUGACAUCAUUGAUGACACAAAAUUUUUAGUUUAAAAUUAUAAAAAUUUAAAAAGAAGAGAAAAUUUUUAAAAUGUAGGAAAUAACAAAAUGUAAAAGCAUUUUUCUUCUACCCUCUCCCAAAUGUAACACGCCUAACCCGUAUUCGUCGCUGGAUUAGGGUUACAAGGUAUUACCGAUCAAGACAUAACUUUCAAACAAUUAUAUAUGCACACCUGUUAUAUUCAAAUUAAUAAAACAAAUGACUGAUUACAUAUUAAAUAUACAUUAUUAAUCGCAAAACAAAUAUAAUAUCUUAUGCAUAUAAUCAUAUUUACAACUUAAUAAUCAUGUACUUCAAAAUAAAUGCACGAAUCGUGUGCUUAUCAUUAAAAUGGUAUUUAAAUACAUAAUAAAUUUUAAACAUUUUAUUUCUUAAUAAUAACCAUGCACUUAAUAGACCAAACAAAUCAUAUCACAAAGCUUAUGCCCGGCAUUAACAAAUGUACCAAUUGAUUUAAUAUACUUCAUUGAGUAAUCAAUUAUAUGCACACGAUGUCAAUCAUACAAUCCUCAAUUCGGCUAGCCAAUUAACCUAUAAAAGCUGAACUCAAAUCAUGCAAUACUAACAUUAGCCGAAUCUGCAUGUGCAUAAAUACUAAUUUUAAACUUAUUUUCAAUUCAACUAUACAUCAAUAUAUAAUACUAAAACAUGCUUAUCUUCUUAUUACAAGAUUAUACGCAUAUGCAUACACCAACUGAGCCAUUUCCGAACAUCCAUUAUCCGAACCUAUUGACUAAAUAUUUUAGUCUUUGUACUCCUAUAAUAAACAUCAAUCAUAUUUCAUUUUCAUAUGCAUAACCAAAUUGAAUAACUCUAUACAUGAAACAUCAACUUAAUACUCCAAUAUUUCAUACUAUUUCUAACAAAAACGCUAUAUAUAUAUUUAAUGUCCAAAAUUUAACAAAACAUAUUUUUCCUUAGUAAAAUUACCCAAAUCCUAAAACUAAUAUACCCACUCGUCGAACAACUUCAACUUAGCACACACAUCUAAAAUAAACAUUUAUCCAAAUACCAAAAAUGAUAUCUAACUAUCCAUUAAUUCACAUCUAAUUUAGUUAUAUAACCCUACAAUUAUUAAACUUCUGGAACACCUAUUUCAUUAUCAUCAUUUUAAUCAUAAGUUUCUUUUACUAAAUAAACCAAAUCAAACUUUCAAAACCUCCAUGUACCAUUUAAGCAUCAUCUCAAACAAAUUCAUCACGAAUAUAAGUAUUAAGUGCUGAAUCAUGAAUAGCUCAAAUAUCAUAGUCCAUACCUAUAUCAUCAUUUGACCGAUUGUCAUUACUACAAAACAUAGUUAUUUAUCACAUAUAUCACAUUCAUAUACCACUCAACUAACAUAUGAAAUAAUCUAACUCUACUGACAUACUUACUUGCCAUAUUACCCAGUCACAAGCCAAACAUCACAAGCAUGAAUAUCAUAAAACAUAACCCAUUAUUUUCAUGCCUUAUAUAUAUCCCAAAAUCAAACCCAUCAAGUAUUUAACCAAGAACAUAUAAAACUAAGCUUAACCAAAAUGAAUAAGCCAUUUUUCGCAUGGCUUAUAUUUACAUAUCCUAAUAUCAAACAUAUUAACUAGACUAUACAUGCCAUAGGUUCAAAUUUAAAUUUAUAAAAUACCAAAGAUGGUCGAUAGUGUGAUAGAAUUUUUUGACGAUCCCCGAGCUCGUAACCAACUUUCAAAAUCUAAAAAAAAACAGCAAACAUACACAUAGUAAGCUUUCACAGCUUAAUAAGUCAUAAGCAAUGGAAACAUUUAAUCAUAUACAAAAUUAAUCUAGACAAACCGAAAUAAACCAUUAGUAACUCAUAUACCUUUCCAACUUAUAAUUUCAUAAGUCAAAACAUAUAAGUUUUGCAUAAAAUUCUCCUUUGACCGAAUACCCAUUCAAAUAUUAGUACACUUAACCAUUACUUUUUAUAAUACAUUUACAUUUACAUCAUUAGGCCUAACAUAUAUUAUCACAAAAUUCACAUUAAAAUAUAACAUUAUACUAUCAAUUCAACAUUCAACUUACCUUAUUUCUUUUUAUAUAACUAAUUAGUAUGAGUACGUAUCUGAGCAUUUCUAGCUUGAUUUUUCACUCGAUCUUAAUUUAUUAUUGUCCGUUGAACCAUUCGGAAUUAAAAAGGAUCUUAACUAUAAAUAUCUGCAUUAGUAAAAUAUUUUCAUUCAAAUAACAUCUAAAGAAUUACUCGAAAAAUCAUAUUUUAGAAUUUUAUUUGCAUCACAAAAAAUGUAUGAUUAUUAUUGUUUUAUAAGAUUAGUUGUUAUUAUUUGAUAUUCGAAAGUUUUACUAUUAUUUGAUUUUAAUAACACUUAUUCUAACGAUGUAUAGAAUAAUUACUUUUUUUUACCAAACUUAAAUUUUUUUUGAAAUAUCUCAAUAUAGGUUCUGAUUAUAUUUAUUUAUUUUGACACAAUACUUAGAACUACCUAUAACCCAUCCCAACCCAUGAAUAGGAGGAUAAUGCGUUUCAGCGCACUCGAAUCUACGUUCUCCUAUGUUGACAACAAUAUCUAUAUCAAUCAAAUUAACACUUAAUCAACACCAAAUCACAAAAGAGAUAAGAGUUGAGAAAUGUUUAACAAAUACUGAAGAAGUCUUUGAUGACGACAUUGAUAACAAGCAAGAAAAAGUCAUAAAUCUAAAGUUCAAAUUAACACUUUACAAUUUUGAAUAACUAAAAUAUUUUAAACUAUUAAAUACUAUAAAAUAUUUUAUAUUUUUUUAGUAUUUUUUAUCUUUAUUUUAUUGUACAUAUUUGAGGUUUAUAAUUUUCUCUCUCAACAAUAUUGUCUCAAAAAUUUAAAUGAUGUGACUUAUCACUGUAGGCAUUUAAUUGGUCCAAAUCAAAAUAUAACUCUUUCAACUGUGUGAACGAGUCAAGGUCUCAUCACCUAAUUCAAUUAUCUUAAUUAGAUGAUCAUUUACAAUUCAAUACUAGAUUAUCAUACAAUCAAAAUAUGAAUGAAAAUAAAUUAUAUAAUUAAUAUAUUAAUUAAAAUUUUAUAUAAUGAGUAUUUACGGAUUGACUUAGCUAUAAUAAUAAUCAUAACCACUCGUUAUUGGAUUGAGGUUGAACACAAGUCUUGACUCUAAAACUUUAUUUAAUGUGAUAAAAUAUAAAUAAGUAUUAUUCAUACGAAUUUUUCCGCAAGCUCUUGUUCUUGGAAAUUUCCUAUGUCCAGUGAGAGAUGUACAGUAAUAACUAUAUAUUUAUGAUCAAUUUCGAAGUUUUUGCAAUAAGUUCUUAAUCACAGUCUUUCUGUCUGAAGAAAUUCAUGUCUAUGGCUGUGGACUGUUCCAUAUUCUGUAGGACGAAACUUUGUUUUAUUAAUGCUUUCUUCUUCCUGUUUAUCAUCUCCUCUUUCACAUGUCUUCAUGUAGUCUUCGGCACUGCAAAUGAAUUUGAUUAUGGCCUUCACUGUAACUCAAUUGUUCAUGAAUCCAAACCAGCUGAUGAGGAGUUCAAUAUCAUGCCUUUCUCUCGACGUCAAUAUGGUUACUUCAGUGGUGGUGAUAAAGACCCAAACAAUCCUCCUUCACGUUCGUACUCUGCACCCAAAUCUAAAAGGCUCCUUUUUGAGACUCACCACGUAUUUACAGCCGAAGCUGAUGAUGUCUUUAUGGUGGAAGGAAACCUGAUUUUUCAAACCUCGUUUUACUAUGAACGGAGUAUCUCCUCUGGAAGCUCAUACGUUAUAAGUUCAAGCGACCGUGGGACACUGGACUUCGAUUUUCGAGGCUUCUGGUCUCGAACAACUGGGAAGCUUUGCAUGGUGGGAUCGAGUCAUGCUUACUCCAAAGAAGGUAAACUGCUUCACCUUGCUGCUGUUCUUAAGAUUAAUAAUCUUCAGACUUCAAGUAAUAUUAGUACUUUAGUCACCGGUACCAUGGAUAGCUUGAGUUCUGCUAAUGAUCCAAAUCACUUUGAGGAAAUAUCACUGCUGAUGUUUCCUCGAGUAAAUUACGCUUACACCAUGAUUUCAAAUCAGUUCAGUGAAGGGUGUCCUGGGGGAAUCGAUGUCCAACCGAUGUCGUCCCUCCGCUUAUCGCAAACUCGAACUAUUUGUGAUAUGUUAGGUGGAAGCAAUGCUUUCAAAUUGGAGUAUACUGGCAGUUGUAAUUUUUCAAAGAGUUGCAAUCCAUUUGGUGAUGGUAUUGGAUCAGUAGUAUCAUUGCGUAUGAUUCAGUGCUCAAACGAUAGGCAAAGCUUGAGGCUUCUGAUAGAAUUUCGGAACGAUAGCUAUCAGGGAUACUAUAGCUCUCCCAAUCUCAACACUUCAUUAAUUGGAGAAGGAUCUUGGGAUGCAAAGAGUAAUCGGCUUUGUAUCAUUGCUUGCCGAAUUUAUGAUGCAUGGAGCUCCUUGGAGAAGUCUCAUGUUGGAGACUGCACGACACGGUUGAGCUUAAGAUUCCCGGCAAUCUUGUCUAUCAGAAACACAAGCACUAUUGUAGGAGAAAUUUGGAGUGAGAAGCCUAGGUAUGAAGGUGGUUUCUUUGAUAGGGUCGAGUUCCGAAAUACUGGACGUUAUGGAGGACGAAUUCAACUUCAAGGUUUGAAGUAUGUAUACACGGAAAUGGCCGAAGUGAAGAAAUCAUGUCCAAAGAAGAAUCCUAAGACUAAAAGCAGUAGGGAACACUAUCCAGAUGGCUAUUCUGGUAAUCUGGGUUUUAGAAUGUCGAUCAUCAAAGGUUCCAAAGGAAGAAUCGGAUGGGGUUCUUCGGAUCCUCUUGCGGUAGGUGAUCAGCAAGAUCAGAGAUUUCCGUCUCUAAUACCAUCCUCAAGCUCAAAGCCUAAAAGUUCUGGCGUUGAAUCCAAUUCCAGCAGUGGCUUGCUUAAUAUCAGCUAUAAAAUGAGUAUCAUGCUGCGUAGUUCGGAAUUGGAUGGUGGCCUUAAUACGGUUAACGAAUCUUCAAAUGAAUAUUUGAAAACCGAAAUCCGAAUUUCUGCUGAAGGGGUUUAUGAUAUAGCAACAGGUAGCCUAUGCAUGGUUGGCUGCAGACAUUUAAGGUCAGGUGACAAAACAUUUUCAAGCCAUUCGAUGGAUUGCAAGAUCCUGGUGAAAAUCAAUUUUCCUCCAUUGAACUCGGACAGGAGAAGUACGAUCAAAGGAAGCAUCGAAAGCACACGUGAAGAAAUCGAUCCUCUGUCCUUCAAGCCCCUGCAGUUUUCGGGAAGAGCUUAUUAUCGCAGUUGGGUUACGGAAUCAAUUUGGAGAAUGGAUUUCGAGAUGGACAUGUUGGUAAUAUCCAAUUCUCUUGCAAUUAUCUUUGUAGCAUUUCAAAUCCUUCAUGUCAGGAAGCACCGUGGCAUUGGUCCUUUCGUUUCACUUCUAAUGCUUGUUAUUCUAGCCCUGGGACACUUCAUCCCUUUGGUUCUAAACCUCGAAGCAAUGUUCAUUCAAGAUAGCAAGAGAUCGGUCUUGAUUAGAGGUGGAAGGCGGCUCGAAAUGAACAAGGUUAUCAUUAGAGUCGUCACAAUGGUGGCUUUUCUGCUGCAAGUCCGUCUUCUGAUGCUCUCAUGGACUGCUAGAUGCUCCACUGAAAAGAAAAAGACCUUGUGGAUUGCAGAGAAAAGGGGGCUGUAUGUGUGUGUUCCGGUGUAUGUAAUCGGAGCUAUUAUCGCUUUUUCAGUUAAGUCAAGGCAGAAUGUACAUCUAACUUGGUACUACAUAGAUGAAAUCAUUUUGGGGAGUUCAAGAGCUUAUGCUGGUUUGGUACUGGAUGCCUUUCUUUUUCCUCAAAUAAUCUUCAAUAUGUUCCAGAACUUGAGAGAACCAGCACUUUCUCAUUUCUUUUACAUCGGAAUCACCCUUGUUCGCCUCGUACCCCAUGGAUAUGAUCUGUACAGAGCAAACAACUAUGCUGAUAUAGAUGACUCAUACAUCUACGGAGAUCAUGGUGCAGAUUACUACUCAACGGCUUGGGACUUCAUUAUUAUUGUGUUGGGUAUAUUCUUUGCUGUGAUCAUACACUACCAACAGCGCCUCGGUGGUCGAUAUUUCCUUCCGAAGAGAUUCCAAGAAUCUGUGAUAGAUGAGGAAUUUCCGGUAGAUUCGGAAGAACAAUUGCCAUUGAGAUAUAACACCUAGUGCAUGCUUUAAGUGUUAACUACUUUUGUUACCGUGGACUUGUUUUUAGUACUGAUUCGAAAUAAUAAAUAGAACUGUUCUAAAAAAUGUUUUAUUGUAGCUUGGGUAAGUGUUGGGUAAGAAUAUACCUCCAAUAUGAAUAAGUUUGAAGAGUACAUCUCCUUAUCCAUGUUUAAAUAUGUAUCCAACAUGGAUACAAAGAGAAGAUUUAAACUGAUAAUAAUUCAUUAAUCAUACGAAGUCCAUAGAUAUGACCAUUCCAUCAUAGUGUACAAUGAGAUUCAGACAUAAGACAAACAGGCAUGAAAACGCACUCAAUGUCUCAAACUCAACAACAAAACACCAAUUUAUUCAACUCAAAUUUAUUAUUUUUAGGUCCUAAUAUUGCUAUGGACUAAAACAUCAUGGUUCUAUGUCUGCUUAAUGAGUGCCACAUGUGUAGUUUGUGCAGCUGCAGCUAUCUCCACACUUGCACUUGCCAUCGUUCUCUGCCACAGCCUCGACCACUACAGUGCUGAUGUAGCUGCAAAGAAAUAUCACAACAGAUUAUAUUUAAGCAUAUGUGUUCCACUGUGCAAGACAUAGCUUUUUUUUUGCUUCUCUAGGUAAUAAUAUGAUUACUUAUCCAAAUGGGUUCAAUUUUGGUUAAAUUAUUCAAUAUUGGUCCUAAUAUACCUCUUUUCAGUCUCAAUGACCAAGCUAUUUCCUUUCUUCCUGCAAGCAUAACAAAAAAAGCCUUCAGUUUCAAUGAUAAUUGAUUGCAAACUCAUGCAUUUAGUCACAGCAACCUUAGUAAAUUUAUAUUUUAUCUAUGAAAAAAAUUAUAAUUAAAUUCCGGCAGCUAAUAAAUAUUUUUUUUGAAUUUGCCCCUAGUAGUGCAUACUACAGCUAAAAAACAUGCAGAACUAACUUAGGAACAAUAACAAAAUCAAAGAACCACACACAACAGUAGAAACUGGUCGAAAGCUGAUGAUAAAAGGAUGAUUUCUUACACGCACUGACUCUUGUCAGAGCAGUCGCAGUUGCCGCACUUGUCAGACAUGGUGAAUUUGAAAAAGUUGAGAAGUAAAAGGUUUGUUUGAGUUUCUAAAGUAGUUAAGCUAGCUUGCUAUGUAUAUCCAAAGCUAUGCACUUGAUGUAUUUAUAGAAGAGGAAGUACAUUGAAAUGGUGCAAAGGGAAGGCAUCUGUAGGGGCCCAAGCAGGCAUGAGAGAAGCACACGCCUCUGCUACAAAGGAAACGAAUCUUGAUAAUGGAGGCAAAGAAAUGGUUGGCUUACGGUCCUCCUCUCAUGUCUAUAUCAUUUGGAAUUUUCUUUUAGGUUGUCUUUUAGAAUGUAAUCCCAAAAUCUAUGCAAUAUGGACUCUACCCAAAAUGAAAAAUCAAAUUCAACUUUGAAUUGGUACUGCCUUUUAAGUUGAUAUUUAUAUAUCCAACCGAACUUUCAUAGAUCCUCUUUGUUAAUUCUAACACUUACAUAUUCCCCCAUAAGGUCGAGGCGUUCACCAAUUGUGGUUUGCAUUUACAUGUUCUAUUGGAGGUAAAUCUCAUUUCAAAUCAUAAUCUCCAUACAUUUUGCCAUCAUAUCUCAACAGUUUCCACCCUUUCCCCCUUCCACCAUCCAAGAUACGGAGCUUGUGCACCAAGGAUAAGUAUCCAUUCACAAUCUUUCUUACGCAUAUCGUUAUUAUCAUUUUAGUUUGUUAUCACUGACAUGCACAAUUGAUUUUAAAUAAACUUGCUUACUUGGAGAAGAAUAUUAUCAUGAAAUUAGAUGGAAUUUAACUGGAGCACAAGUGAAAGGAACUCACCAGAUUUUACCAGGAAAAGCUUUGCUUAUUCUAUGGGUUCUUUCCCUUUUGCACUAGGGCCUUCUCCCAUUUCUUUAGUUAAAUAAGAUUAAACAUUUUAUUAAGUACAAAAUCAAUCUAAACUUAAAGGUAAAAACAAGAAUCGAAAACAUGCAAACAUUAAUCAGAAGGAAGUUUCUUUCCUAUCUACCUCUAGUAGAAACCUAUAGUAAUGGUUCCUACUACCCUAUCAUUCUUCAUAUAAAACUAAAGGACCUAAGAAUUUACCAGUUGUUAGCUCAAAAACUGGUACCUUCUUCACGCAGCGAAGAACACACUAAGUUUCUUCUGGGGGAACAGGAAUGAACAGUGAAAAAUGGUGAAUAAAGUCAUCCUCUGUUAAGCUCUUAUCUUAUUUAUAUAGGAAUUAGCCCGUAAUUCCACUAUAACAAGUUACCUAAUCAUUUUACAUACACACUCUAUUCCACUAAUCAAACGAGGUUCUACAGAUGUCUUGCAAAAAUGACAGUUCCUAACUUAAAAUUUUGACACAUAAUUGAUGCAUGUCCCACCUACCCAGGCUAUCAACAGAAAUAUCGAAUGACUUACCUUGCUAUAAAAGAACUUGCCACUAGUGUGUCCACACAUGGAAGAACUUGCCAAGCAAAGGAGUUCGCCAAACGCAAGAAAGUGAAAAUCCAUCAGACUGCGGAACACAACGAAAUAAUCCGCUAGGCGAGUCUGCCCAAAAAUUUGGCUAAUCUUGCUGAUUAGAAGGACUAAAUUGCAAGAUCACAUCCAUCGUGUUAGCCGGCCAAAAUACGGAUUCUAAGGUUUGGGGUGUUAUAACUAGGGUUGCCCCAUUCUACAUCUUGAUUGAACUAGGAUUUCACUUUUCUAAUAAAAAAAACUUCUACAACUUAAUAAUUUUACCUUAUCUUAUUAUAAAUAAAUGGCACCGAUAUGGCAUAAAUAACGAACUUUGAAAGAUUAUUAUGCUACCGAAAAAUAGAGAGUUUUAUUGGCAACUAUUAAAUAUAUUUUUCCGGAAUAAUAAUUUUACUAGUUUCUUUUUGAGAAGAGAGAAUUUUUGUUUUCACCCCAUAAUUAAAGAAAAAUUUUCUAGUUUUGUGUUUUGAUUCAAUUAGUUUGUGCUCACACUCGAAACAUUUCAUGGUUUAAGAAUAGUAGAGAAGAUUGUUUGGUUGAAUCCAGAAAAUGUUAAAGAUCCGCAUAUCCAAAAACAUAUAUACGAUUUUGGUCUAAAAUUUAUUACUAUAAAUAUCAUAAACCGGGUUAUUUUCAAAAUAUUAAUUUUUCGUUAUGCAAAAAAACCAUUUUCAAACUAAAUUUUUUUCAACACCAAGCACAUACUAAAUGUGAGGUUGAAACAACCACACAUUAAGAGUCAGAGCAAUGAUGAGCAACAAUUUUUAGCAAACACGUGUUCGAGUGUCACUGGCUAUGAAGUGUUGAGGCAUACGAAUGAUGGAACACACCAUUUUGAAACAAUUCUACAUAUUCUUGUUUCCUUCAACCUUGAAGCAUUUUUGUUGUUGCUGGGUAUUGAAAUUUGCUCUGGUGCUCUUGUUUACCUGCUACGGACACGUGGUACCACGAGAGGAAACCUAAGAGACGCUCACGAAUGAUCCUUCUCUUUGCAACACUUGUCUUAUUCUCUACUUGAAGGUCACUCAAAUGACCAUUUAUCUGGACACUUCAUCCUCUUGGCCACUUCCUUUUAGUGGGAACACACUAACUCACAAGGGGAAACCAUGCCGCUAAGGUGUAACAACCUCAUUCCAAGAAAUGUUAGAGCAUCAUCAAAACUAACCUACCACCUGGCCAACCAUAUGAUCAAACCACCGCUCGUACUAUCGGUGACAUGGCACCAACAACCACGAGACCUCCUAUAAAUACCUUCCAUAAUGCUGAAGGAAGGAUCUUUCUGCCUUCAACAGCCCUAAGCACUCUUUAGAACCCUGUCUCCUUUGCUACCUUACCUCCCUCGCUGCCUUCCUCUUUUUUCCGACUCUUCACUUAUUUAAGUGAAUUGAUCUUCCUUAUACCACCACCUCUCCUCAUCUCAUCAAUUACUAAUACCCAAUAUCAACAAAAUAUAAAUACGAUAUCUGUUAAAGAGAUACAUAAUAUAUGAAAUCUAUUAAUAACAAUUUCAUUGCUCCAAUCAAUUGUGGUGAACUUUUGUUUAGAUUUAUUUCCCUGAAUAAAUUUAAUAGUAAAUUGUAGUUUGUAGACACCGAAAGCACGUUUCAGGCCAGAAAAAAAAGACAGCGAAAGCUGGUGGAAGGUUUCAAGUUUCUGAUUUUAAGUCAAGUCAGCUGUUGUAGUUUCUGAUUUUAAGUCAUGUCAGCUGUUGUAGGACCUGCCAAUAAAAGCCUUUUGUCUGGACCCAAAAAAUUGGCAAAAAGAAGAAGAAAGGUGCAUGCUGAUUGACAUUGACUUAGCUAUAUGCCAAAAUUAUAAUAAUACAUGGAUUGAAGUAGGGCACAAGUACUAUUCAUACUAGUGCGAAACCCCUUGCUUUGUUGACUUGCUUAAGUGAUAAAAAUUAAUUUUAAUUCGUAAUUCAUUUAAAUUUUUUAUAUUAUUAUUUGUUUUUAAAUUAUAAAAAAAUAUAUAGAAUUAUUAGAUAAAUAUAUGUCCGGAAUGAACUUGAAGAUAUAAUUGUUCAGAUUCACUUGUAUCUAAAUAACUAUUUGUCCAGAUUUAUUGUGCACUUAAAAUAAAAAAUCCUAAAAUUCAAGAAAAAAUCUACAAAAUUUAUAAAAAAAAAACGUAAAAUUUUAGUAAAUACAAGAGUAUAUAUUAAAAAAUUCUAUUUCUAUUUUUUGAAAUUAUAAAAAAAUAAAAACACAAAAAAAGACAUUACGAGCGAAUCUAGUUAUAUGGUUGUCCAAAAAUUUAAUUGUUCAGAUUCAUUAUGCAUGCAAAAUAAAAAAUAAAAUUCCUAAUUUUUAAUAUUUUUAAAUUUUUAUAAAAAUUAUUUUUGGGAUACGUCUCAACAUUCUAUACCAUCAGACCAAAAAUUAAUAAUGUUAGUUAAGUAUGAGCAAAAAAUACCAAUUUGCCUUAUAAUUUUUAGUCGAUUGAGUUUUAACUCGAUUGACAUAAAUACUAUAGUCAAUAUAGAAGGCCAUGGGUUCGACUAUGCUAAAAUACAUUAUACUCCUAUUUAUGAGGUGAGAAGGUAUUAUAAAUAAUUCUAGGCAUUGUAUUUAAAAAAAAAAAUUAAAACCUAAAAUAACUUGUGAUUUUUAAAUUUAAAUACUCAAUAAAUAUAAAUUACUAUGUUGAAAUACCUCUAUAUAUAUUAGCCAGUUUUCUAUAGUUUAGCUACAUAACCAUGUUUCUAUGCUUUCAUUGGUAAGUCUAAAUAGAUUAAACAAUUAAUAAUCUUAUUAGAGACCGCUAAUGUAAGGUCCCAACUCCCAACCUAAAAGUUACUACAUUUGUAAUCACUGAAUUUUCUCUAAAUUAAUUUCGUGUUAAAAGAAGAAGGAUUUUUUUUUAAUUUUUAAUUUUUUUUUUUGCAUUUUGACCCCUAAACCUUCCAUAAUUAGUAUUUUCCAUAAUGUCAUUUUCUCUUCAUUUUCCAUAAUGUCAUUUCCAGUGAGAGAUGUAGAGUGAUGUCUACAAGUACCAGUAGAUAUUACAUGCUUGAAGUUGAUGUUUAAAGUUCAUAAUCGGAUAUUAAAUUAUAAUCAUUCGUAUAAUCAAAAUCGAUAUAAUAAAUCUAAAAAAAAUUAUGAUUACGAAUUAUGAGAUAUUUUUAUAUUUUUUUGGUAUUUUUAUCAUUUUUUAUGUACAUAUUUAAGGUUUAUGAUUUUUUCUCUCAACAAUAUUGUCUCAAAAAUUUAAAUAAUGUGACUUAUCAUUGUAGGCAUUUGAUUGGUCCAAAUCAAAAUCUAACUCUUUCAACCGUGUAAAGAGAGUCAAGGUCUCAUCAUCUAAUUCAAUUAUCUUAAUUAGACGAUCAUUUACAAUUCAAUUCUAAACUAUCAUACAAUCAAAAUAUGAAUGAAAAGAAAUUUUAUAAUUAAUAUAUUAAUUAAAAUUUUAUAUAAUGAGUAUUUAAUUGAAAUCAUAAAAAUUUUAAAAUUUUUUAUGUUAAGAGUUCAUAUCUCAUCAUAAUUUACUAACGUGACACACAUAAGCAGUCACGUGCAUGACACGUCAAUAUUUAAUUAAAUACAUAGUUAAUUUCAAGUCUCUAAAAAUAAAUGAUUGACAAAUAGCAGGAAUUUUCAUUCAUCUCUAUGCUCUAGUUGCUUAAAUCAAGUCAGCUGCUGGACCUGCCAGGAAAAGUCUUUUGUUUGGACCCAAAAUCUGGAAAAAUAUGUGUACCUGCCAGGAAAAGUCUUUGGUUUGGACCCAAAAACUGGAAAAAUAUGUGUAUCUCCAAUGAGAUUGACUUGGCUAUAAUAAUAAUCAUAACCACUCGUUGUUGGAUUGAGGAUGAGCACGAGUCUUGACUCUAAAACUUUAUUUAAUGUGAUAAAAUAUAAAUAAGUAUUAUUCAUACGAAUUUUUCUGCAAGCUCUUGUUCUUGGAAAUUUCCCAUGUCCAGUGAGAGAUGUAGAGUAAUAUCUAUAUAUUUAUGAUCAUUUUCAAAGCUUUUGCAAUAAGUUCUUUACCGCAAUCUUGCUGUCUGAAGAAAAUCAUGUCUAUAGAUAUGGACUGUUCCAUAUUCUGUAGGACGAAACUUUGUUUUAUUAAUGCUUUCUUCUUCUUGUUUAUCAUCUCCUCUUUCACAUGUCCUCAUGUAGUCUUCGGCACAGCAAGUGAAGUUGAUUAUGGUGUUCACUGUAACUCAGUUGUUCAUGAAUCCAAACCAGUUGAUGAGGAGUUCAAUAUCAUGCCUUUCCCUGGACGUCAAAAUGGUUACUUCAGUGGUGGUGAUAAAGUCCUAAACAAUCCUCCUUCACGUUCCUACUCUCCACCGGAAUCGAAAACUUUCCUUUUCGAGACUCACCACGUAUAUACAACCGAUGCCGAUGAUGUCUUUAUGGUGGAAGGAAACCUGAUUUUUCAAACCUCGUUUUACUAUGAACAAAGUAUCUCCUAUGGAAGCUCAUACGUUAUAAGGUCAAGCGACUCAAGCGACCGUGGGACACUGGACUUCGAUUUUCAAGGCUUCUGGUCUCGAACAACCGGGAAGCUUUGCAUGGUGGGAUCGAGUUAUGCUUACUCGAAAGAAGGUAAACUGCUUCAUCUUGCUGCUGUUCUUGAGAUUAAUAAUCUUCAGAGUUCAAGUAAUAUUAGGACUUUAGUCACUGGUACCAUGGAUAGCUUGAGUUCUGCUAAUGAUCCAAAUCACUUUGAGCAAAUAUCACUGCUGAUGUUUCCUCAAGUAAAUUACGCUUACACCAUGAUUUCAAAUCAGUUCAGUGAAGGGUGUCCUCGGGGAACCGAUGUCCAACCGAUGUCGUCCCUCCGCUUAUCGCGCACUCGAACUAUUUGUGAUAUGUUAGGUGGAAGCAAUGCUUUCGAAUUGGAGUAUUCUGGCAGUUGUAAUUUUUCAAAGAGUUGCAAUCCAUUUGGUGAUGGUAUUAGAUAUUUCCCUUCAGUAGUAUCAUUGCGUAUGAUUCAGUGCUCAAACGAUGGGCUAAGCUUGAGGCUUCUGAUAGAAUUUCGGAACGAUAGAUAUCAGGGAUACUAUAGCUCUCCCAAUCUCAACACUUCAUUAAUUGGAGAAGGAUCUUGGGAUGCAAAGAGUAAUCGGCUUUGUAUCAUAGCUUGCCGAAUCUAUGAUGCAUCGAGCUCCUUGGAGAAGUCUCAUGUCGGAGACUGCACGACACGGUUGAGCUUAAGAUUCCCUGCAAUCUUGUCUAUCAGAAACACAAGCACCAUCGUAGGAGAAAUUUGGAGUGUGAAGCUUAGGAAUGAAGGUGGUUUCUUUGAUAGGAUCGAGUUCCGAAAUACUGCACCUUAUGGAGGAAUUCAACUUCAAGGUUUGAAGUAUGUGUACACGGAAAUGGACGAAGUGAAGAAAUCAUGUCCAAAGAAGAAUUCUAGGACUAAAAGCAGUAGGGAACACUAUCCAGAUGGCUAUUCUGGAGACAUGAGUUUUAGUAUGUCGAUCAUCAACGGUUCCAAAGGAAGCAUCGGAUGGGGUUCUUCGAAUAUUCUUGCGGUAGAUGAUCAGCAGUAUCAGAGAUUUCCAUCUCUAUUACCAUCCUCCAGCUCAAAGCCUAAAAUUCCUGGUGUUGAAUCCGAUUCCAGCAGUGGCUUGCUUAAUGUCAGCUAUAAAAUGAGUAUCAUGCUGCGUAGUUCGGAAUUGGAUGGUGGCCUUAAUCCGGUUAACGAAUCUUCAAAUGAAUAUUUGAAAACCGAAAUCCAAAUUUCUGCUGAAGGGGUUUAUGAUACAGCAACAGGUAGCCUAUGCAUGGUUGGCUGCAGACAUUUAAGGUCAGGUGACAAAACAUUUUCAAGCCAUUCGAUGGAUUGCGAGAUCCUGGUGAAAAUCAAUUUUCCUCCAUUGAACUCGGACAGGAGAAGUAAGAUCAGAGGAAGCAUCGAAAGCACACGUGAAGAAAUCGAUCCUCUGUCCUUCAAGCCCCUGCAGUUUUCGGGAAGAGCUUAUUAUCGCAGUUGGGUUACGGAAUCAAUUUGGAGAAUGGAUUUCGAGAUGAUCGUGUCGGUCAUAUCCAACACUCUUACAAUUAUCUUUGUUGCAUUUCAAAUCUUUCAUGUGAGGAAGCACCGUGGCAUUGGUCCUGUGGUUUCACUUCUCAUGCUAGUUAUUCUAGCCCUGGGACACUUCAUCCCUUUGGUUCUAAACCUCGAAGCAAUGUUCAUUCAAAAUAGCGAGAGAUCGGUCUUGAUUAGAGGUGAAACGUGGCUCGAAAUGAACGAGGUGAUCGUUAGAGUCGUCACAAUGGUGGCUUUUCUGCUGCAAGUCCGUCUUCUGAUGCUCUCGUGGACUGCUAGAUGCUCCACUGAAAAGAAAAAGACCUUGUGGAUUGCAGAGAAAAGGGGGCUGUAUGUGUGUGUUCCGGUGUACGGAAUCGGAGCUAUUAUUGCCUUUUCGGUUAAGUCAAGGCAGAAUGUACACCGAACAGUAAGGGCCAGGCAUUCUUGGUACUACAUAGAUGAAAUCAUUUUGGGGAAUUCAAGAGCUUAUGCUGGUUUGAUACUGGAUGCCUUUCUUUUCCCUCAAAUUAUCUUCAACGUGUUCCACAACUCGAGAGAACUGGCUCUUUCUCGACUCUUUUACAUCGGAAUCACCCUUGUUCGCCUCGUACCCCAUGGAUAUGAUCUGUACAGGGCAAACAACUAUGUUGAUAUAGAUGACACAUACAUUUACGCAGAUCAUGGUGCAGAUUACUACUCAACUGCUUGGGACUUCAUUAUUAUUGUGUUGGGUAUAUUCUUUGCUGUGAUCAUACACUACCAACAGCGCCUCGGCGGUCGAUAUUUCCUUUCGAAGAGAUUCCUAGAAUCUGGGACAGAUAAGGAACCUCCAGUGGAUUCAGAAGAACAAUUGCCAUUGAAAUAUAGCACCUAGUCCAUGCCUUGUGUUACUUUUAAGUGUUCACAACUUUUACUGUUUCCAAAUAAUUAUGUAAAUUCAUCCUUUUUCUUUUAUAGCUUAAUAAGCCUAAUGUAAUAUAAAGUUAUAAAUAAAAUUGUUUUAAAAAAUAUUUUAUUUUAAAUUUUUAUUUUAGAUUAAAGUUUGGGUGAGCCUUAAAUGUGAAUAUGUACCCAAAAUGAAUAAAUUUAAAAAGUACACAGUACAAAGAAAAAAAAAAAUUUUGUGUCAGAAUCAAAUAAAAAAAUCCGAAAAAAAGAAAAAAAAAUUGGGUGUUGGCCUGUCAAUGGCCGGCACCCAGUACGCAGUACAAAGAAAAAAAUUUAUUUAUUUUUAUUUUUUUCGUAUUUUUUUAUCUGAUUCUGACACGAAAAAAAAAUAAUUUUUUUUCUUUCUACUGUGUACUGGGUGCCGGCCAUUGACAGGCCAGCACCCAAAAUUUUUUUUUAUUUUUUUUCUUAUUUUUUAUCUGAUUCUGACACAAAAAAAUAAAAUUUUUUUUCUUUGUACUGUGUACUGGGUGCCGGCUAUUGACAGGCCAGCACCCAAAAAUUUUUUUUUAAUUUUUUUCGUAUUUUUUAUCUUAUUCUGACACGAAAAAAAAUAAAAAAAAAUUUUGUACUGUGUACUGGGUGCCGGCCAUUGACAGGCCAGCACCAAAUUUUUUUUUUUGUUUUUUUUCUUUUUUGUAUAUCCGUAUUUCAGUAUUACACAAUUUUUUUAAAAAAAUACCUGGGUUCUGGCCAUUGACAAGCCAGAACCCAAAAAAAUAAUUUUUUUAAGUCUAACAUAAUGAUUAGCCAAUCAUUGGUGCAAAAAAAGAGUGGGUACUGUUCAUUUUAGGUUAUUUUGGUGAUUGUUUUUAAACUUGGGUUAUUUUUGUAAAUAUAAUAUUUUUUGGGUUAUUUGGGUAAAACAGCCUAGUUCUGUCCUGGACGGGUCAUUGGAUCUAAUUCGAAGUCUUAUCCGAAAAUUGAAAGGGUUUGAAUGAAAAUAUAAGCUCAAAAAAUAGACUUGGACAAAAUAAAAAGACUCGUUUAAAAAACGGAUCAGACCUUGGGUAAGCCUUUUUGGCCCAAUCUCGGCCCUAAUUAGCAAAAAGACAAAAAAAAAAGCCUACUAUUUUCUUACUGUUUUGAUACUAUUUUUUUUAUUAUUUUCUUACUUUUUUACUAUCAUUUCAUUAUUAUGUUACUAUUAUUUUGUUAUUAUUAUUUAGAUAUUGUAUAACUCUUAUUUUAAUAUUAAUUUUGUUACUAUUUUAGAGACAUUUGUUUGUUAAGUUACACUUAUCUUAGUAUUAUUUAAGUAUAAAUUUAUUUUUUAAAUUUAUUUUCAAUUUUUUAAGAAUCAUUUAUUUUAAUGUUUUUUAUAUUUUAGAUGUAUUAUAUUUUUAAUUUUUUAUAUAUAAAAAAUAAUAUAAAGAAAUUAAUUUGGGCGGAUCGAACUAGACUCGAGUUUUAGUAUUUUUAUCCAAGUUGGGCUUGAAAAAAAUUUAAGCCCAUUUUUCGGGUCAAAUCGAGCCCAAACAUAGCAAACGGGCCUAAAAUAAUAAUAAUUCAUUAUUGGAUUGAGGUAGAACAUGAGGCUUGACUCUCGGCUUGUUAAAAUAUAUUAUUUGGUACCCAUAUUUGAUUUCAAUGUUUGAUUUGGUAUCUGAGUUUGACUUCAAUGCUUAGUUUGAUACUUGAGUUUUUUCAUAUUAAUGCUUGAGUUUUUCUUUGUCACAUAUAAGUACCUAAAUUUUACUUCAAUGUUUAAUUUGGCACUUGAGUUUUUUCUUUUGUCCCAAUUAAGUACCUAUGAUUAUUUUACUAAGGCACACAUGUAAAAUAUUUUUUGAAGUACACGAUGUUUAGUUUGGGUACCAAAUUAAAUAUUGAAACCAAAUAUAAGCACUAAAUGGUAUAUUAACCCUUAACUUUAUCAUAUAGGGACCUAAAUUUAACAAAAAUAAAAUUAACAGUGUUAACAAUUAGACCUAAAUUCUAAAAUUUUAAAAGUAGAAAGAGUAAGGUCCUGAAAAUAAAAAUAUAGGGACUAAAUUUUAAAUUUAUGAAUCGUACAGGAUCUACAACAUAUUUUAACCCUUUGAAAAAUCAACGAUUAGACCACUUUUAGCAAAUAGCAGGAAAUUGCAUCCAUGUGCUCUAGUUUUUAAGUCAAGUCAGCUGUUGUAGGACCUGCCGACAAUAAUAAUAAUAACCACUCGUUAUUGAUUGAGGUAGAAGACGAGGCAUGACUCUAAACUUCCUUUAAUUUUAAAGUUAAUAUAUUAUUUAGUACCUAUAUUUAAUUUUAAUGUUCAAUUCGAUACCUAAAUUUUUUUCCCAAAUUGGUACCUGAUUUUUUGGGUAUUGAUACUUGAGUUUUCUUUUUCCCAUACCAGUACUCAGGUUUGACUUUAAUGUUUAAUUUAACACCUGAGUUUUUUUUGUCCCAAUUAAGUAUCUAUGUUUUUUUACUAGGCGGACAUGUCAAAUAUUUAUUGAACCACACGAUGUCGUUUAGUUUGAGUAUCGAAUUGAACAUUGAAGCCAAACUUAGGUUUCAAAUUGAAACAAAAAAAAGAUUAGGUACAAAAUUGAAAAUUCAAGCCAAAUGUAAGUACCAAAUGAUAUAUUAACCCUUAAUUUUAUCAUAUAUAUAUAUAUAUGUAAAUAUUAAUCAAAAAAAUUAAACAUUUUGGUGUUGAUUAUAUAAAUAUUCAUAUAAGACAUUCACACCAAAUGGCAUGAUUUCACCCAUAUUUCUGGUAUUGUUUAUACGUUUGAGGGUCAGUCUACAAAAAAAUACAUCAGUUUUCAAAAAUUAUUUAGUUGUUAAAUAUAAGGUUGUCUUUUGCUGUGUUCAUUUUAUAAUGUGAUUUGAUCAAAAACUUCCUUCGGAUUAAAUAUAAAAUAUUGUCAUAAUCCUCUCUUACUUUUCAAAGUCUUGCAAGGUCUUGUUCUUGGAAAUUUCCCAUGUCCAGUGAGAGAUGUAGAGUAUAAUAUCUAUAUAUUUAUGAUCAUUUUCAAAGCUUUUGCAAUAAGUUCUUUAUCACAAUCUUGCUGUCUGAAGAAAUUCAUGUCUAUAGAUAUGGACUGUUCCAUAUUCUGUACGACGAAACUCUGUUUUAUUAAUGCUUUCUUCAUGUUGUUUAUCAUCUCCUCUUUCACAUGUCCUCAUGUAGUCUUCGGCACAGCAAGUGAAGUUGAUUAUGGUGUUCACUGUAACUCAGUUGUUCAUGAAUCCAAACCAGUUGAUGAGGAGUUCAAUAUCAUGCCUUUCCCUGGACGUCAAAAUGGUUACUUCAGUGGUGGUGAUAAAGUCCUAAACAAUCCUCCUUCACGUUCCUACUCUGCACCCAAAUCGAAAACGCUCCUUUUCGAGACUCACCACGUAUUUACAACCGAAGCUGAUGAUGUCUUUAUGGUGGAAGGAAACCUGAUUUUUCAAACCUCGUUUUACUAUGAACGGAGUAUCUCCUCUGGAAGCUCACACUUUAUUAUAAGGUCAAGCGAUUCAAGCGACCGUGGGACACUGGACUUCGAUUUUCGAGGCUUCUGGUCUCGAACAACCGGGAAGCUUUGCAUGGUGGGAUCGAGUUAUGCUUACUCCAAAGAAGGUAAACUGCUUCAUCUUGCUGCUGUUCUUAAGAUUAAUAAUCUUAGGAAGUCAAGUACUAUCAGAACUUUAGUGACUGGUACCCUGGAUAGCUUGAAUUCAAUUGGUGAUCCAAAUCACUUUGAGCAAAUUUCACUGCUGAUGUUUCCCCAACUAAAUUACGCUUACACCAUGGUUUCAAAACAAUUUAGUGAAGGGUGUCCUCGGGGAACCGAUGUCCAACCGAUGUCGUCCCUCCGCUUAUCGCAAACUCGAACUAUUUGUGAUAUGUUAGGUGGAAGCAAUGCUUUCGAAUUGGAGUAUACUGGCAGUUGUAAUUCUUCAAAGAGUUGCAAUCCAUUUGGUGAUGGUAUUGGAUAUUUACCUUCAGUAAUAUCGUUGAGUAUGAUUCAGUGCUCAAACGAUAGGCAAAGCUUGAGGUUUCUGAUAGAAUUCCGGAACGACAGCUAUCAGGGAUACUAUAGCUCUCCCAAUCUCAACACUUCAUUAAUUGGAGAAGGAUCUUGGGAUGCAAAGAGUAAUCGGCUUUGUAUCAUUGCUUGCCGAAUCUAUGAUGCAUCGAGCUCCUUGGAGAAGUCUCAUGUCGGAGACUGCACGACACGGUUGAGCUUAAGAUUCCCUGCAAUCUUGUCUAUCAGAAACCCAAGCACCAUUGUAGGAGAAAUUUGGAGUGAGAAGCCUAGGAAUGAAGGUGGUUUCUUUGACAGGGUCGAGUUCCGAAAUACUGGACGUUAUGGAGGAGGAAUUCAACUUCAAGGUUUGAAGUAUGUGUACACGGAAAUGGACGAAGUGAAGAAAUCAUGUCCAAAGAAGAAUUCUAGGACUAAUAGCAGUAUGGAACACUAUCCAGAUGGCUAUUCUGGAGACAUGAGUUUUAGUAUGUCCAUCAUCAACGGUUCCAAAGGAAGCAUCGGAUGGGGUUCUUCGGAUAUUCUUGCGGUAGAUGAUCAGCAGUAUCAGAGAUUUCCAUCUCUAUUACCAUCCUCAAGCUCAAAGCCUAAAAGUUCUGGCGUUGAAUCCGAUUCCAGCAGUGGCUUGCUUAAUGUCAGCUAUAAAAUUAGCAUCCCGCCACUUAGUUUGGAAUUGGAUGGUGGCCUCAAACCGGUUAACCAAUCUUCAUAUGAAUAUCUGCAAACCAAAAUCCAAAUUUCUGCUGAAGGGGUUUAUGAUACAACAACAGGUAGCCUAUGCAUGGUUGGCUGCAGGCGUUCAAGGUUAGACGGCAAAUCAUUUUCAAGCCAUUCGAUAGAUUGCGAUAUCCUUGUGCAAGUCAACUUUCUUCCAUUGAACUCGCGCAAGAUAAAUAACAUCAAGGGAAGCAUCGAGAGCACGCGUGAAAAUACCGAUAGUCUGUACUUCAAGCCUCUGCAGAUUUUGGGAACAACUAAUUCUCGCAGUUGGGGAGCGGAAUCGAUUUGGAGAAUGGAUUUCGAGAUGAUCGUGUCGGUCGUAUCCAACACUCUUGCAAUUAUCUUUGUUGCAUUUCAAAUCUUUCAUGUGAGGAAGCACCGUGGCAUUGGUCCUAUGGUUUCACUUCUCAUGCUUGUUAUUCUAGCCCUGGGACACUUGAUCCCUUUGGUUCUAAACCUCGAAGCAACGUUCAUUCAGGAUAGCGAGCGAUCGAUCUUGAUUAGAGGUGGAAGGUGGCUCGAAAUGAAUGAGGUGAUCAUUAGAGUCGUCACAAUGGUGGCUUUUCUGCUGCAAGUCCGUCUUCUGAUGCUCUCAUGGACUGCUAGAUGCUCCACUGAAAAGAAAAAGACCUUGUGGAUUGCAGAAAAAAGGGGGCUGUAUGUGUGUGUUCCGGUGUACGUAAUCGGAGCUAUUAUCGCCUUUUCGGUUAAGUCAAGGCAGAAUGUACACGGAACAGUAAUGGCCAGGCAUUCUUGGUACGACAUAGAUGAAAUCAUUUUGGGGAAUUCAAGAGCUUAUGCUGGUUUGAUACUGGAUGCCUUUCUUUUCCCUCAAAUCAUCUUCAACAUGUUCCACAGCUCGAGAGAACUGGCUCUUUCUCGACUCUUUUACAUCGGAAUCACCCUUGUUCGCCUCGUACCCCAUGGAUAUGAUCUGUACAGGGCAAACAGCUAUGUUGAUAUAGAUGACACAUACAUUUAUGCAGAUCAUGGUGCAGAUUACUACUCAACUGCUUGGGACUUCAUUAUUAUUGUGUUGGGUAUAUUCUUUGCUGUGAUCAUACACUACCAACAGCGCCUCGGCGGUCGAUAUUUCCUUUCGAAGAGAUUCCUAGAAUCUGUGAUAGAUGAGGAACCUCCAGUGGAUUCAGAAGAACAAUUGCCAUUGAAAUAUAGCACCUAGUCCAUGCCUUGUGUUACUUCUAAGUGUUCACAACUUUUACUGUUUCCAAAUAAUUCUGUAAAUUGAUCCUUUUUCUUUUAUAGCUUAAUAAGCCUAAUGUAAUAUAAAGUUAUAAAUAAAAUUGUUUUAAAAAAUAUUUUAUUUUAGAUUAAAGUUUGGGUGAGCCUUAAAUGUGAAUAUGUACCCAAAACGAAUAAAUUUAAAAAUUAUACUUUUUUUUAUAUUUAAAUAUAAAUCCAACAUAAAUUCUUACAAAAAUUAAAAGUAAAUUUAUUGGCAUGUAGCAUAACAUUUCCUUGUAAUUUUGGUGUUUUCAGCUUUCCAUUUACCAACUUUUGACUUAGUUUACUCCUCUCUAGUGUUUGAUAAAAGCUAUUAAAAAACCUAUAAUUUAUAACCAUAGUUAAAUAUCCAAUGUAUUAAUGAUAUGUUUGGUAGGAAUAUGAAUUAGUAAUAAAUUAAUUUCAGUCGAUAAUUUAAAUAUUUAUAUGAUCGACUUGUUUGAUAUGUUUAAUAUAAACGAGGACUGUUAUGUUAAAUACUAGAUAUGAACUUUGGGGGUUAGCUGCCCCUAAAAUUUAUAAAAUUUCUUUUAAGGUCCUUUGAAUUUUCAAUUUUUUUAAUUGGAUAUUAUAAUGUAGUGUCUAAAAAGGAGGACAAAUUUGUGUUUGACUUCUUAAACUUUUUUCAAUUUUUUUAUUUGAUUUCUUUUAUAGAAUUUAUAAAUUUUUUAAUUAUAAAUUUAAUAAAUUAAUGCAAAGUAAUAUAUAAAUAUUAAUUUGUUAAUAAAGUAAUAAUUGCAACAUCUAAGUAUAAUUAUUAUCUAAAAUUAAUUAGAUGAAAAAUAAACUUAAAUAAUUAUAAUAUUUAAUAAAAAUUGAGCAUUUAGCUCUUUUUUUCUUCUAAAUUUUGGUGACUAAGAUUAUCCCGAAUGUAAAAAUCUGUUGUUGAAAGCAGGUCUUUUCCACUUUGAUCAUGUAUAUUAUAUAUAAAUAUCUCGCCCCCUUAUCAACAAUUUUAGCUUCGACCUUGUAAAUAACACUCAAAUUUCAAAAAGGCAAUGAAAGAUAGAUAUUACGAUAUCAAAGUGUUUGGUUGUUGAGAAUUGUGAUAUUUGUUACUAUUGUUAUAAUUUAUUUCGUAUGAAGUUUACAUCAGUGUUAAUUAUGAUUAUCAUCCGAAUCUGUAUCAUUAAGAUCAUCAAGAUUUUUUUUUUGGUGUACUUUUCAAAGUAUGAAUCAUUCCAAAUUCAUCUAUGAAUGAAGCUGCGAAUUAUGCAACAUGUUUGUACAAUCCAAUGAAAUAUGAAUCAUCACUUUUAUAAUAUACAAAUUAUUUUUAUGAUAAUUUUUUAUCAUAACUUAAAAAAAAUAAGUUUAAAUAAUAUAAAUUUUUAUUAUAAUUUUAUAAAAUAAAUAUAAAUUAUUUUCAGAACAUAAUUUAUUAUAAUGAUUAUGAUUUUAACCAUUACUUUUCACAACACAUUAUUCUAAACAUUAAAGGUAUGAUUUUAACCAUUACUUUCUACUACUUUCAAUUAUACAAAAAGAUUUAAGUUUAGAUCCCACACUUGACUCGAAGAUAUAAAAACCUUAAUUGGAUGAAGAGAUUGACGAUCUAGUUCGGAGGAGAGGGAUGAUUUUUAAAACUUUUUGAAUUCCUUUGCUUGAAGAUUAAUUUGGUAAUGGUGGAGGAAUAAUUUGCUUGAUGAAAAUUAUAGGGUUUGAAAAUAUUUUCUAUUUCAAAAUUUUAAAAUCUAAAAGGUAAAGGUUAAAUUAUUAGAAAUAAAAGUAUAAAAAUUAAAUUUAAAAUUUUUCAAUAGUUCAGGGACCGAUGACAUAACUUAACCCUUCUAUGAUUGGACCUUUUUAGCAAACAGCACGAAUUUUCAUCCAUCUCUUUGGUCUAGCUUUUAAGUCAAGUCAACUGUUGUAGGACCUGCCAAUAAAAUCCUUUUGUUUCGACCCAAAACCUACAAAAAAAUGACUAAACUGAGUCACAUUGACUUUGCUAUUUUUCAUAAUAAUAAUAGUAAUAACAAUAAUUCAUUAACCUAAAAAUAAUAAUAACUCAAUGGUAGUUUUGUCUUCGACGGGUCAUUGGAUCUGAUUCUAAGUCCUAUCCGAAAAUUAAAAAGGGUUUGGAUAAAAAUAUAGGCUCAAAAAAUAGACUUGGACAAAAAAAAACUCGUUUAAAAAACGGGUCAGACCUUGGGUAAGGCUUUUUGGCCCAAUCUCGGCCCUAAUUAGCAAAAAGACAAAAAAAAACUACUAUUUUCUUGUUGUUUUGAUACUAUUUUCUUAUUAUUUUCUUACUUUUUUACUAUCAUUUCACUCUUAUGUUACUACUAUUUUGUUGUUAUUAUUCGGAUAUUGUAUAACUCUUAUUUUAUUAUUAAUUUUGUUACUAUUUUAGAGACAUUUGUUUGUUAAGUUACACCUAUCUUAGUAUUAUUUAAGUAUAAAUUUAUUUUUUAAAUUUAUUUUCAAUUUUUUGAGAAUCAUUUAUUUUAAUGUUUUUUUAUAUUUUAGAUGUAUUAUAUUUUUAAUUUUUUAUAUAUAAAAAAUAAUAUAAAGAAAUUAAUUUGGGCGGAUCGAACUAGACUCGAGUUUUAGCAUUUUUAUCCAAGUUGGGCUUGAAAAAAAUUUAGGCCCAUUUUUCGGGUCAAAUCGAGCCCAAACAUAGCAAACGGGCCUAAAAUAAUAAUAAUUCAUUAUUGGAUUGAGGUAGAACAUGAGGCUUGACUCUCGGCUUGUUAAUAUAUUAUUUGGUACCCAUAUUUGAUUUCAAUGUUUGAUUUGGUAUCUGAGUUUGACUUCAAUGCUUAGUUUGAUACUUGAGUUUUUUCAUAUUAAUGCUUGAGUUUUUCUUUGUCACAUAUAAGUACCUAAAUUUUACUUCAAUGUUUAAUUUGGCACUUGAGUUUUUUCUUUUGUCCCAAUUAAGUACCUAUGAUUCUUUUACUAAGGCACACAUGUAAAAUAUUUUUUGAAGUACACGAUGUUUAGUUUGGGUGCCAAAUUAAAUAUUGAAACCAAAUAUAAGCACUAAAUGGUAUAUUAACCCUUAACUUUAUCAUAUAGGGACCUAAAUUUAACAAAAAGAAAAUUAACAGUGUUAACAAUUAGACCUAAAUUCCAAAAUUUAAAAAGUAGAAAGAGUAAGUUCCUGAAAAUAAAAAUAUAGGGACUAAAUUUUAAAUUUAUGAAUCGUACAGGAUCUACAACAUAUUUUAACCCUUUGAAAAAUCAACGAUUAGACCACUUUUAGCAAAUAGCAGGAAAUUGCAUCCAUGUGCUCUAGUUUUUAAGUCAAGUCAGCUGUUGUAGGACCUGCCGACAAUAAUAAUAAUAACCACUCGUUAUUGAUUGAGGUAGAAGACGAGGCAUGACUCUAAACUUCCUUUAAUUUUAAAGUUAAUAUAUUAUUUAGUACCUAUAUUAAAAUCCUAUAUUUAAUUUUAAUAUUCAAUUCGAUACUUAAAUUUUUUUCCUAAAUUGGUACCUGAUUUUUUGGUAUUGAUACUUGAGUUUUCUUUUUCCCAUACCAGUACUCAGGUUUGACUUUAAUGUUUAAUUUAACACCUGAAUUUUUUUUGUCCCAAUUAAGUAUCUAUGUUUUUUUACUAGGCGGACAUGUCAAAUAUUUAUUGAACCACACGAUGUCGUUUAGUUUGGGUAUCGAAUUGAACAUUGAAGCCAAACUUAGGUUUCAAAUUGAAACAAAAAAAGAUUAGGUACAAAAUUGAAAAUUCAAGCCAAAUGUAAGUACCAAAUGAUAUAUUAACCCUUAAUUUUAUCAUAUAUAUAUAUAUAUGUAAAUAUUAAUCAAAAAAAUUAAACAUUUUGGUGUUGAUUAUAUAAAUAUUCAUAUAAGACAUUCACACCAAAUGGCAUGAUUUCACCCAUAUUUCUGGUAUUGUUUAUACGUUUGAGGGUCAGUCUACAAAAAAAUACAUCAGUUUUCAAAAAUUAUUUAGUUGUUAAAUAUAAGGUUGUCUUUUGCUGUGUUCAUUUUAUAAUGUGAUUUGAUCAAAAACUUCCUUCGGAUUAAAUAUAAAAUAUUGUCAUAAUCCUCUCUUACUUUUCAAAGUCUUGCGAGGUCUUGUUCUUGGAAAUUUCCCAUGUCCAGUGAGAGAUGUAGAGUGAUAUCUAUAUAUUUACGAUCAUUUUCAAAGCUUUUGCAAUAAGUUCUUUAUCACAAUCUUGCUGUCCGAAGAAAUUCAUGUCUAUAGAUAUGGACUGUUCCAUAUUCUGUAGGACGAAACUUUGUUUUAAUGCUUUCUUCUUCUUGUUUAUCAUCUCCUCUUUCACAUGUCUUCAUGUAGUCUUCGGCACAGCAAGUGAAUUUGAUUAUGGCGUUCACUGUAACUCAGUUGUUCAUGAAUCCAAACCAGUUGAUGAGGAGUUCAAUAUCAUGCCUUUCCCUGGACGUCAAUAUGGUUACUUCAGUGGUGGUGAUAAAGUCCUAAACAAUCCUCCUUCACGUUCCUACUAUGCACCCAAAUCGAAAACUCUCCUUUUCGAGACUCACCACGUAUUUACAACCGAUGCUGAUGAUGUCUUUAUGGUGGAAGGAAACCUGAUUUUUCAAACCUCGUUUUACUAUGAACAGAGUAUCUCCUCUGGAAGCUCAUAUUUUCGUGGGACACUGGACUUCGAUUUUCGAGGCUUCUGGUCUCGAACAACCGGGAAGCUUUGCAUGGUGGGAUCGAGUUAUGCUUACUCCAAAGAAGGUAAACUGCUUCAUCUUGCUGCUGUUCUUAAGAUUAAUAAUCUUCAGAGUUCAAGUAAUAUUAGUACUUUAGUCACCGGUACCAUGGAUAGCUUGAGUUCUGCUAAUGAUCCAAAUCACUUUGAGCAAAUAUCACUGCUGAUGUUUCCUCAAGUAAAUUACGCUUACACCAUGAUUUCAAAUCAGUUUAGUAAAGGGUGUCCUCGGGGAACCGAUGUCCAACCGAUGUCAUCCCUCCGCUUAUCGCAAACUCGAACUAUUUGUGAUAUGUUAGGUGGAAGCAAUGCUUUCGAAUUGGAGUAUACUGGCAGUUGUAAUUCUUCAAAGAGUUGCAAUCCAUUUGGUGAUGGUAUUGGAUAUUUACCUUCAGUAAUAUCGUUGAGUAUGAUUCAGUGCUCAAACGAUAGGCAAAGCUUGAGGUUUCUGAUAGAAUUCCGGAACGACAGCUAUCAGGGAUACUAUAGCUCUCCCAAUCUCAACACUUCAUUAAUUGGAGAAGGAUCUUGGGAUGCAAAGAGUAAUCGGCUUUGUAUCAUUGCUUGCCGAAUCUAUGAUGCAUCGAGCUCCUUGGAGAAGUCUCAUGUCGGAGACUGCACGACACGGUUGAGCUUAAGAUUCCCUGCAAUCUUGUCUAUCAGAAACCCAAGCACCAUUGUAGGAGAAAUUUGGAGUGAGAAGCCUAGGAAUGAAGGUGGUUUCUUUGACAGGGUCGAGUUCCGAAAUACUGGACGUUAUGGAGGAGGAAUUCAACUUCAAGGUUUGAAGUAUGUGUACACGGAAAUGGACGAAGUGAAGAAAUCAUGUCCAAAGAAGAAUUCUAGGACUAAUAGCAGUAUGGAACACUAUCCAGAUGGCUAUUCUGGAGACAUGAGUUUUAGUAUGUCCAUCAUUAACGGUUCCAAAGGAAGCAUCGGAUGGGGUUCUUCGGAUAUUCUUGCGGUAGAUGAUCAGCAGUAUCAGAGAUUUCCAUCUCUAUUACCAUCCUCAAGCUCAAAGCCUAAAAGUUCUGGCGUUGAAUCCGAUUCCAGCAGUGGCUUGCUUAAUGUCAGCUAUAAAAUUAGCAUCCCGCCACUUAGUUUGGAAUUGGAUGGUGGCCUCAAACCGGUUAACCAAUCUUCAUAUGAAUAUCUGCAAACCAAAAUCCAAAUUUCUGCUGAAGGGGUUUAUGAUACAACAACAGGUAGCCUAUGCAUGGUUGGCUGCAGGCGUUCAAGGUUAGACGGCAAAUCAUUUUCAAGCCAUUCGAUAGAUUGCGAUAUCCUUGUGCAAGUCAACUUUCUUCCAUUGAACUCGCGCAAGACAAAUAACAUUAAGGGAAGCAUCGAGAGCACGCGUGAAAAAACCGAUAGUCUGUAUUUCAAGCCUCUGCAGAUUUUGGGAACAACUUAUUCUCGCAGUUGGGGAGCGGAAUCGGUUUGGAGAAUGGAUUUCGAGAUGAUCGGGUCGGUCGUAUCCAACACUCUUGCAAUUAUCUUUGUUGCAUUUCAAAUCUUUCAUGUGAGGAAGCACCGUGGCAUUGGUCCUAUGGUUUCACUUCUCAUGCUUGUUAUUCUAGCCCUGGGACACUUGAUCCCUUUGGUUCUAAACCUCGAAGCAAUGUUCAUUCAAGAUAGCGAGAGAUCGGUCUUGAUUAGAGGUGGAAAGUGGCUCGAAAUGAACGAGGUGAUAAUUAGAGUCGUCACAAUGGUGGCUUUUCUGCUGCAAGUCCGUCUUCUGAUGCUCUCAUGGACUGCUAGAUGCUCCACUGAGAAGAAAAAGACCUUGUGGAUUGCAGAGAAAAGGGGGCUGUAUGUGUGUGCUCCGGUGUACGUAAUCGGAGCUAUUAUCGCCUUUUCGGUUAAGUCAAGGCAGAAUGUACACAGAACAGUAAUGGCCAGGCAUUCUUGGUACGACAUAGAUGAAAUCAUUUUGGGGAAUUCAAGAGCUUAUGCUGGUUUGAUACUGGAUGCCUUUCUUUUCCCUCAAAUCAUCUUCAACAUGUUCCACAACUCGAGAGAACUGGCUCUUUCUCGACUCUUUUACAUCGGAAUCACCCUUGUUCGCCUCGUACCCCAUGGAUAUGAUCUUUACAGGGCAAACAGCUAUGUUGAUAUAGAUGACACAUACAUUUAUGCAGAUCAUGGUGCAGAUUACUACUCAACUGCUUGGGACUUCAUUAUUAUUGUGUUGGGUAUAUUCUUUGCUGUGAUCAUACACUACCAACAGCGCCUCGGCGGUCGAUAUUUCCUUUCGAAGAGAUUCCUAGAAUCUGUGAUAGAUGAGGAACCUCCAGUGGAUUCAGAAGAACAAUUGCCAUUGAAAUAUAGCACCUAGUCCAUGCCUUGUGUUACUUCUAAGUGUUCACAACUUUUACUGUUUCCAAAUAAUUCUGUAAAUUGAUCCUUUUUCUUUUAUAGCUUAAUAAGCCUAAUGUAAUAUAAAGUUAUAAAUAAAAUUGUUUUAAAAAAUAUUUUAUUUUAAAUUUUUAUUUUAGAUUAAAGUUUGGGUGAGCCUUAAAUGCGAAUAUGUACCCAAAAUGAAUAAAUUUAAAAAUUAUACUCUUUUUUUUAUAUUUAAAUAUAAAUCCAACAUAAAUUCUUACAAAAUUAAAAGUAAAUGUUUAUAUAAAUCUUUAUACAAAUUUAUUGGCAUGUAGCAUAACAUUUCCUUGUAAUUUUGGUGUUUUCAGCUUUCCAUUUACCAACUUUUGACUUAGUUUACUCCUCUCUGGUGUUUGAUAAAAGCUAUUAAAACCUAUAAUUUAUAACCAUACUUAAAUAUCCAAUGCAUUAAUGAUAUGUUUGGUAUGAAUAUGAAUUAGUGAUAAAUUAAUUUCAAUCGAUAAUUUAAAUAUUUAUAUGAUCGACUUGUUUGAUAUGUUUAAUAUAAACGAGUACUGUUAUGUUAAAUACUAGAUAUGAACUUUGGGGGUUAGCUGCCCCUAAAAUUUAUAAAAUUUCUUUUAAGGUCCUUUGAAUUUUCAAUUUUUUUUAAUUUGAUAUUAUAAUGUAGUGUCUAAAAUAAGGACAAAUUUGUGUUUGACUUCUUAAACUUUUUUCAAAAUUUUUUUAUUUGAUUUCUUUUAUAGAAUUUAUAAAUUUUUAAUUAUAAAUUUAAUAAAUUAAUACAAAAUAAUAUAUAAAUAUUAAUUUGGUAAUAAAGUAAUAAUUGCAACAUCUAAGUAUAAAUAUUAUCUAAAAUUAAUUAGAUGAAAAAUAAACUUAAAUAAUUAUAAUAUUUAAUAAAAAUUGAGCAUUUAACUCUUUUUUUUCUUCUAAAUUUUGGUGACUAAGAUUAUCCCGAAUGUAAAAAUCCGUUGUUGAAAGUAGGUCUUUUCCACUUUGAUCAUGUAUAUUAUAUAUAAAUAUCUUGCCCCCUUAUCAACAAUUUUAGCUUCGACCUUGUAAAUAACACUCAAAUUUCAAAAAGGCAAUGAAAGAUAAAUAUUGCUAUAUCAAAGUGUUUGAGAGUUGUGAUAUUUGUUGCUAUUGUUAUAAUGUAUUUCGUAUGAAGUUUACAUCAGUGUUAAUUAUGAUCAUCAUCCGAAUCUAUAUCAUUAAGAUCAUCGAGAUUUUUUUUUGUGUACUUUUCAAAGUAUGAAUCAUUUCAAAUUCAUCUAUGAAUGAAGUUACGAAUUAUGCAACAUAUUUGUACAAUCCAAUGAAAUAUGAAUCAUCACUUUUACGACAUACAAAUUAUUUUUAUAAUAAUUUUUUUAUCAUAACUUAAAAAAAAUAAGAUUUAAAUAAUAUAAAUUUUUUAUUAUAACUUUAUAAAAUAAAUAUAAAUUAUUUUUAUAACAUAAUUUAUUAUAAUGAUUAUGAUUUUAACCAUUGCUUUCUACUACUUUCAAUUAUAAAAAAAUAUUUAAGUUUAGAUCCCACACCUGAUUCGAAGACAUAAAAACCUUAAUUGGAUGAAGAGAUUGACGAUCUACUCGGGAGGAGAGGAAUGAUUUUUAUAACUUUUUGAAUUCCUUUGCUUGAAGAUUGAUUUGGUAAUGGUGGAGGAAAUACUUUGCAUGGUUUGAAAAUAUUUCCUAUUUCAAAAUUUUGAAAUCUAAAAGGUAAAGGUUAAAUUAUUGGAAAUAAAAGUAUAAGAACUAAAUUUAAAAUUUUUCAAUAGUGCAGGGACCGAUGACAUAACUUAACCCUUCAAUGAUUGGACCAUUUUAGCAAAUAGCACGAAUUUUCAUCCAUCUAGUCUAGCUUUUAAGUCAAGUCAACAGUUGUAGGACCUGCCAAUAAAAUCCCUUUGUUUCGACCCAAAACCUACAAAAAAAUGACUAAACUGAUUCACAUCGACUUUGCUAUUUUUCGUAAUAAUAAUAAUAAUAAUAAUAAUAAUAAUAACAAUAAUAGUUCGUUAACCCAAAAAUAAUAAUAAAUCUGUCAUGGCCGGGUCAUUCAACCAGAUCUGAAAUUCCGUCCGAAAAUUGAGAGAGUUUAGAUAAAAAUAUAAGUUUCAAAAACUAGACUUGGGUAAAAAAAAAAGAAUCGUUUAAAAAUCGGGUCAGACCUUGGGUAAGCCUUUUAGGCCCAAUCUCGACCCUAAUUAGCAAAAAGACAAAAAAAGAAGAAGCUAUUUUCUUGCUGUUUUGCUACUAUUUUCUUAUUAUUUUCUUACUUUUUUACUAUCAUUUCACUAUUAUGUUACUACUAUUUUGUUGUUAUUAUUUGGAUAUUAUAUAACUCUUAUUUUAUUAUUAAUUUUGUUACUAUUUUAGAGGCAUUUGCUUAUUAAGUUACACCUAUUUUAAUAUUAUUUAAGUAUAAAUAUAAUAAUAAUUCAUUAUUAGUAUUAUUUAAGUAUAAAUCGAGCCCAAACAUAGCAAACGGGUCUAAAAUAAUUAUAAUUCAUUAUUGGAUUGAGGUAGAACACGAGGCUUGACUCUCAACUUGUUAAAAUAUAUUUUUUGGUACCCAUAUUUGAUUUCAAUUUUAAAUUUAGUAUCUAAGUUUGACUUCAAUGUUUAGUUUGAAACUUGAGUUUUUUCAUAUUAAUGCUUGAGUUUUUUUUUGUCACAUAUAAGUACCUAAGUUUUACUUUAAUGUUUAAUUUGGCACUUGAGUUUUUUUCUUUUGUCCCAAUUAAGUACCGAUGAUUCUUUUACUAAGGCACUCAUGUAAAAUAUUUAUUGAAGUACAUGAUGUUGUUUAGUUUAGGUACCAAAUUAAACAUUGAAACCAAAUAUAAGCACUAAAUGAUAUAUUAACCCUUAACUUUAUCAUAUAGGGACCUAAAUUUAACAAAAAAAAUUAACUGUGUUAGCAAUUAGACCUCAAUUCUAAAAUUUGAAAAGUGGAAAAAGUAAGUUCCUGAAAAUAAAAAUAUAGGACUAAAUUUUAAAUUUAUGAAUAGUACAGGACCUACAACAUAUUUUAACCCUUUGAAAAAUCAACGAUUGGACCACUUUUAGCAAAUAGCAGGAAAUUGCAUCCAUGUGGUCUAGUUUUUAAGUCAAGUCAGCUGUUGUAGGACCUGCCGACAAUAAUAAUAAUAACCACUCGUUAUUGGAUUGAGGUAGAAGACGAGGCAUGACUCUAAACUUCCUUUAAUUUUAAAGUUAAUAUAUUAUUUAGUACCUAUAUUUAAUUUUAACGUUCAAUUCGAUAUUUAAAUUUUUUUUCUUAAAUUGGUACCUGAUUUUUUUUUUGUAUUGAUACUUGAGUUUUCUUUGCCCCAUACUAGUAUUUAGGUUUGACUUCAAUAUUCAAUUUAACACGUAAGUUUUUCUUUUGUCCCAACUAAAUACCUAUGUUUUUUUUACUAGGGCGAACAUGUCAAAUAUUUAUUGAACCAUAUGAUGUCGUUUAGUUUGGGUACCGAAUUGAACAUUAAAGCCAAACUUAGGUUCCAAAUUAAAAAAAAAGAUUAGGUACCAAAUUGAAAAUUCAAGCCAAAUGUAAGUACCAAAUGAUAUAUUAACCCUUAAUUUUGUCAUAUAUAUAUAUAUAUAUAUUAUGGAGUCUACAAAAAAAUACAUCAGUUUUCAAAAAUUAUUUAGUGGUUAAAUAUAAGGUUGUCUUUUGUUGUGUUCAUUUUAUAAUGUUAUUUGAUCAAAAACUUCCUUCGGAUUAAAUGUAAAAUAUUGGCAUAAUCCUCUCUUACUUUUCAAAGUCUUGCAAGGCCUUGUUCUUGGAAAUUUCCCAUGUCCAGUGAGAGAUGUAGAGUGAUAUCUAUAUAUUUACGAUCAUUUUCAAAGCUUUUGCAAUAAGUUCUUUAUCACAAUCUUGCUGUCCGAAGAAAUUCCUGUCUAUAGAUAUGGACUGUUCCAUAUUCUGUAGGACGAAACUUUGUUUUAAUGCUUUCUUCUUCUUGUUUAUCAUCUCCUCUUUCACAUGUCUUCAUGUAGUCUUCGGCACAGCAAGUGAAUUUGAUUAUGGCGUUCACUGUAACUCAGUUGUUCAUGAAUCCAAACCAGUUGAUGAGGAGUUCAAUAUCAUGCCUUUCCCUGGACGUCAAAAUGGUUACUUCAGUGGUGGUGAUAAAGUCCUAAACAAUCCUCCUUCACGUUCCUACUCUCCACCGGAAUCUAAAACGUUCCUUUUCGAAACUCACCACGUAUAUACAACCGAUGCUGAUGAUGUCUUUAUGGUGGAAGGAAACCUGAUUUUUCAAACCUCGUUUUACUAUGAACAGAGUAUCUCCUCUGGAAGCUCAUACGUUAUAAGUUCAAGCGAUUCAAGCGACCGUGGGACACUGGACUUUGAUUUUCGAGGCUUCUGGUCUCGAACAACCGGGAAGCUUUGCAUGGUGGGAUCGAGUUAUGCUUACUCCAAAGAAGGUAAACUGCUUCAUCUUGCUGCUGUUCUUAAGAUUAAUAAUCUUAGGAAGUCAAGUACAAUCAGAACUUUAGUGACUGGUACCCUGGAUAGCUUGAAUUCAAUUGGUGAUCCAAAUCACUUUGAGCAAAUUUCACUGCUGAUGUUUCCUCAAGCAAAUUACGCUUACACCAUGGUUUCAAAACAGUUUAGUGAAGGGUGUCCUCGGGGAGCCGAUGUCCAACCGAUGUCGUCCCUCCGCUUAUCGCAAACUCGAACUAUUUGUGAUAUGUUAGGUGGAAGCAAUGCUUUCGAAUUGGAGUAUACUGGCAGUUGUAAUUCUUCAAAGAGUUGCAAUCCAUUUGGUGAUGGUAUUGGAUAUUUACCUUCAGUAAUAUCGUUGAGUAUGAUUCAGUGCUCAAACGAUAGGCUAAGCUUGAGGUUUCUGAUAGAAUUUCGGAACGAUAGCUAUCAGGGAUACUAUAGCUCUCCCAAUCUCAACACUUCAUUAAUUGGAGAAGGAUCUUGGGAUGCAAAGAGUAAUCGGCUUUGUAUCAUUGCUUGCCGAAUCUAUGAUGCAUCGAGCUCCUUGGAGAAGUCUCAUGUUGGAGACUGCACGACACGGUUGAGCUUAAGAUUCCCAGCAAUCUUGUCUAUCAGAAACACAAGCACCAUUGUAGGAGAAAUUUGGAGUGAGAAGCCUAGGAAUGAAGGUGGUUUCUUUGACAGGGUCGAGUUCCGAAAUACUGGACGUUAUGGAGGAGGAAUUCAACUUCAAGGUUUGAAGUAUGUAUACACGGAAAUGGACGAAGUGGAGAAAUCAUGUCCAAAGAAGAAUCCUAAGACUAAAAGCAUUAAGGGACACUAUCCAGAUGGCUAUUCUGGUAAUCUGGGUUUUAGUAUGUCGAUCAUCAAAGGUUCCAAAGGAAGAAUCGGAUGGGGUUCUUCGGAUCCUCUUGCGGUAGGUGAUCAGCAAGAUCAGAGAUUUCCGUCUCUAAUACCAUCCUCAAGCUCAAAGCCUAAAAGUUCUGGCGUUGAAUCCAAUUCCAGCAGUGGCUUGCUUAAUAUCAGCUAUAAAAUGAGUAUCAUGUUGCGUAGUUCGGAAUUGGAUGGUGGCCUUAAUCUGGUUAACGAAUCUUCAAAUGAAUAUUUGGAAACCGAAAUCCAAAUUUCUGCUGAAGGGGUUUAUGAUACAGCAACAGGUAGCCUAUGCAUGGUUGGCUGCAAACAUUUAAGGUCAGGUGACAAAACAUUUUCAAGCCAUUCGAUGGAUUGCGAGAUCCUGGUGAAAAUCAAUUUUCCUCCAUUGAACUCGGACAGGAGAAGUAAGAUCAAAGGAAGCAUUGAAAGCACACGUGAAGAAAUUGAUCCUCUGUCCUUCAAGCCCCUGCAGUUUUCGGGAAGAGCUUAUUAUCGCAGUUGGGUUGCGGAAUCAAUUUGGAGAAUGGAUUUCGAGAUGAUCAUGUUGGUAAUAUCCAAUACUCUUGCAAUUAUCUUUGUUGCAUUUCAAAUCUUUCAUGUCAGGAAGCACCGUGGCAUUGGUCCUCUGGUUUCACUUCUAAUGCUUGUUAUUCUAGCCCUGGGACACUUGAUCCCUUUGGUUCUAAACUUCGAAGCAAUGUUCAUUCAAGAUAGCGAGAGAUCGGUCUUGAUUAGAGGUGGAACGUGGCUCGAAAUGAACGAGGUUAUCAUUAGAGUCGUCACAAUGGUGGCUUUUCUGCUGCAAGUCCGUCUUCUGAUGCUCUCAUGGACUGCUAGAUGCUCCACUGAAAAGAAAAAGACCUUUUGGAUUGCAGAAAAAAGGGGGAUCUAUGUGUGUGUUCCAGUGUACGUAAUCGGAGCUAUUAUCGCCUUUUUGGUUAAGUCAAGGCAGAAUGUACAUCUAACUUGGUACUACAUAGAUGAAAUCAUUUUGGGGAGUUCAAGAGCUUAUGCUGGUUUGGUACUGGAUGCCUUUCUUUUUCCACAAAUAAUCUUCAAUAUGUUCCAGAACUUGAGAGAACCAGCACUUUCUCAUUUCUUUUACAUCGGAAUCACCCUUGUUCGCCUCGUACCCCAUGGAUAUGAUCUGUACAGAGCAAACAGCUAUGCUGAUAUAGAUGACUCGUACAUCUACGGAGAUCAUGGUGCAGAUUACUACUCAACUGCUUGGGACUUCAUUAUUAUUGUGUUGGGUAUAUUCUUUGCUGUGAUCAUACACUACCAACAGCGCCUCGGUGGUCGAUAUUUCCUUCCGAAGAGGUUCCAAGAAUCUGUGAUAGAUGAGGAAUUUCCGGUAGAUUCAGAAGAACAAUUGCCAUUGAGAUAUAGCACCUAGUGCAUGCUUUAAGUGUUGUUAACUACUUUUGCUUACCAUGGACUUGUUUUUAGUACUGAUUCGAAAUAAUAAAAAGAACUGUUCUAAAAAAUGUUCUAUUGUAGCUUAGGUGAGUGUUGGGUAAGAAUAUAUGUCCAAUAUGAAUAAAUUUGAAGAGUACAUCUCCUUAUCCAUGUUUAAAUAUGUACCCAACAUGGAUACAAAGAGAAGAUUUAAACUGAUAAUAAUUCAUUAAUCAUACGAAGUCCAUAGAUAUGACCAUUCCAUCAUAGUGUACAAUGAGACUCAGACAUAAGACAGACAGGCAUGAAAACGCAUUCAAUGUCUCAAACUACAACAACAAAACACCAAUUUAUUCAACUCAAUUUCAUUAUUUUUAGGUCCUAAUAUUGCUAUGGACUAAAACAUCAUGGUUCUAUGUCUGCUUAAUGAGUGCCACAUGUGCAGUCUGUGCAGCUGCAGCUAUCUCCACACUUGCACUUGCCAUCGUUCUCUGCCACAGCCUCGACCACUACAGUGCUGAUGUAGCUGCAAAGAAAUAUCACAACAGAUUAUAUUUAAGCAUAUGUGUUGGACUGUGCAAAGCAUAGCUCCUUUUUUUGCUUCUCUAGGUAAGAAUAUGAUUACUUAUCCAAAUGGGUUCAAUUUUGGUUAAAUUAUUCAAUAUUGGUCCUAAUAUACCUCUUUUCAGUCUCAAUGACCAAGCUAUUUCCUUUCUUCCUGUAAGCAUAACAAAAAAAAGCCUUCAGUUUCAAUGAUAAUUGAUUGCAAACUCAUGCAUUUAGUCACAACAACCUUAAUAAAUUUAUAUUUUAUCUAUGAAAAAAAUUAUAAUUAAAUUCCGACCGCUAAAAAAUAUUUUUUAUGAAUUUGCCCCUAGUAGUAUGCAGCUAAAAAACAUGCAGAACUAACUUAGGAACAAUAACAAAAUCAAAGAACCACACACAACAGUAGAAACUGGUCGAAAGCUGAUGAUGGAAGGAUGAUUUCUUACACGCACUGGCUCUUGUCAGAGCAGUCGCAGUUGCCGCACUUGUCAGACAUGAUGAAUUUGAAAGAGUUGAGAAGUAAAAGGUUUGUUUGAGUUUCUAAAGUAGUUAAGCUAACUUGCGAUGUAUAUCCAAAGCUAUGCACUUGAUGUAUUUAUAGAAGAGGAAGUACAUGGAAAUGGUGCAAAGGGAAGGCAUCUGUAGGGGCCCAAGCAGGCAUGACCGCAUGAGAGAAGCACACGCCUCUGCUACAAGAGUUCAAAGGAAAGGAAUCUUGAUAAUGGAGGCAAAGGAAAGGUUGGCUUACUGUCCUCCUCUCAUGUCUAUAUCAUUUGGAAUUUUCUUUUAGGUUGUCUUUUAGAAUGUAAUCCCAAAAUCUAUGCAAUAUGGACUCUACCCAAAAAGAAAAAUCAAAUUCAACUUUGAAUUGGUGCUGACUUAUCAUGAUCAUAGUUUUCAAAUUAGAAUUUUGAUCUAAAUAUAAAUUGAGAGUACGAAAAAUAUCCUAUUCCUGUAAAAUAACAAAAAGAAUGGUAUAAGGUAAGUAGGGUUUAGAUAAGUAUUCUUGAACAAAAUAAACCAGUUAUAAUGGAAGAGGACGACUACGACCACCAAUUUCACUUAAAUUUUAGACUUAUGAUUUAGAGAAACUUGAAAGAAAUAAACUUAAUAAAAAUGAAAUUUUAUUGAAUAAAUGAAAGGAACAAAAGUAGAGCUUUUUGGGAGAGGGAGCUUUUACAGAAAAGAUGAGUGAAAUUUGUGUCACUCCAUCCCCUAUUUAUAGUACGCAGAAGACCUAAUUUAUUCCUAUCUAAAUUUUAAAAGAUAAAUAAAGAUAAAAGCUAAAAUUAAAUCUAAAUAAUAAUCUUAACAGUAAUCCUAAUAUAAUUAAAAUUUAAAUAGAGUAGUGUGUUUAUAAAAUCUCUUCUUUGAACUGUUGCCCCCAAGUCUUCCACACUUCGCAUUUUCGGCACCACUUCUUUCCUAUUUUGCAUACUAUCCCAUUUUAUCUUUAAAUUUACGCUUUUUGCCACUAAAUUUUCUUUUGCCUUCAAUUUAGUCCCUACAAGAUAAAAAACCAUAAAUAACUCAAAUUAGUAAGAUCAUACUCAAAAUAAAUAUGUAAUUAAUACAUAAAAAUAUGUCAUUCCAGAGUAUUAUCAAUAAGAGUUAAUUGCACCAAAAAUUUUAAACGUUCUAAUUAUGUCUCCACACUAUCAAUGUUAUACUAAUGAGGUGCUUUCGUCACUAAAAUCAUUAAUUUAAUUGUCAAAUGAGACGUCAGAUCUUCUGUGAUAUAAUCUAAAAUGAAAAAUUUAAAGAAAAAUGAAUAUUGUAAAAAUGGAUGUGGUAAAAAGCUUUUACAGAAACUAUUGUUCACUCUAUCUUUUUUUGGUUUUACUUUAUUUUUAGUUUUUAAUUUUAAAAAUUAUGCGGCAACGUUUUAUUUUUCUUUUAAAUUUUUAUCUUAAAUUAUGUCAUAUAAAAUUUUACGUGUCAUUUAAUUGUUAAAUUAACAGUUUCAAAAUAAGAAGAAUCUGAUUGAUAUAAUAUCAAUAAUUUAAGAAUAUAAUUAAAAUAUUUUAAAGUUAAAAGACUAAUCUAAAAUAAGAAUUAUAGUUUGGGUAUGUAUCAAGCAAUUAACUCAAUAAAUAAAUGUGAGUGGCAGUCAUUUACAUCAAUAUGUUAUAUAAGUGGGUUUGGCAUCAUAUCUUAUAUGUUAUUUUCACAUUUAUUUAUUUAUCUUAUUUAUUUUAUUUUUAAAAUAUGAGAUUCUAGUAGGGUUUGUGAAAAAUUGUCCUUUAGGUAAUUUUUUUUUUAAAUGUUAACUCUCCCUUGAAAAAUAAGAAAAUUUAUUUUUUGGCUCAUUUAAAAGGAAUAUAAAAAUUAGGAGCAUGUGUGAUCAAAUAUGUUUGAUUACAUUUUUAUAUAAUAUUAAGAGUAAGGGAUGAUAAAAGUUAUACAAUAUCUUAAUAAUAACAACAAAAUUGUAACAACAUAAUAAUAAAAUAGUAACAAAGUAGUGAAAAAUAACAAGAAAAUAGUAUAAAAGAAAAAAGAAAACAAUAAAGUUUUGCAUAUUCAGGCUAGGCUAGACAAAAAAGGCUUAUCUAAGACUUGACCCGUUUUCUAAAUGGAUCUUAUUUUUUUAUCUUAAAAUUUAUUAUUCAGAAAAUAAAAUGAAAUUUUCAUCUCUUUUCUUCCUUUGUUGUCCAACUAAAUUGCUAGGUGGGGAUAUUUAAUUUUUGAGGUUUUUGACAUAUUUUGGUGAGGAUUUAGAUGUUUUUAGGUAAGGUUUGGGUUGAAACUUGCUAGGAUUUAUUGAGUUUUAGAGAAGCAAAGAGAGUCUCAUUGUAUUGAAUGCGUCUACAUUAAUUGAUUUAAGAGUUUUGAUGUUUAAUUAUUGUUGUUAAAAGUGGUAGAAGAGUAAUCGAAUUUGUAGUGAAUGUUGGAUACGAAUAUACGUAGAACAUGAAUAAAUUUGAAGAUUAUACCUCUUUGUUCAUGGAACAGAUUUGUGCUAAUAAUCAUUCAUUAAUCAGACAAAGUCCAUAGACAUGGCCAUUCUAUCAUGGUAUACAAUGAGGCGGAGACAAACAUGCAACACGCCACCAAUUAUUCAACUUAAUUUAAUUAUGGACUAAAACAUCGUGCAGUUCUAUAUAUGUCUGCUUAAUGAUUGCCACAUGUGCAGUUUGUGCAGCUGCAGCUAGUUCCACACUUGCACUUGCCAUCGUUCUCUGCCACAGCCUCGACCACUACAGUGCUGAUGUAGCUGCACAAGAAUAACACAACAGAUUAUGUUUAGCAUAUGUAAAAGC